rnacentral:lncRNA from 1 species
GGGUGCAUGUGGGCCAAUUAAUUCAGGAGGUUCUGCCACAUAAAGGCUAGAUAUUUAUGCUAACACUUAACUAGUUCCACAAAGCUUUGUUGUCUAUUUGAGCUCCACAUAAUUCAAGGAUCAAAGAAGACUAGCAGACAGAGGACAUCCUAAUCGCUGUCAGGGUGCUGCCGAUAUUCAAAUACACCUCCGCCACCUGCUAGCUACAUCAGAAGAAAUUACGUCAAAAUCCAGCUUGGGGGAGAGCACCCCCAUUUAUCCAGCUAAGUCUUCUACUCAUGUUUAUACUUUACUCAAAUAAUAAAAAGAUGCAUAAUCAUAAAAACCCAAAUAAAGAUUUUGUGCUUACAUAUAUAUAUAUAUAUAUCUUUGCUUAGUUUGCUAAAUAAAUAAAUAAAUAAAGUUUGCUAUGAACCCUCUGAUAAGCUCUCACAUGGAAAUGAUGAAUAGUUGCUCUGCCAUGACUAGUUCUCAAAAUUGAAAUCUCUCUCAAGUUUAGGCAUGACUGUUAUUAAUUAAGAUUUGCUCUAAACCUGAACUUGUGGGAAGAGUACUUGAUCUAAAGUCUAAGUCAUUAACGGAUACGAUAUGGGAAGGUUGAGCUGAUGUUUAUCUGUUCCUAUAGAUGCUAGAAUUCUAGAGAAUUUUAUCUUUGAAAAUCUUUAAAAUGUUGCAUGACAAGUUUCUGUAUGAUGAGAGUUUAAGAUCCUACCACAACCAUAUAUACAAGGUUAUUAGACUAUGAACAAUACAUUUACUUUUACUGUUUAUGAGCAUUGAGUGUGGUCAAGCUGUGUAGACCCUUAGGAGCUUGUCAUGUGGUUAUAAUCAAGAUUCACUUGCACGUUCACUCAUACAUGCUGCUUCUACUCCGGAAGUACGCAUCCACAUACAUCCACUCAUUUCCAUAUCCAGAUUCACCCAAAAUUAUUCUACUCCUAUCUAGUAGAGAAUAGUAAAAAACAUUAUCCUCUCUCUGUUAUUCCUCGUGAAAUAAAUGCUUGAGAUAUUUUGGUUACUACCACUUGCUACAUUAUUCCAGGAGGGUGAGUGCUCUGGAAAAAAGUGAAUACGAGAAAAUAAAAAGGGGCAAGUGCCCAAAACCUCGAAAAAAAAAGAAGAAAAAGUGAGACGAGAGGUAAAAAUCGACAAGUGUUUGACAGUAGAAUUAGGGGUACAAGAUACCCACAUGAGAGAAAAGAAAAAUAAAAUAUAGAGCAUCUCAUUCCCCUCAAAAGCCUCAAGUGCAAGGAAGGUAUGUACCCCCUCCAAAGAGCAAAAGUAGAAUUAGACUUUCACCAUUAUUUUCACCAUUAUCACCAUUCAUUCGCCACACAUGCACAUCUUGAUUUGACUUAUUGACUUGUUCUUCUAGAUCCAUGGUUUGACUAUGCAAUAAAUGUCUUGUAAGUAUGUAUUAGCUGUCUCCCACCUAUGAGCUCCAGAUAUCAAAACCUUAUUAGAGUAGGGUGAGAGAGAAGGUAAUGCCACUAUGCCUCGUACCAAAAAUACCACAUACUUUGAGAGAACGCAUACACCAUUACUGCCUUGGUAAGGAUCCAGAAAUACCACAAAAGAGAGACUAGAGAGAGUCAUAUAAGGAAUCUCUGCGUUUUAUUUGAAAAUCUGCAAAAACUCCAGAGCUAUAGUUAAUCGAAGAACAAGAGACAUGGCGCUUGACUAGAACAUUCUAUCUUUUAGCAAGCCCCAUGGUGGAAGGAAAAAUGAGUAAGUUUAAGUAUUAACAGUUUACCCUAACCCAGAGAUGAGAUUUUGUUUGAACGCAUGUGUACCUUUAAGGCAUGAAACCACUGCAGAAACUCUUGAGUUCAUCUUUGCUCAGGGGCGAGCAAAGGUUAAGCUUGGGGGAGCUUGUUGACGGUCCUUAAUGCUCACAUUUAACCGUCAACUAAUCAUUGAAAAGGAUCCAAAUGCAAUCGACACCUAGACUUAGGGUUUUAUCUGACAGAAUUCCACGAGUUUUGGUGUUUGUCUAUUUCUAUAGGGGGUUAUCAGGAAAUAUAGAGGAAAGGCCCACACGUCGGGUUUACAUAGAGAUGUUAACGUGUGCGCCAAUUUUCUAUCAUCUAGAAGACUCCAGAAGCCACAGGAACGAACGGGAGGCCGAGCGGGCCUUGGGGCAGGGCGCCCGCCCUCCCUCCUUGGGCGCCCGCCCUGCCCUGGUGACCAAUCAGGACAGGUCUCGUGGAUCGUGCUCCACCACCUUUGAGGAUCAAGGAAAACCGUGCGAUUAAGGUCAGUUUGAUCCGACGGCCCACGUUCGUUUGGAAGGGCUAUAUAAGCAGGCCCCUGGCCCCUGGAGAACAUACCUCUUCUACAGAAUCAAAGCUAGGGUUUCAAUUAUUCAUCCAAGUAGAGAGGAUCCCUCUAGUUCAUCUAGUUCUUGUUCUAGUUCAUCUAGUUCUAGUUCUAGUUAGUUCUAGUUGUAAUCUAUAAAAUAGGGAGAGAGAAGAGGAGAGCGGAGGAGCUGGAUCUGUCGGAUCUUUCUCAACAAUGUACCUUUGCAGCAACUGGUUCGUUCUUCAUCAUUCUCUAAGUUCUUCAAUUCAUAAUUCCUGAGUUCUUUAAUUACUUUUAUUUACAUUCAAGUUAUUUAUUGGAUUCCCGCUUGCAUCAAGCGCUCUAGUCUUUGAAACACUAGAGCAGUAAUUAAUAGAUUAGACGUGGUGUUUAGUCUUGCAAUUACCUAGAAUUGCACCAAAUCCUGUGGAUUGUUGUGGUAGCCCUAGGGUAGUGAUAGCCCUGACGGUCUGUUGACACCGUUUUUGGACAUGUAUCUUUUGACGCGUAUCUAGGGAUAGUAAAGUAUAAAUCGGCAGAUGAAGCAACGGUAACUAGUCUACAGGGAAGUUGCCGAUGAAGGUGGUUGCCGAUGAGGAAACAACUGAAUGUGACUAAGUCCAGAGGUGGUGACGUGUUCGUGCCGAUGACCGGUAUCAAUGUUUGCCGAUGGCCACAACAGGAGGUCUGCCGAUGGCUCUGAAGGAAAGCGUGGAGGUUGCCGAUUGAUCUGUGGCGGUGCCCCGGUCGGCUACAAGGGGGUAGUUUUAUGUUUUCCUUAGUUAUUAGAAUUCGUUUUGUGUACGGGUUCCGUUUAGUUUGGAAUUCGAGUCCUAGUCGUGUCUGGUUGUAGCUCUUCGGACAGGGUAUAAAUGUAGACCCUAGAGCAAUGUAAUGAGACAAUCUAUCAAUCAAUCAAACAUAAGUUUUUACUCAUAUUCCAGCAUCUACUUUUUCGAUGACUUCAUCAUAUUUUCUUUUUACUACGAGUUCUUAGGAAUCCGUCGACUUAUGCUCGGCGUGUUCUCAAGUUCCACGUGAACACCUCUUGGCCGUGACAUCCGGGCGCAUCGCUGUUGUGAGGACCAAAGUGUUCGAGUUACCACCUUUGCCGAUUGUAAGGUCAAAUCGGCUGGCACGCCUUAACAUUUGAAUCGGGUAUUAGCCCUUUGUGUUUGCAGAUUAGCUUUUGCACCAACACAUCUUUUGGCACGCCCGGUGGGGUAGAUUCAAGAUCAAGAUCAAUAUGGCGAAUACUGAGUUCGAUUUGGAGAACGUCAUCCCCGUGACGGAAGCCAAUCUCAGAGAUGAGCAGAAGCAAGCUAUUGCAAAAGCCAUGGAGGACUACAAGCAACAAUGUUUGAAAUCCUUCAACAUCAAUAGGAGUGGCGAGGUGAUCCAGAAGGAAGCAUUACCGGCACCUCGGUAGAUUACUUUUGAAGCCAAUCCUGGUAAACUUCAAGACAUGGUUGACAAUGCUAUUAACCGUGCCUUGAUCAAUCAAGCUGGUGUGUUGUCCAACACGGUUUUCAAUGCUGUGGCUAGAACUUUUAAGGAAGGACAAUUGCCAAUAAAUUACGUGGGCCCUGCCUAUCAUCAGCCAAGAUCACCGGUGGUCACAGCUCCAUCGGCUACCACGGCCGCUGUGGGCACGGAAACUACAGCUCCUCCAAGCACAUUAGGGAUCACUAAUGUGCAGUCUACACCGAUGACGACCAAUCCAUCAACAUUGGAUGAGCAAAUCAAACUUGCCACAGAUCUAUUGGCAUCGGCAAUGUCGGGAUCUAUUCCUCCUAAUUAGUGGGGUUACGGUAUGCCCCCUGAGAUGAUGUUGAAGACUCCUAGAACAACUCAAGUGGCUGACUUGGCAGGCAAGGCUCCUAUGGCAUCGGCACCUCCAAAUCCGCCGAUGAAUCAGAGUCCCCAGUAUACCACAACUACUACUGCAAGACCUUACACUGGGAAUUCUCAAGUUCCAACGUUCCAGAUGCCUAACGCAUCGGCAGAUUCAAUGCCGACGUAGCAGAGGUUUAUGACACAGCCAGGGUAUGUCAAUUCAAUGAUGAUGCCCAAUUUCCAGCCAUCGCCAGGGUUUAUGCCGAUGAAUGCUAACAGUGGAUGGACGGGACAGUUAGUCUUUCCACAGAUGCCUCAGCAGAAUCAUCAGACUGUAGGGUUUCAACAGGGACAAAUCCAACCUGGUUUUCAGAAUCAAGGAUUGGUUAACCAGCCAAUGAAUAUUGGUCAGCAGAUUGGUGGUCAGGUGAUUAACCCCAUAUUCCAUGCAGAUCGUGCACCCUAGAGACACGUGGAAGCAUAUCAGCAGGUGCCAGAUCCGCAACCACCUCAUCGGCAAGAUGCCGAUGCUUAUUGGGCCGAUAAGAUAGCUAAAGUAAUGAGAGAUCAAUUUGGGAUAAAACCCAACGUCAAUACUUACUCUUAUCGGACACCAUAUCCUCCCGCAUAUGACCUGAUUCCACUUCCAAAUCGGUACAAGGUACCGGACUUCACUAAGUUUUUUGGACAGGAUGAUACAUCGACUAUGGAGCAUGUCAAUAGGUUUAUCAUCCAGUGUGGGGAAGCUGCUAACAGAGAUGAGUUAAGGGUUCGUCUGUUCUCAUCAUCUUUAUCUGGAUCGGCUUUCACUUGGUUUAUUUCAUUACCUCCUAACUCAGUGAUCACUUGGGCCGAUCUAGAGAAGCAGUUCCACAAGUACUUCUUCUCUGGAGUUCAUGAGAAGAAAAUUACCGAUUUAGUCAGGUUGAAGCAACGCAAUGAUGAAUCGGUUGAAAGUUUUGUGCAGAGAUUGCGGGAGGUCAAGAAUAAAUGCUAUAGUCUGGUUCUAGACGAUCAGCAGUUAGCCGAUUUGGCUUUCUAGUGUCUGGUGCCACAUAUCAGAGACAAGUAUGCUUCUCAAGAGUUCGAGAGCCUAAGUCACUUGGUGCAGAGGAUUUUCGACUAGGAUAUCAAACCUUUCGAGCCCAAGAGAGCAUGGAAUAAAAAGGUGUCAUUUGUUUAUGAGGCAGCAAGCUCAGACUCUGAUGAGGAGCCAGUCAUCGGCUUGGCAGAAUGGGUGAAAAAUAAGAAGCCGAUGUCUUGCCCUUUUGGGCAUAAGGAGCCAGAGAAGUUUGCAUUUGACAUUACUAAGGCCGACAGGAUAUUUGACUUUCUACUUCAUGAAGGGCAAAUCAAGUUGUCGCCCAAUCAUGUAAUUCCAUAGGCUGAGGAAUUAAAGAAGAUGAAAUAUUGCAAGUGGCAUAACGCAACAUCUCACAACACAAAUGAGUGCAAGGUUUUCAGGCAACAGCUACAAUCGGCUUAGAAUCUAGAAGAAUCAAGUUUGACAAUUCCAAAGCUCAGAAGCCGAUGAAGAUCGAUCAACAUCCUUUCCCAACAAAUAUGUUGGAUUCUAAGGGAAAAACCAAGGUGUUGACGUCAGAAGCAGCUGAAAGGAGAGCAUCGGUGGAUCCGCAGCAUCAGAUUACUGCUGCCGAUGCUAAAGGAAAGGGUUUGAUCCAGGAAGGAACUAGAUCAGGAAGGCCUCCCCGAUCAAGCAUUGUGAUAACUCACAGAAGGCAUCGGGAGACUUGGCAGCAACGUGAGGAUCGGUAUCGGCGCCAGCAGGAGGAUUCUCGUCGGGAAGAAGAAAGACGCCGACAGGAGUGGAAUCGGCACACGGAUCACUGAAACUGCCCGUUCUUUAUCCAUUGUUGGGAGCAGAACAUUAAAUUGUCCACUAUUAGAGAUUACCCUGAAUGCAAUGGUUAUGAUCGGUAUGAUAGACCUAAUCGACAGUAUCAGAAUGAUGAUCAGCGAUUUAAUGGACCGAUUAGGGGGAGAGCUUCAGUUCAUGAUCGGGUAGGGGGCAGGCUCAGUGUGCGUGACAGACUUGGUGACCGUGUCGAAUAUUUUCCCUGGAACUAAGAGGAGCUUGAAGAGAUGGCAAAUGCUCGAGUUCCCGAUGAGUUCAUCUUUUGUAGGGAUGCCAAUACCUAUCGAGUGGAGUCAAUGGAAAAUCGUCACCCAUCGGUAAGGCAGCCACAACUUUCUCCAUGGUGUCCAGAAGGAUUGACUAGGACACAGAAAAGAAGGCUGCAGUGCGAAACACGAGAAAAGCUAAGCAAAGGCGAGAAUUCUGGCCAAUCUAAAGAUCAGCAGCAACCGGAUCCUAAGGGAAAGGGCCAUCGGCAGAUGUUAACAUGGUAUUUAUGUUGCCGAUGGAGUUCCUUGCACCGUCCGGUGAUGACGAGGAACUGGAUUUUUCUGACCAGAUAGCUCAGUUAGCUCUAGAUCCGAUGACGGCUAUCUUCGAAAAGCCUGCCGACAGUGAAAGGCAGUAUCUUAAGACUCUAUUCGUCAAAGGAAGGGUUGAUGUGCAGCCGAUGACCAAGAUACUUGUGGACGGUGGAGCUGCUAUCAAUAUUAUGCCAUAUGUAGUCUAUCGGAAACUUGGGAAAGGAGAUCAAGAUUUAACCAAGACCGAUAUGAUGCUAAAGGACUUUGAAGAAAAUGUGUCUCCGGUUAAAGGGGCAAUAUGUGUUGAGUUGACCAUCGGCAGCAAAACCUUACCGACAACAUUCUUCGUGAUCAGUGGAAAAGUUGCCUACAAUCUGCUACUGGGGAGAGACUGGAUCCAUGCCAAUUGUUGCAUCCCAUCAACAAUGGAUCAAUGCUUAGUCCAGUGGGUAGGUGACAAGAUUGAGAUUGUCCCAGGAGAUUCUUCUUAUGUCAUUGCAUCGGCAGAAGCAGACACUUAUGAAAGGACCAGGUGUAUCUCAGGGGAGAUUUGGGAGAAAAAUUUCCUCAAAGUUGCCGAUUAUGAAAUUCCACCGAUCCAAGCAGUCGGUUCUGAUGAAGAGUUUUAAUGGAUAGGUUCGCCGAUGAUGGAAAAUUAGGCCAGGGGUUUACAUUGGCCGAUGAUUUAGUAGAGGUAGAUAUAGGUAAUGGAGAUAAGCCUAGACCUACUUUUAUUAGCGCUAAGUUAAAUUCUGAGUGUAAGCAAUAGUUAACCAAUUUGCUAAAGGAAUAUAAAGAUUGCUUUGCUUGGGAUUAUACUGAGAUGCCUGGUUUAGACCGAUCAAUUGUUGAACAUCGGUUACCCAUCAAAUCUGGAUUUCGGCCACAUCAGCAGCCAGCUCGCUGAUGUAAUCCUAAUAUUCUUCCUGAUAUUAAAGCCGAAAUAACCAAGCUUAUCGAAACUAAAUUUAUUCGGCAAUGUCGGUAUGCCGAAUGGAUUUCCAAUGUUGUUCCAGUUUACAAGAAAAAUGGGAAGCUUCGAGUUUGCAUUGAUUUCAGGAAUCUCAAUAAAGCUACGCCGAUGGAUGGUUACCCAAUGCUAGUUGCCGAUUUGCUAGUUGAUGCUGCGGCUGGGCAUCGGAUCAUAAGCUUUAUGGAUGGCACUGCAGGAUAUAAUCAAAUAUUCAUGGCUGAAGAAGAUAUUCCAAAGACUGCGUUUAGAUGUCCUGGUCAUGUUGGGUUAUUUGAAUGGAUAGUCAUGACUUUUGGUUUGAAAAAUGCUGGUGCUACUUACAAGAGGGCUAUGAAUUUUAUCUUUCAUGAGUUCAUCGGCAAGCUGGUGGAAAUUUAUAUUGAUGAUGUGGUGGUUAAGUCUGGAGAUUUCACAAAGCAUCUUGCCGAUCUGCGGAAAGUGUUGGAAUGUACAAGGAAACAUGGUUUAAAGAUGAAUCCUAACAAAUGUGCAUUUGGCGUAUCGGCAGGGCAAUUUCUUGGUUUCAUAGUGCAUCAAAGGGGAAUUGAAAUUAGUAGGAGAUCUAUUGAUGCUAUCAACAAAAUAGUGGCUCCUACCAACAAAACUGAGCUCCAAUCUCUGAUCGGCAAAGUAAAUUUCAUCAGGCGAUUUAUUACCAACUUAUCUGGAAGAAUUCGUGCUUUUAGUCCUUUACUUAAAUUAAAAGUUGAUCAGGAAUUUAUAUGGGGAAAAGAGCAACAGUUGGCUCUAGAUGCAAUCAAGAAUUAUUUGACAAAUCCCCCAGUCUUAAUUCCACCUCAGCAAGGAAAGCCCUUUAGAUUAUAUUUGUCUACCGAUGGGAUGGUCAUCGGUUCGGCUUUAAUUCAAGAAUUUGAAGGGAAGGAGCGUGUGAUUUACUAUUUAAGUAGAAGAUUGAUUGAUGCUGAGACCAGGUAUUCGGCUAUUGAAAAAUUAUGUUUAUGCUUAUAUUUUUCAUGCAUUAAGUUGAGGCACUAUUUACUAUCGGCUGAAUGCACUGUUAUAUGCAAAGAUGAUGUGGUCCAACAUAUGCUAUCUAUGCCGAUUAUGAGUGGCAUCAUCGGUAAGUGGAUUUUGGCACUGUCGGAAUUCGAUCUGCGCUACGAAUCGGCUAAAGAGGUUAAAGGGCAGAUCAUGGCCGAUUUUGUGACUCAACAUCGGGGUAAAGUAGAGACUUUGGAGAUUGUACCUUGGACGCUCUUCUUUGAUGGAUCCACAUGUGACCGGGGGGCAGGAAUCAAGAUAAUAUUAAUUUCCCCUCAGGGAAGGAAGUAUGAGUUUUCUUUGCCGAUUGUUGCCAUAUCAACGAAUAAUCAAGCCGAGUAUCAAGCAUUGAUCAAAGGGUUAGAGUUGUUAAAAGAAGUUCAUGCUGAUGCUGUUGAAAUCUUCAGGAAUUCUAUACUGGUUAUAAAUCAAUUAGCUGGAAGUUAUGAAUGCCGAAGUGAAGUUUUGAUAACUUAUUACGAAAAGAGUAUGCAACUAUUAAGGGAAUUCAAAGAUUUUCGAUUAGAGCAUGUUCCUCGAUUGCAUAAUGAGGAGGCUAAUCGUUUGGCUCAGCAUGCCUCGGGCUAUCAACCCAUAUUAAAUACGGUAUCGGCAAUUAGUGCCGAUGAUUGGAGAAAAGAAAUUAUGAUUAUUUAAAGAAUCCAUCCAAGAAGGUUGAGAGGCGUGUUCGGUUUCAAGCUACCAAGUACGUGUUGACACUAACUAACACCACUUAGAUACUAGGUUGUCAUCCCUAGCAUGGCGCCAGAGUGUACAAAGGUAUUUAUAAAUGUAAAGGCUCUCUAGAAAAUAAUCUAUUCUAUCCGCAAGCGCACAGAUAAAACACCUCAUUGUAGCAUUUCACCAGGAUAAGUAUUCCAGGUAUCGUUAUUUAUAAUUUUGCUCAAGGGAUCUAAAGAAGAUGGAACUAAAUCAAGGGACAAAAUCUAUCAAGGCAUAGACUAGAGAUAAACUUGCAAGAACAUGAUUACUAAUGAGAAACUCGUCACACAGUCACAUACUUUAGCAGGGGGUAAACCAUAAAGAUAAUGAUAAUAAAGUAUAAGUUCAUGGGAUAAAGAGCACAGCGAUUAGAAAAUAAACUACUCCUCAUAUAUGUAGGUGAUGUCGGAUUAGCUAGAGAAUGGAUUCUAAGUUAUCUACUAACUACUAAGUCAUAAUCUACUCUAGUUAUCUACAAGAUCAUAUAUAGCAUAAAAGACUCUUCAUUCAUGUAUAAGGAACAUUGAUAAAGUAAAUCAGAGCAUCGCAUGACUUACUCCACAAUACCGGUUCUGCCUGUCCUAUCAACGGAGGGUGGACUAUAUAAGAAUCAACGAAGCUAUCACUAUCGCGAACUACCACACGACCCGGUCAAUAGGAUACAUUUGCAGAUAAAUAACAUCUAAGCACCACGCUCACAUGUGAUCUAUCACCUAACUCCCUCGCGACAAGAGCUAAGCGCUUUGCAAACUUAUACAUAAACUCAUUAUCAAUUAGAACUAUAUCAAAUAUAGAACUAGAGCAAACUAAGAGCAUAAUAAUUAGAGACAUAAUGCAAUUAGAACAAUAGAAUUAUAGAAAGAUAUGAAUAAUACCAAUCUUUAUUACCGAAGAUCCGAAUCCAGAGCGUAGUGCUCUACUUCUCUAAUUGCUAUCUAAUCAACCUCUAAACUUGAAGGAUUAGGGAGUAGCUAAUUCUAAUUCUCUGUGGGAGAGAAGCUCUAAACCCAAACUUUGAUGGCUACCUCUGAAUAAUGAUUUCUCCUCUCUCCUCCAGGGGCCAGGGGGUCUGGUUUUAUAGUCCCCUCAAGUGAACGUGGGCCGUCAGAUCAAACCGACAUAGAUUGUAUGGUUUAGAUUGAUCCUUUAGGUCGGUGGAGAGUUGUCCCGAAACAGAGUCCUGGUUGGCUUCCUGGCCAGGGCGGGCGCCCAAGGGGGGUGGGCGGCCGCCCAGCUCCCGAGCCCGAAUCGCGUCCCGUUCGUUCCCGUGGCUUCUGGAUCCUUCUAGAUUGAGGAAAAUUGCGCGGUACGUAAUUAUCUCGUUGUAAACAUGACAUGUGGGCCUUCUCUCCAUAUUUUCUGAUAAACCCCUGCAGAAAUAGAUAAACACCAAAACUCGUGGAAUUCUGUCAGAUAAAACCCUAAUUCUAGAUGUUUGUUUUAUAUUGAUCUUUUUUUCAUAUUUAUUUGAUUAUUAAUUUUAGUACUUAAGGACCGUCAACAAACUCCCCCAAGCUUACCCUUUGCUCGUCCCUAAGCAAACAGCUAAACUCAGAUGGAUCAGGAGUUGCUUCGAUGUUUUCUUUCCUGACAGGCACACAUGCUUUUACAUAAAAAUUCUUCCAGAUUAAAGUGAAGUGUUAUAGAGUUUAGUACCUGCACUUAAAUCUUAAGUAAUCAAAAGACAAAAUAGUUAAGUCAAGCACUAUCCCUCCUGUCUAUACUUCAUCUUUGUUCCAGAGUUUUUUUUUCAUAAGUUUUCAAAAUAAAACUCAGAGUUCCCAGCAAUGAUUCUCUCAAGUCUCUCUAUAUGUGGUAUUUGUGGAUCCUUACCAUGAUAUCACUUACCUAUAGCUAAUGGAAUAUUUAAGUCGAGCUCAUAGGAGUGAUAAACAGCUCAUACAUAUGUUGUCUAAUCGAGCCAUGGAUCCAAAGGAACUCAGCAUAUAAUUAAAUCAAGAUGUGCAUGUGUGAUGGAGUAAAUGAUAGUGAUGGUGAAAAUGCAUAACUGAUAAUAAAUUUUACUUCUCAUUGCUCCUCAUAUUGCUAUCUCUUUUCUUCUUUGAUCUUUGCUUUGGGAGAACAUGGGCUAUCUCUUUUUCUUCUUCUUUUUUUUUCAGGUGGGUAGUGGAUACCCCUAAUUCUACUGUCGGACACUUGUCCAUUUUUUCCGCUCAAGUGGGCAUCUUUGUACCCCUAAUUCUACUUCGGACACUUGUCUAUUUUUACCUCUCGUCUCACUCUUUUUCUUUCUUUUUCGAGGUUUCGGGCACUUGCCCCUUUUUAUUUCCUCGCAUAUUUUUGCAUAACCCAUGCCUCUUCUGUAUUGAAUCUUUUUAGAGAGAGAGAAUAACAAUAUUUGGGACAGUGAGUGAUAAUAUAUUUUUAGCAAUUUUAAUGAUUGAUGAUGAAUGCUGUGGUAGAUGUGUGCAAGUGAAUAUCUUAAUUUAACCACAUGAAAAGCUCCUAAGGGUCUACACAGCUCGAUCAAACUCAAUGUGAAUAUAGUGAAAGAUGUUAUAGCAAGUAUGGCUGUGGUAGGUAAUUUUGUUAUGCUAGGAACUCAUCAUGUGAUUUGUAAGUUUUCAAAAUAAAUCUCCAGAACUUAGUGUAGUAGAAACAGGAUAAACAGUAGCUCAACUUUAUAUCAUGCCUUUCUUUUACCUAGACUUUAGUUUUAUGCUUCCCAAAGAUAGUAAUUUUAGUUUUAGUAAUUCCUGGAAGAAUUCUAAUAUAAAAGCUAGGUACUUGUAAGUAAGCAAACAGAGCAAUUGUUCAUCAUUUCCAUCAUGCAUAUUUUUGGUCUUUUUAUUUUUUCUAGAGAUUAAACUUAGCAGAAAAAAAAUAAAGCACACUUAUCUACACACUCUUUUUGUUUUGUUUUCAUGUUUAUAAAGUACAGUAGAUUAAAGCAAGAAAAUAUUUAUUUGGUUUUCGAAGUUUUUCCUUUUAAGAUAAAUUAAAUACUAAGACAGAAUAGAAUAAAUAAGAAGAGCAAAUAAAAACUUACUUGAUAAAUUUGGGAGGAACUCCCCCAAGCUGGAUGUUGACGUCGGUCUUACCCGAUGUUCCAGAACCGCAUCAUGGUUGUGAUGUUGUCGUUCAUUGUUGUUGUAUCUUGUCUCAGCUCUUCUACUGCAGCGGCAUGGUCCUGGUUCCAUUUUUGUUGCUCUUCCAGGAGUCUUCCAUGUUCUGCUUGCGUGUUCUGGAUGUCGAGGAGGGUGUUGUCGGUACGAGUGAAGAAAGCACCGGCCUCUUGAUAAUAGUCAUUCGUGAAGGCGUAGGAGGCGUCGGAGUAUCGUCCUGCAUCAAAUUGGGGCGGAGGUCUGGAUCCUGAAGCUCCAUAUGGAUCAGUGGAGUACCUGCCCGUAUGAAAAGGCGGGUUUGUCCACUGGUGAUCUUGGCUCUCCGGCCAUGUCUCUUCUGUUGGCUCUUGUGGUUGCGCAUGACGAGCCCAUGGGUCUCGAAGGACUCGAGGGUUGUAAUCGCAAUAAUGCAGGUGCACUGCUUCUUCUGGUCCAGGGUCAGCUCCAUACCAAGUGCGUUCUCGGUGAGUGGUUAUCCUUUCAGACGCCACUCGCUGUGGAGUUCUCUGGUUCACUGGUGUUGCUGCAAUCUCAGUCAAAAAGUUUUGCACAGAGUAGAGGCCAAGGUUCGGGUUAGGUAACCGAAUCUUGCCUUUAUCAUCAUAUAGCAUGUACAUUAUGUUCUCCUCUUUCUUUAACAUCCGAGCUUGUCUAAAUGUGUCAUAGCCAUGAUAAAUUCUUAAUUCUUCUACGAAGUCCAACGAUGAGUUUUCUAGUAAGUGAAGAUUAGUGGCUGGACGAGUGAUAAGUGAAGUACAUCCUACUGGUCCCUGAAGACUAGGUAUACUAAGCCAAUGUGAAACUAAUAGUGUAACAGGUGAAGUGGGUACUUUACUAAUAGCAGCAUAUAAAAGUUGUAAAUCUCCUACUCUUACUUUCCUAAUAUCAUCGCGAUAGAAAAGAUUGUACCCAAGCCAUUUGUGAAACAUCCUAAGAGUGGGGUGUUCCAUGUCACUGGUUCGGGCUUGACUAUAAAAAUUAUCUCUAGAUAUUUCUCUCCAAAACUGGUGUCUCUCAAAAUUGGGUAAAUCGGAGUCAAUGUUCAGGAUGCAUCUUGAAGAGAAACCAAGAUGGUCGCUCAGCUCUCUCCAAGAUAACAUAAUUUCCUGUUUAAACAUCCGAAAAACAAUUCCCCCCUCAUAGUAUUGUAAGGUGCAAAGAAAUUCGAGAGUGAGAAGACGAGAACCCAGCUCAGUUAUAUUCCAAAAAUUUGUCCAACCCAUCAUUUGAAAAAUUAGGUCAAAUUCAGUGUCCAUACCUGUUUCUCGUAGUAGGAUUGGAUCGAUAGUAGGAGUGUGAAUGAAAUCCUUGUUCUUCAAUUGCUGAUAGACUUCCUUCUCUCUUCGGGUCUUCAGUCCAAGGUCUCCUAUCUUGAGAAGGACCUUGACUUGCUGACCUGAUGAAGAUGAUGGAGCUUGUGUGGGUGUCGGGUCGACGCUCAUCUCUGAUGGCUGUGAGGAGUGUCGGGUUGAACUCCUUGUACCAAUGUUCUUAAGAGCCUUCCCUGCAUUCUUCACCUUCUUAAACAUCCUGCAAACAAAAGUUGGCAAAAACACAACUGGUGGAAAAUGUGCGAUAAAAUGUUAGUGGUCAGCUGUCCGGAGUGUUAGUAGUCCAGGGGUUAAUCGUUCAAGUCAAGUUUCUAUUUUGGUAGACCCUUCCCCUAAACAACUUUUACUUCCGCUUGGACAGCGGGAUCACUAUUUGCUAGGUGACAAUCACUUUCUCAAAAGAACUCCAACCUUCCCUUCCACUCUCCUCUUUCUCUCUACUCUCUUCUCUUCACUACAAAAGCUCCUUCUCGGGAAACUAAGAUUUGUGUGGUUUUCUGAAGUGUGUGUGUGAAGAGAAGGGGAGCUGGAGGUGGCCUUUUAUAAGCUGAGCAGGGGACAGGGCGGGCGCCCACUUGUGAUGCCCAUCCUGGGUGUGCCUCCUCCACUUGCUUCCUUGCUUUGAUCUCACGCAGAAUAAUGUUGUGUUGGUAGUGGUUGGACGGUGGAAAGAUGUCAGGUGAGUGGAAACAUAUUGGUGGAUGAAAUUAUAUGAUGGGAUGUAUGUGAGGUGAAGUGUAUGACAUGUGGGACCCAAAGAGUGUGGGUCAUGCUUCUAGAAGAUCAAUAUAAUGCAGAAAAAAUCUAUGAGAAUUGAAACUUAAUUAAAAUGAUAAUGGGAAAUAUUUUUGUGCCUCCACAAUAAUUAAUAAAUAUGGGUUGUUACACACCACGAAUAUUAUUUAUAUGGGGCUUUUUGAUUAUUAUAAUAAUGCUAUGAAUAUAUAUGACUAAUGCAAGAAUUAAUUAUGCAAGAAUUUAAAUAUGAGAGAAAAAAUAAUGCGGAUAAAUACCGAUUUACCUCCCGGUGAGGGUUUGGGAUUUUUAGGUCUCCCAAGCUGGACCUCCAAUUCUUUUAAUCUUCUGAGUUUCCUUCCUCCGGAGAUGGUGUCUCCAGUGGUUCUUCAUGAACUUCCUUCACUGUAUAGUCUCCCUCUGGUCUGGGUUUGAAUGUGAAGUGUUUUUCUUGACCGUUUAUGUUGAACUUGAUUUUUCCCUUCCCGACAUCAAUGUGGGCAUAGGCAGUGCUCAGAAAUGGCCUUCCAAGGAUGAUGGAUACUUUCGAGUCAGGACUCAUGUCCAGUACUACGAAGUCUACUGGCAUAAGGAAAUCUCUGAUCUUGACUGGAAUGUUCGCGGCGAUGCCCAACGGGUGUCGAACCGAUUGAUCCGCUAGUUGUAGGCACAUGGAUGUUGGUUCUAGGGUUGCAUGCUCAAGCUUUUUGUAGACUGAUGCUGGCAUCACACUGACACUUGCUCCGAGAUCACAAAGUGCAUUGUUGAAGUGUUGGUUUCCGAUCGAGCAAUCAAUAGUGGGACAUCCAGGAUCUUCCUUCUUCUUUGGUGGUUUGUUGAGGAUGGCCGCACUACAUUCUUCUGUCAGCUUGAUAACCUCAGUGGUGGGCAGUGGUCUCUUCUUGUUAAGAAUAUCUCUGAUGUACUUUGCAUAUGUAGGUACCUGUAUGGCAUCGAGUAGAGGUAUGUUGACAUAUAAUUUCUGAAUGACCUCUACAAACUUACCAAACUGCUCAUCCGACUGCAGUCCUCUGUUUCUUUUGGGAAAUGGCAAAUAGUUGGUGUCGUAAAAAUCUUUCCUCAUUUCUCUAGUUCUUGGUGGUUGUGGCAGAUCUUCUGCUCCAACUGGGCUUUCUUCUUCUAUCACUGCUGGUUGGACUGGUGCUAAUGUUCUUUGUUUCUCUUUUGGGUAUGGUGGAUCUCUGGUAGCUUUGCCUCCUCUAGUAGUUAUAUUCUUUACCUGCUCAAUGUUAGUAGCAACAGGCAGUGCAGCAGCUAUCUUCAUUAAUUUAAGCUCUANNNNNNNNNNNNNNNNNNNNNNNNNNNNNNNNNNNNNNNNNNNNNNNNNNNNNNNNNNNNNNNNNNNNNNNNNNNNNNNNNNNNNNNNNNNNNNNNNNNNNNNNNNNNNNNNNNNNNNNNNNNNNNNNNNNNNNNNNNNNNNNNNNNNNNNNNNNNNNNNNNNNNNNNNNNNNNNNNNNNNNNNNNNNNNNNNNNNNNNNNNNNNNNNNNNNNNNNNNNNNNNNNNNNNNNNNNNNNNNNNNNNNNNNNNNNNNNNNNNNNNNNNNNNNNNNNNNNNNNNNNNNNNNNNNNNNNNNNNNNNNNNNNNNNNNNNNNNNNNNNNNNNNNNNNNNNNNNNNNNNNNNNNNNNNNNNNNNNNNNNNNNNNNNNNNNNNNNNNNNNNNNNNNNNNNNNNNNNNNNNNNNNNNNNNNNNNNNNNNNNNNNNNNNNNNNNNNNNNNNNNNNNNNNNNNNNNNNNNNNNNNNNNNNNNNNNNNNNNNNNNNNNNNNNNNNNNNNNNNNNNNNNNNNNNNNNNNNNNNNNNNNNNNNNNNNNNNNNNNNNNNNNNNNNNNNNNNNNNNNNNNNNNNNNNNNNNNNNNNNNNNNNNNNNNNNNNNNNNNNNNNNNNNNNNNNNNNNNNNNNNNNNNNNNNNNNNNNNNNNNNNNNNNNNNNNNNNNNNNNNNNNNNNNNNNNNNNNNNNNNNNNNNNNNNNNNNNNNNNNNNNNNNNNNNNNNNNNNNNNNNNNNNNNNNNNNNNNNNNNNNNNNNNNNNNNNNNNNNNNNNNNNNNNNNNNNNNNNNNNNNNNNNNNNNNNNNNNNNNNNNNNNNNNNNNNNNNNNNNNNNNNNNNNNNNNNNNNNNNNNNNNNNNNNNNNNNNNNNNNNNNNNNNNNNNNNNNNNNNNNNNNNNNNNNNNNNNNNNNNNNNNNNNNNNNNNNNNNNNNNNNNNNNNNNNNNNNNNNNNNNNNNNNNNNNNNNNNNNNNNNNNNNNNNNNNNNNNNNNNNNNNNNNNNNNNNNNNNNNNNNNNNNNNNNNNNNNNNNNNNNNNNNNNNNNNNNNNNNNNNNNNNNNNNNNNNNNNNNNNNNNNNNNNNNNNNNNNNNNNNNNNNNNNNNNNNNNNNNNNNNNNNNNNNNNNNNNNNNNNNNNNNNNNNNNNNNNNNNNNNNNNNNNNNNNNNNNNNNNNNNNNNNNNNNNNNNNNNNNNNNNNNNNNNNNNNNNNNNNNNNNNNNNNNNNNNNNNNNNNNNNNNNNNNNNNNNNNNNNNNNNNNNNNNNNNNNNNNNNNNNNNNNNNNNNNNNNNNNNNNNNNNNNNNNCAUUAUUUCUGUAUAGUCUAAAAAACAGCAUAAAAAACAGCUACUAAGUGAGAAAUCAUAACAAGGCACCUCUGCUUUGGCAGGUUCACCCUGUUGUUUUUCUAUGUUUAUAUUUUUAUACAGGGUAUAUCAGGAUUGACUUUGGGUACAUUCAACUCUUCAUCAUCAGAACUAAAGCAAUCAAGAGAAGAAGAAGCUAGCUACCAAUUGCUGAAGCUAUGGCACAAAAGACACUACAAGAAUUCUCUGCUCCAAGUCUUGAGAACAUUCCAACUGGUCCAAGACUUGCAGUAGAAGGAGUACCUGAGUUUGAGCUCAAGUCAAGCCUCAUCAAUUUGGUGCAAGCUACACAAUUCAGUGGAAAGGCACAUGAAGAUGCUAGUGCACACUUGCAGAAUUUUUUAGAGAUUGGAAGCACAAUCCACAUCAACGGAGUUGACAAAGACGUCAUACUACUUCGCCUUUUUCCAUUCUCACUAGAAGGGAAAGCGAGGAAGUGGUUCUACACUCAUCAAGAUAACAUCAACAACUGGACGAACUUGUCAGAUGCCUUUCUAUCAAAGUUUUUCCCUAUAGGCAAAACAACUACCUUAAGAGGAAAUAUUGUCAGUUUCCAACAGCAGAAGACAGAAGCCAUUUCAGAAGCAUGGGAGCAUUUUCAAGGAUACAUAUCAGAUUGUCCUCACCAUGGAAUGGCCAUAUGGUUACUUAUGCAGAUCUUCUACCAUGGAUUAACCCAGAAGGCUCGUGAGUGCCUAGAUGCAUCUGCUAAAGGAUCAUUCUUGGAGCUUACAAUUGGAAAAGCAGAGAUACUUUUGGAUAAGAUAGCAGAAAACCAAAGCUGGUUCCAAGAUAAAGCUCAACAAUGUCAUCAAACUGAAGAAAUACCAGAAGAAGUAAAAGCAUUAUCAACCAAGACGGAAAAUUUGCUUCAUUGGAUUGACCAGAGGGCCAAGUUCAAAGAAGAUCAAAGGGCCAUUGAGACAGCAUACAAAUAUCAACCAACUUCAAGUCAACCAAAUAGCAAAGGUAUGAAUUCAGGUAAUACUUUCAAGCAACUUUCAUUAAAAGAGAUAAUUGCUCAACAAACCAAAAUUAAUGAUGAAGUUAAACAAAGGCUAGAUACAAAUGAAUCAUCUCUAAAAGAUAUACACAAUAAAAUGGAUUUUCUACUAACUGCCUUUGAUGAGCAAAACACUCUUAAUAAAAGGGUAGAGCUUAAAUUAAUAAAGAUAGUUGCUGCACUGCCUGUUGCUACUAACCUUGAGCAGGUAAAGAAUAUAACUACUAGAGGAGGCAAAGCAACCAGAGAUCCCCCAUACCCAAAAGAGAAACAAAGAACAUGAGCACCAGUACAACCAGCAGUGAUAGAAGAAGAAAGCCCUGUUGAAGCAGAAGAUCUGCUACAACCACCAAGAACUGGAGAAAUGAGGAAAGAUUUCUACGACACCAACUAUUUGCCAUUUCCCAGGAGAAACAGAGGACUGCAGUCGGAUGAGCAGUUUGGUAAGUUUGUAGAGGUCAUUCAGAAAUUAUAUGUCAACAUACCUCUGCUCGAUGCCAUACAGGUACCUACAUAUGCAAAGUACAUCAGAGAUAUUCUUAACAAGAAGAGACCACUGCCCACCACUGAGGUUAUCAAGCUGACAGAAGAAUGUAGUGCGGCCAUCCUCAACAAACCACCAAAGAAGAAGGAAGAUCCCGGAUGUCCCACUAUUGACUGCUCGAUCGGAAACCAACACUUCAACAAUGCACUUUGUGAUCUCGGAGCAAGUGUCAGUGUGAUGCUAGCAUCAGUCUACAAAAAGCUUGAGCAUGCAACCUUAGAACCAACAUCAAUGUGCCUACAACUAGCGGAUCAAUCGGUUCGACACCCGUUGGGCAUCACCGAGAACAUUCCAGUCAAGAUCAGAGAUUUCCUGGUGCCAGUAGAUUUCGUAGUACUGGACAUGAGUCCUGACUCAAAAGUGUCCAUCAUCCUUGGAAGGCCAUUUCUGAGCACUGCCAAUGCCCACAUUGAUGUCGGAAAAGGAGAAAUCAAGUUCAACAUAAACGGUCAAGAAGAACACUUCACAUUCAAACCCAGACCAGAGAGAGACUCUACAGUGAAGGAAGUUCAUGAAGAACCACUGGAGACACCAUCUCUGGAGGAAGGUAACUCAGAAGAUUAAAAGAUUUGGAGGUCCAGCUUGGGGGACCUAAAAAUCCCAAACCCUCAUCGGGAGGUAAAUCGGUAUUUAUCUGCAUUAUUAAUUUUCUCAUAUUUAAAUUCUUGCAUAAUUAAUUCUUGCAUUAGUCAUAUAUUCAUAGCAUUAUUAUAAUAAUCAAAAUCCCCAUAUAAAUAAUAUCUGUGGUGUAUAACAAUCCAUAUUUAUUAAUUAUUGUGGAGGCACAAAAAAAAUAUUUUCCAUAAUCAUUUUUAAUAAGUUUCAAUCCUCAUAGAUUUUCCUGCAUUAAAUUUAAUUAUAUUAACCUUCUAGAAGCAUGACCCACACUCUUUGGGUCCCACAUGUCAUACACUUCACCUCACAUACAUCCCAUCACAUAAUUUCAUCCACCAAUAUGUUUCCACUCACCUGACAUCUUUUCACCGUCCAACCACCACCAACACAACAUUAUUCUGCGUAAGAUCAAAGCAAGGAAGCAAGUGGAGAGAGGGCAGCCAGGAUGGGCAUCACAAGUGGGCACCCGCCCACCUACCAAGGGCGCCCACCCUGUCCCCUUUUCCUCCUAUAAAAGGCCACCUCCAGCUCCCCUUCUCUUCACACAAACACUCUAGAAAACCACACAAGUUUCAGUUUCCCGAGAAGGAGCUCUUGUAGUGAAGAGGAGAAAGUAGAGAGAAAGAGGAGAGUGGAAGGGAAGGUUGGAGAUCUUUUGAGAGAGUGUUUAUCACCUAGCAAGUAGUGAUCCCGCUGUCCAAGCGGAAGUAAAAGUUGUUUAGGGGGAGGCUCUACCAAAAUAGAAAUUUGUCUUCAACAAUUAACCCCUGGACUACUGAUAUUCCGGACAGCUGACCACUAACAUUUUCUCUCACAUUUUCCACUAGUUGUGUCUUGCCAACUUUUGUUUACAGGAUGUUUAAGAAGGUGAAGAAUGCAGGGAAGGCUCUCAAGAAAAUUGGUACAAGGAGUUCAGCCUGACACUCCUCACAGCCAUCAGAGAUGAGCGUCGACCCGACACCCACACAAGCUCCAACAUCUUCAUCAGGUCAGCAAGUUAAGGUCCUUCUCAAGAUAGGAGACCUAGGACUGAAGACCCGAAGAGAGAAGGAAGUCUAUCAACAACUGAAGAAUAAAGAUUUCAUUCAUACCCCUACUCUCGAUCCAAUCCUACUACAAGAAACAGGUAUGGCCACUGAAUUCGACUUGAUUUUUCAGAUGAUGGGUUGGACAAAUUUUUGGAAUAUAACUGAGCUGGGUUCUCGUCUUCUCACCCUCGAAUUUCUUUGCACCUUACAAUACUAUGAGGGGGGAAUUGCUUUUCGGAUGUUCAAACAGGAAAUUAUGUUGUCUUGGAGAGAGCUAAGCGACCAUCUUGGUCUCUCUUCAAGAUGCAUCCUGGACAUUGACUCUGAUUUACCCAACUUUGAGAGACACCAGUUUUGGAGAGAAAUAUCUAGAGAUAAUUUUUAUACUCAAGCCCGAACCAGUGACAUGGAACACCCCACUCUUAGGAUGUUCCACAAAUGGCUUGGGUACAAUCUUUUCUAUCCCGAUGAUAUUAGGAAAGUAAGACUAGGAGAUUUACAACUUUUAUAUGCUGCUAUUAGUAAAGUACCCACUUCACCUGUUACACUAUUAGUUUCACAUUGGCUUAGUAUACCUAGUCUUCAGGGACCAGUAGGAUGUACCUCACUUAUCACUCGUCUAGCCUCUAAUCUUCACUUACUAGAAAAUUCAUCAUUGGACUUCUUAGAAGAAUUAAGAAUUUAUCAUGGCUAUGACACAUUUAGACAAGCUCGGAUGUUAAAGAAAGAGGGGAAUAUAAUGUAUAUGCUAUAUGAUGAUAAAGGGAAUAUUCGGUUUCCUAACCUGAACCUUGGCCUCUACGUUGUUCAAAACUUUUUGAUUGAGAUUGCAGCAACACCAGUGAACCAGAGAACCCCACAGCGAGUGGCAUCUGAAAGGAUAACCACUCACCGAGAACGCACCUGGUAUGGAGCUGACCCCGGACCAGAAGAAGCAGGACACCUGCAUUAUUGCGAUUACAACCCUCGAGUCCUUCGAGACCCAUGGGUUCGUCAUGCGCAACCACAAGAGCCAACAGAGGAGACAUGGCCGGAGAGCCAAGAUCACCAGUGGACAAACCCGCCUUUUCAUACGGGCAGGUACUCCACUGAUCCAUAUGGAGCUUCAGGAUCCAGACCUCCACCCUAAUUUGAUGCAGGACGAUACUCCGACGCCUCCUACGCUUUCACGAAUGACUACUAUCAAGAGGCCGGUGCUUUCUUCACUCGUACCGACAACACCCUCCUAGACAUCCAGAACACGCAAGCAGAACAUGGAAGACUCCUGGAAGAACAGCAAAAAUGGAACCAGGACCAUGCCGCUGCAGUGCAAGAGCUGAGACAAGAUACAACAAUAAUGAACGACAACAUCACAACCAUGAUGCGGUUCUGGAACAUCGGGUAAGACCGACGGCAACAUCCAGCUUGGGGGAGUUCCUCCCUAAUUUAUCAAGUAAGUUUUUAUUUGCUCUUCUUAUUUAUUCUAUUGUGUCUUAGUAUUUAAUUUAUCUUAAAAAGGAAAAACUUAGAAAACCAAAUAAAUAUUUUCUUGCUUUAAUAUUACUAUAUUCUAUAAACAUGAAAACAAAAUAAAAAGAGUGUGUAGAUAAGUGUGCUUUAUUUAUCUGCUAAGUUUAAUCUCUAGAAAGAUAAAAAUACCAAAAAGAUGCAUGAUGGAAGUGAUGAAUAGUUGCUCUGUUUGCUUACUUUCAAGUACCUAGCUUUUAUAUUAGAGUUCUUCCAUGAAUUACUAAAACUGAAAUUACUAUCUUUGGGAAGCAUAAAACUAAAGUCUAGGUAAGAGAAAGGCAUGAUAUAAAGUUGAGCUGCUGUUUGUCUUGUUUCUACUACACUAAGUUCUAGAGAUUUAUUUUGAAACCUUACAAAUCACAUGAUGAGUUCCUAGCAUACAAAACUACCUACCACAGCCAUACUUGCUAUAACAUCUUUUACUAUAUUUACAUUGAGUUUGAUCGAGCUGUGUAGACCCUUAGGAGCUUUUCAUGUGGUUAAAUUAAGAUAUUCACUUGCACACAUCUACUACACUAUCCAUCAUCAUUCAUUAAAAUUACUAAAAAUAUUAUCACUCACUAUCCCGAAUAUUGUUAUUCUCUCUCUCUAAAAAGAUUCAAUGCAAAAGAGGCAUGGGUUAUGCAAAAAAAUACGAGGACAUAAAAAGGGGCAAGUGUCCGGAACCUCGAAAAAGAAAGAAAAAGAGUGAGGCGAGAGGUAAAAAUGGACAAGUGUCCGAAGUAGAAUUAGGGGUACAAAGAUGCCCACUUGAGUGGAAAAAAUGGACAAGUGUCCGAUAGUAGAAUUAGGGGUAUCUACUACCCACCUAAAAAAAAGAAGAAAAGAUAGCCCAUGUUCUCCCAAAGCAAAGAUCAGAGAAGAAGGAGAGAUAGCAAUAUGAGUGUUGACGGUCCUUAAUGCUCACAUUUAACCAUCAACUAAUCAUAGAAAAGGAUCCAAAUACAAUCAACACCUAGACUUAGGGUUUUAUCUGACAGAAUUCCAUGAGUUUUGGUGUUUGUCUAUUUCUGCAGGGGGUUAUCAGGAAAUAAGGAAGAAAGGCCCACACGUCGGGUUUACAUAGAGAUAUUAACGUGCCGCGCAAUUUUCUACCAUCUAGAAGACUCCAGAAGCCACGGGAACGAACGGGAGACGUAACGGAGCUGGGCACUGGGCGCUCGCCCUCCCUUACUGGGCGCCCGCCCUCCCCCCUGGACCAAUCAGGGUGAAGUUCGGGGAUCAUGCUCCACCGACCUAAUACUUCAAGGAAAACCACACGAUCAAUGUCGGUUUGAUCCGAUGACCCAGAUUCACUUGAAGGGACUAUAAAACCAGACCCCCCCUGGCCCCUGGAGAUCAUACCUCUUCUACAGAAUCAAAGUUAGGGUUUCAAUUCUUCAUCCAAGUAGAGAGGAUCCCUCUAGUUCUUCUAGUUCUACCUCUAGUUCAUCUAGAUCUAGUUCUAGUUCAUCUAGUUCUAGUUCUAGUUCCUCUAGUUCUAGUUCUAGUUAGUUCUAGUUGUAAUCUAGAAAAUAGGGAGAGAGAAGAGGAGAGCGGAGGAGGAGCCGGAUCUGUCGGAUCUUCCUCAACAUUAUACUUUUGCAGCAUCUGGUUCGUUCUUCAUCGUUCUCCAGGUUCUUCAAUUCAUAAUUCCUGAGUUCUCUAAUUACUUUUAUUUACAUUCAAGUUAUUUAUUGGAUUCCCGCUUGCAUGAAGUGCUCUAGUCUUUAUAACGCUAGAGUAGUAAUUAAUAGAUUAGACGUGGUGUUUAGUCUUGCAAUUACCUGGAAUUGCACCCAAUCCUGCGGAUUGUUGUGGUAGCCUUAGGGUAGUGACAGCCCUAACGGUUGACGUAUUCCACCAUGUUCGGAUCGGUGUUUGUAGGACCGUAGUCAGACCUUCCUAGCCCCCUUCUCAUCUCUUUCUGUGGUUAGUGCUCUGAUGUCCCGAAAUAGAUAAUCUUGAAGUAAUUCUUGAUUCUUAGAUCAACUAGAGAACUCUCAGGAAACUUCCUCUCUUCCCACCACCAAAAAUAAUUAUAUAGUUAUCCUUGGGCGAUCUUGGAUCUUAAUUAGUACACUCACGUUCCCUGUGGAAAAUCGAUACUCUGGAAUACUCCCGGGUGAAGGCUACAUCGGUAUCCGUGCGCUUGCGGAUUUUUCUGUUUGCGUUUAAAAUACCCAACAAGCUUUCUGGCGCCGUUGCUAGGGAACGGUAGUUGUGCUAGUUUCGAACCAAGUCGUCCGUGUAUCCUUUUUAUUUUCUUUUUUUACCACACUCACCUUAUCAUUUUCACCAUACCACAUGGAUUUCACUCUAAGCAUUAAUGAGCAUGGAAUUUAUUUCAUAGCCACUUCAUUUACUCCAUGCUCAUAUGCAACAUCUUCCCAAUCCAUUGGUUUUUCCAACAUCACCACAUUCGAGAUAUCCAACCCCCUCAUCCUUUCUAUUUAUAAAAACUUUAAAAGGGCGGUUGUCGAUGCAUAUGUCUAUAUUAAAUAUUGCAGAUCUCGUUGAGUUGAUCUUGAUAUAGGUCAGCGUUGGAGGAGAAACCAGUUCACUGACAUAAAUUGAUGGUUUUCCAAGGACAAGCUUAGCAUCCUAAAAUAAGCACUGAUCAGACCAUAACAUGAACUUUUAAUUAUUUGCAACAUUACCUUGUUGUUGAGCAUAUCAGGAUAAUUGUAAAAAUAUUCCUUCGGGUAUUCUUGUCACUAACCUUUCCAGGAUUGGAGCAAGAAGAUCAGAUGAAUGACAAGCACAAGGUAUGUACAACCAAUCAUCAUACAACAUUGAAUUAAAUUCAUCCAAACUUGAAUUUUGCAAAAUUUAAGCUUGGGGGAGUACUUUACAUAAAAACAUCCUUUGCCAUGUUGCUAUGUUGGUUGUCCCUACCUUUGAGACAUGCUCAAUUUGUUAAAUACUAAUCACACUACUUCAUCUCCACUUGAGUAGAUCUCUAUAAAUGCUCUCAUGCUACCUUUAUUUGCUUUAGUAUAUGUCUAGGUUUGGAGUAGUUUCAUUUAUCUCUUAAUUAAGCAUGUGCUUAGUUUAGGAAUGAUGAUCUUACUUCGAAAAUGAUUUUAAAUUAAGCAUGAUGCUUAGGUUAAAAUUCCCUCCUAAAUCAAAUUAGACAUGGUGUCUAGGUUGAUCUUUGAGCCGAUAGUAUGCUAUAGUAGAUAUUGGAUAUUUUGUUGGACUAACCCCUGCAGGAAAACUUCAAUAUCGACCUGGGAAGUCCUGAGAUAAACUCACAUUGGAGACAAAGAGAGAGACACAUGAAGUUUAACAAUUAACACAAGGAAGGCAUAGCUCACAAGAGAUGAUCUAUGGAGGGUGCCACAAACAUGAUGCACAACCGCUAAGAAAGGAAAGCUUCCACAAGGUGAUACUGUACCAUCACUCUUCAAGUAAGGUAACAUCUUAAGGUACUUGUCUAUCACUUUUAUAAGUUUCUCCUUGUUUCUAGCGUUCACAUGAAUAAAAGAGACAAACAUGUAUGAUUUACAACUCUAGAUUAACCAACCCAAUCGAUUCAAUAUGUUUAGUCCUUCCACCUUUGUGAUCCCACACUCCUAAUCAUAUGAGCUAAAAUGUUGCACACUCAAUCUUUGGAAGAUAUAUUUUAUAAAAAAAACAACAUAAAUAUAGAUAGAUUAUCUUUCCAUUAGGUUGAGCGAUCUGAUCUGACAAAUAUUUUAAAUGCUACACUCAUGAUCUUAUUAUCCAUCAACUUUAUCUUGCUCACUAUGCUAAAGGUUAGAGAAGAACAAAUACAUUUUUGGUUCUAUUGGUGUUUUCCACCAACAGGGACCAUGCACUUGAUCUCUGCCUUGUCCCUAUGAGCAGGUACAAUUUGAGCAAAAUAUGAAGGAGUUUUACAACUCCUAGACUCCACCAAGUGAAGAACCUAGAUCAACGAGUACACACACUGGAGAUACUGGACACUCAGACAAUCUAGGAUGCCCCGUCAUCCUGAUCUCCAUUGGCAUGGUGGACUUCCCAGAAGCACUCUGCAACUUUGGCUCUAGCGUCAACAUUAUGCCUAGGGUACUGUAUGAAAAAUUCUUUACAUAUCCUUUAUUGGAAACAGCCAUGUGUUUGCAGCUUGCAGAUCGAACGCUAAGUUUCCCAAAGGGAAUAUUGAAGAACCUCUGCGUCCGAGUUGGUACCUUGUACGCUCCAGCAGACUUCGUGGUGAUAGAGACUGGUACUGAUGAGAGGGCACCCAUCAUCCUAGGGAGGCCAUUCCUGAACACCUCGGGAGCUGUCAUCUACGCUAGUGCUGUCGAGAUCAGUAUCUACAUCAAGGGAAAGAAGGAGACAUUUUCCUUCAAGAACAAGAUUACACAAAUCUCAAAUCAAUCCCGACAUGAACCAAGGAAGAGGAUCAACAGGAGGGACAGGAACAAGUAAAUGUGGACUGAGUCAGCUAAGAUGGUCACUGCAGCUCAAGGUGGUCAAGAUCGUCAACUCAAGUCGCCUUUCUCGAUCAAGAAGGACGACCCUAGCAUUCCAAGCAUCGAGUGCACAAUCAACGGAUAUUCUAUUCAGAAGACACUCUACGACACCGGAUCUGAUGUCAAUGGCCGCAGUCACCUAUUAGCUCCUGUUUAGAACCAUGCCCCUACAACCAAAAUACAUUCAGCUCCAGAUGAUUUGAAGGUUAUUGUCAUGGGAGAAGACGAGUACAAUCCACCCAUCAUCCUUGGAAGACCGUUCCUCAACACCGUUAAAGUAAUCAUUUACAUUGGAACCGGAGAAGUCCACAUGCACUUCCCCUCUGAGAAGGUACGCCGCUAUUUUACUGACCCUAACCAUAUAGUUGAAGACUCUAAGCAGGUCAGGACAAGAAGAAGACGAUGCAACCGCAAUCAGAGAAGGCAAAUCAUCAAGGACGGAUGGGUAGACUAUGAAGGAGAAGUUGUAAGGUCUGAAGACAUAAAGCUUGAACAGAACUGUCCUAAGGAGACCGUAGCACCGAGUCAGGUGUGGAGAGAGAAGAUAGUUAUACACGAAGACCAGGCACUGCCAGAAUCACCGACUACGCCAUCCACCGAAUCCCAGGACGAUUGAGAAAACGGAGAGUCUCGUUCGGAGGACUUAAAAACACCGAACGCCUUGCCAAGAGAAUUAAAGGAUCAAAGAAGACUAGUAGACAGAGGACAUCCUAAUCAAUGUCAGGGUGCUGCCGACAUUCAAAUACACCUCCGCCACCUGCUACAUCAAAAGGAAUUACGUCAAAAUCCAGCUUGGGGGAGAGCACCUCCAUUUAUCCAGCUAAGUAUUCUACUCAUGUUUAUAUUUUACUCAAAUAAUAAAAAGAUGCAUAAUCAUAAAAACCCAAAUAAAUAUUUUGUGCUUAUAUAUAUAUAUAUAUCUUUGCUUAGUUUGCUAAAUAAAUAAAUAAAUAAAAAUUUGCUAUGAACCCUCAUGAUAAGCUCUCACAUGGAAAGAUGAAUAGUUGCUCUGCCAUGACUAGUUCUCAAAAUUGAAAUCUCUCUCAAGUUUAGGCAUCACUGUUAUUAAUUAAGAUUUGCUCUAAACCUGAACUUGUGGGAAGAAUACUUGAUCUGAAGUCUAAGUCGUUAACGGAUAUGAUAUGGGAAGGUUGAGCUGCUGUUUAUCUGUUCCUAGAGAUGCUAGAAUUCUGGAGAAUUUUAUCUUUGAAAAUCUUUAAAAUAUCACAUGAUGAGUUCCUGUAUGAUGAGAGUUUAAAUUCCUACCACAGCCAUAUAUACAUGCUUGCUAGACUUUGAGCCACACAUUUACUUUUUACUGCUUAUGAGCAUUGAGUGUGGUCAAGCUGUGUAGACCCUUAGGAGCUUGUCAUGUGGUUAAAUCAAGAUUCACUUGCACGUUCACUCACACAUGCUACUUCUACUCUAGAAGUACCAUCCACAUAUAUCCAUCCAUUUCCAUCUCCAGAACCACCCAAAAAAAUAUUCUACUCCUAAUCCGAGAGAGAAUAGCCAAAAACAUUCUCCUAUUUAUGUUUUUCCUGUGUGAAAUAAAUGCUCAAGUUAUCUUGGUUACUACCACUUGCUAUAUUAUUUCAGGAGAUGAGUGCUCUAAAAAAAGAGAAAGAAAAAAAAGAAUACGAGGAAAUAAAAAGGGGCAAGUGCCCGGAACCUCAAAAAAAAAGGAAAGUGAGACGAGAGGUAAAAAUGGACAAGUGUCCGACAGUAGAAUUAGGGGUACAAGAUACCCACCUGAAAGAAAAAAAGAGAAGAAGAAAAUAUAGAGCAUCUCAUUCUCCUCAAAAAGUUUCAAAAGAGCAAGAAAGGUAUGUAUCCCCUCAAAAGAGCAAAAGUAGAAUUAGACUUUCACCAUUGUUAUCACCAUCAUCACCAUACACCAUUCAUUCGCCACACAUGCACAUCUUGAUUUGACUUAUUGACUUGUUCUUCUGGAUCCAUGGUUUGACUAUGCAAUAAAUGUCUUGUAAGUAUGUAUUAGCUCUCUCCCACCUAUGAGCUCCAGAUAUCAAAAGCCUUAUUAGAGUAGGGUGAGAGAGAAGGCAAUGCCACUAUGCCUUAUACCACAAAUACCACAUACUUUGAGAGAAGGCAUAUACCAUCACUGCCUUGGUAAGGAUCCAGAAAUACCACAAAAGAGAGACUAGAGAGAGUCAUACAAGGAAUCUCUGAGUUUUAUUUGAAAAUCUGCAAAAACUCCAGAGCUAUAGCUGAUCAAGAAUAAGAGACAUGGUGCUUGACUAGACUGUUCUAUCUUUUAACUACUCAAGACAGAAGUGACGGUUACAAGUCCCAUGGUGAAAGGUAAAUGAGUAAGUUUUAAGUCUUAAUAGUUUACUCUAACCAGAGAUGAGAUCUUGUUUAAACGCAUGUGUAUCUUUAAGUUAUGAAACCACUGCAGAAACUCUUGAGUUCAUCUUUGCUCAGGGACGAGCAAAGGUUAAGCUUGGGGGAGCUUGUUGACGGUCCUUAAUGCUCACAUUUAACCAUCAACUAAUCAUAGAAAAGAAUCCAAAUACAAUCAACACCUAGACUUAGGGUUUUAUCUGACAGAAUUCCACGAGUUUUGGUGUUUGUCUAUUUCUACAGGGGGUUAUCAGGAAAUAAGGAAGAAAGGCCCACACGUCGGGUUUACAUAGAGAUAUUAACGUGCCACGCAAUUUUCUACCAUCUAGAAGACUCCAGAAGCCACGGGAACGAACGGGAGACGUAACGGAGCCGGGCACUGGGCGCCCGCCCUCCCUUACUGGGCGCCCGCCCUCCCCCCUGGACCAAUCAGGGUGAAGUUCGGGGAUCAUGCUCCACCGACCUAAUACUUCAAGAAAAACCACACGAUCAAUGUCGGUUUGAUCCGACGGCCCAGAUUCACUUGAAGGGACUAUAAAACCAGACCCCCCUGGCCCCUGGAGAUCAUACCUCUUCUACAGAAUCAAAGUUAGGGUUUCAAUUCUUCAUCCAAGUAGAGAGGAUCCCUCUAGUUCUUCUAGUUCUACCUCUAGUUCAUCUAGAUCUAGUUCUAGUUCAUCUAGUUCUAGUUCUAGUUCCUCUAGUUCUAGUUCUAGUUAGUUCUAGUUGUAAUCUAGAAAAUAGGGAGAGAGAAGAGGAGAGCGGAGGAGGAGCCGGAUCUGUCGGAUCUUCCUCAACAUUAUACUUUUGCAGCAUCUGGUUCGUUCUUCAUCGUUCUCCAGGUUCUUCAAUUCAUAAUUCCUGAGUUCGCUAAUUACUUUUAUUUACAUUCAAGUUAUUUAUUGGAUUCCCGCUUGCAUCAAGUGCUCUAGUCUUUAUAACGCUAGAGUAGUAAUUAAUAGAUUAGACGUGGUGUUUAGUCUUGCAAUUACCUGGAAUUGCACCCAAUCCUGCGGAUUGUUGUGGUAGCCUUAGGGUAGUGACAGCCCUAACGGUCGACGUAUUCCACCACGUUCGGAUCGGUGUUUGUAGGACCGUAGUCAGACCUUCCUAGCCCCCUUCUCAUCUCUUUCUGUGGUUAGUGCUCUGAUGUCCCGAAAUAGAUAAUCUUGAAGUAAUUCUUGAUUCUUAGAUCAACUAGAGAACUCUCAGGAAACUUCCUCUCUUCCCACCACCAAAAAUAAUUAUAUAGUUAUCCUUGGGCGAUCUUGGAUCUUAAUUAGUACACUCAUGUUCCCUGUGGAAAAUCGAUACUCUAGAAUACUCCUGGGUGAAGGCUACAUCGGUAUCCGUGCGCUUGCGGAUUUUUCUGUUUGCGUUUAAAAUACCCAACAAUGAGGAGCAAUGAGAACCAAGUUUUAUUAUUACUUAUACAUUUUUAUCAUCACUAUCAUUUACUCCAUCACACAUGCACAUCUUGAUUUAAUUAUAUGCUGAGUUCCUUUGGAUCCAUGGCUCGAUUAGACAACAUAUGUAUGAGCUGUUUUUCACUCCAAUGAGCUCCACUUAAAUAUUCCAUUAGCUAUAGGUAAGUGACAUUAUGGUAAGGAUCCACAAAUACCACAUAUAGAGAGACUUGAGAGAAUCAUUGCUGGGAACUCUGAGUUUUAUUUUGAAAACUUAUGAAAAACUCUGGAACCAAGGUGAAGUAUAGACAGGAGGGAUAGUGCUUGACUUAACUAUUUUGUCUUUCAAUUACUUAAGAUUUAAGUGCAGGUACUAAACUUUAUAAAACUUCACUCUAAUCUGGAAGAAUUUUAUGUAAAAGCAUGUGUGCCUGUCAGGAAAGAAAACAUCAAAGCAACUCCUGAUCCGUCUGAGUUUAGCUAUUUGCUCAGGGACGAGCAAAGGGUAAGCUUGGGGGAGUUUGUUGACGGUCCUUAAGUACUAAAAUUAAUAAUCAAAUAAAUGUGAAAAAGGAUCAAUAUGAAACAAACAUCUAGAAUUAGGGUUUUAUCUGACAGAAUUCCACGAGCUUUGGUGUUUAUCUAUUUCUGCAGGGGGUUAUCAGAGAAUAUGGAGAGAAGGCCCACAUGUCAUGUUUACAACGAGAUAAUUACGUGCCGUGCAAUUUUCCUCAAUGUAGAAGAAUCCAGAAGCCACGGGAACGAACGAGAAGGGAAUCGGGCUCGGGGGCAGGGCGGCCGCCCACCCGCCUUGGGCACCCGCCCAGGCCAGGAGUCCAAUCAGGACUCUGCUUCGGGACUACGCUCCACCGACCUAAAGGACACUGCCACACGUUCGGGCAUUAGCACCGGUCGGGAAGGGCCUGUUGCCCCGGUUCCCGAGCCGGUGCUGCCCUUCCGGGACUAAAGGCCCACCCUUUAGUCCCGGUUCCGUUAACCGGGGCUGAAGCCCCCCCCUUUAACACCGGUUGGUAACACCAACCGGUGUUAAAGGGUCCUGCCAGGGCUGCCACGUUGCAGGACCCUUUAACACCGGUUGGUAUUACCAACCGGUGUUAAAGGGUUUCUUUUUCUUUUUUUUUUUGGUUCACUUCUUCGGUUCUGUUUAUUGUUUAUAUAUAAUAUAUAAUAAUAGGUUUUUCAAUACAUGUUUUGCUGAUACAAUAAUAUAUUUAUAUUACACGCAUAUUAAGCAUAUAUAAAUGAAAAUUAUAGGCUAAGCUUAAUAGUUAAGCUUUGCCUAUAAUAAAAUGAAUAGACCACAUCAAAAAUUAAAUAUAUAUGUAAAAAGCUUUAUAUAUAUAUAGUUUUAUAUGUACAAAAUUCGUAACACAUAUAUACAUAGAGUUUGUUCUCCCAAUGUCUACAAACGAUACAAAUGAUCAUCGUUGUUUGGUAUAAGAGUUUCGUUGCCGUUGAAGUGAAACUCGCCGUUUGGAUUGAUCACUUGGUCGCGGAGAAAUCCUGCUAUCGUCUCUUGGAUAGCUUUGAUUCGGUCUUGUUGUAGGACCUUUUCCCUCAGCCAUUCCGUCUUUAAUUUGAAAUAAAUAAAAAAGGUAUUAGUUAUCUAAGUUAUUCAAUAUAAUUCAGGAGAUAAUGAAAAGAGACAUGUAACGUACUCUGAGCGUCUCUGUGGGUGUUUGAUUGACUUGUGCCAUCAUGAAUUUGCACACGUAAUAUGCACAUAGAUUGUUCCCCCCUUCUUGUCUUAAACACCACUGUACGAUGUAUAUAUAUAUAAAAAUAUUCAUGACCACGACAAUAAGAAGGCUAAAAGUUAGCGAAAGUUUGUUAGCUAGUAGAACUUACUUGUGGAUGUAUUAUGUUAAGCGGCGCUUUACAUCCACUGAGAUGUUCACGGUCAAUGAAUCUUUCCCAAACCCUAUACACAGCCAUUGUGGAUCGUGAACUAAUAAUUACAGAGUCAUAUUAUGAUAUUUUUGUAGCUGAGAUCGACAUUACGUACCUUUGAAUAACGUUUACCAUUUGUUGAUAAUUUUCUUGUGGUUUUCUCAUUGAGUCAAAGAUUAUCAAUCGGUUCUUGGGAAUUUCAAUGACCAUGAGUAUCCAGUGAAAGCUGUUUACACACACAUAUAUAGGGUCAGUCCUAUAAUGUAAAAUAAAAUAUGCAUGCACUUAAUAACUAUAUAACUCACUCGAAGUUGAAGGGGAAGAGUAUUUUUUUGUUUUUCUUUUUGGUUUACAAAGAAUCUCAUAAGAUUGGUGCAGAUUUCUGUCUCAUGAUCUGCUGUCCACACUGCCUGCGGAGCCUUGAAAACAAUAUAAGGGUCAACGAACCCAAUACUAUUGUCAUUUCUCAUUCUGAGCUCUCUCAUUUGGUGCCUGCAUAUAUACAUACAAAUCCUAAGUGUGUAAGGAUUAUAUACAUGUAAUUAAAGAAGUUAGAAGUAUAAUAAAAAGGAAAAAUACUUACAGACAAAAGCAGCUGACAAGAGAUUUGUCAAGAGCGUCGAGGUGGCAUAAUUGGUGCAAUUCUUCGAACUGCACGUAUAUGAGGUCAUCUCCACGGAAGUAGUGGUGUUGUCUAAUACGAACAGAAAUCCAAUUCUCUCCCCUUUUAGACGCCUCAAUGCACCAUUUGUUUAUUGCAAACAUUUGUGUGCCGAGCUCGUGUAAACGCUUAGGGUCGAAUAGACUCCUGCCCGGUUCAUAUCUUGCCCUCCAUUGAUCAACUACCUCGGCUUUUUCAAAUGUAUGGCAUCCAAGAAUGGCGGUAAUUUCUUCUAUAUUUAAACCGCUCUGUCAAAAGUAACUCUCAAGCGAGUCUAGCUCAGACAACGCUAAGGAUUUCUUUGGCAUCAAGUCUUCAUUUGAGCCGUAUUGAUUUGGCACAAUCAAAGGGGGCACCGGUUUUGAUACUUCUCCGAGCUGUGGGACCCCCUUUCCUACUCUCUUCUUAGUAGGCUGUGAAGACUUGACCAGAGACCGCUCAUAGUCUGAAAGUGCUGGCUUUUUCUGAGCUUCGCGUUGCUUCUUUUGAUGGUCCGCCACCUUCUGCCUCAGUUCCGAUGGCUUCACAUAAAAGUACGGCUUUUCUGGGUUAAGCCGUUUUUUCCUUUCCUCCUUUAUUUUAUCAAAAAAUUGUUGGACCUCAGCUUUAGAUGUAGCAAUUACCUCCUCUUCACUCUUUUCGUAAGGUAAUUUUUCUGGCGUCUUAGCUCUCUUUGCUGAGGCAGCCUUCUUUGGAGGUGGGACCGAUGACUUCGGUCCUUCUUGGACGGACCGCUUCUUACUACCUCGCUUUGGAGGCGAGGGGACCGACCGUGCACUCUUUGGAGAGGGCGGUGCAGGCGGUGGAGGGGGUGGGGCCGAUCUUUUUGGCGUUGGAGAACGCGGUGGAGGAGUUGGAGACCUCGGUGGAGGAGGUGGAGACCGUGGUGGAGGCGGUGGCGGGGUCGGUGUGGCCGCCGCAGGUGUUGGAGGAGAUCCAGCAUUGUCACCGCCCGCAGCACUAUGAUGCGCUGGGGAGAGAACUGGACUUAGGUUGGAGGAGUCCCUGCAAAGAAAACAAUUACAAGUUUUGUGAGUAAACUUUUUUUAAAUUUCAAUACAUAAUAAAUAAUAUAAGAAGUAAAAUCACACACAAACCUAUGCUGAGGAAUAAUUAUGAAGCGCUUGCGCCAACAAAUAAAUGUCUUCUCAGCUUCACCUAAGGUCUUCUCUCCGUCUCCCCCUUCUAUGUCUAGUGGCACAUUGCCACAACCUUUCUCAACCCUAUCAACCGAGACGCUAGCAUAUCCACCAGGUACUGGUCGAUUAUGGAUUUUUGGAGUGCCCGUUCGGUCGAUAGGGUUGACAACAGCGAUAGCCACCUUUUUGGUGGCAUUCCCAUCUGGUACAUGCAGCUCACAGGUAGUAAAAGCCUCUGUGACAUCAUCCACGGGGAAGUGUAGCUUCGUGUCAUCCUGAAUGGUUGGUACUUCCGUGGAUGCGCAGCUGCUUUUCAACUGGCCUGGGGGGCUAACAUUGACCUCAGGCUGUGAUGUACCUUGCCCUUUCGUCAAUUGACUCAGUGCUGCUUGCACUUGCCUUUGAAUCUCUGCCUGCAUCCAUUCUUCACGAGCUUUCUCGCGCUCUUGUGACUGCAGAACAAAAGCUUCCAGGCGGCGGAUCCGCUCUGCCUCCUCAUCCUUCUUUCUCUGGCGGCUUCUGUAGGUAUCUUGAUCGGCUUGGAAUGAUUGCAGCCACGGAACUGCCCCAUAGCCUCUCGUACGCCCACCGUGCUCAAGAUUUUCAAGCGCAUAGGUGAGUUCAUCCUUCUCCCUGUUAGGCCUGAACUCACCAGACUGAACCGCCUCUCGUGCAUGGACUAGUCUCUCUGCUGCUCUAGAGAUUUUUUGGCCCCAAACUAGCGCCCCGGUGUCUGGGUCCACGCUUCCCCCAUGACCGUAGAACCAAUUCUUGGAGCGCUCGCUCCAAUUCUUUGCUAUUGUCUCGGGUGUGACCCCCCUAGCAAGCAGCUCCUGUUCCAUUCGGUCCCACUUGGGAACAGCACUCUUAUAACCACCUGAUCCCAUAUGAUGGUGGUAUGCCUUUUUACUGGCAUUCUCUUUGUUUCUAUUGGCUCGUUCCUCGCCCUCUUCUGAUGUUUUGUACUGCACAAAGUCAUCCCAGAAGGCCCUCAGCUUUACAUAUUGCUUGAGGUUGAAAUCUGGAGUCUCGUUUUUCUUGACAUAUUUAUUGUACAAAGACUUCUUCCAAUUCUGGAAGAGUACUGCCAUAUUCUUCAUAGUCCAGUCAUAAAUUCGCACCUUCAACUCUUCAUCGUUGGUGUCGAAGGUGAAAACGUCUGUGACGGCUUUCCAAACUAACUCCUUGUCACGAUCAGAGACAAAACUGAUCUCAGGAGCACCUCGCUUCUCUCUCCAUUCACGACAACUGAUCGGUAUUUGAUCUCUCACAAGAUAUCCACAGUGAUUAACAUAUUUAUUUGCAUGCUCACCAAGUGGUCUGCGUGUAGCUAUCUCAAACUCAGAGAUUACAUAGCGGCCCUCCAACGGCUUCUUUGGCCCUCGUGGAGGUACGCUUCUCCCCGUAGAGGUCGAUCCAGAAGGCUACACGUACAUAUAGAAACAAAAAUACUAAAUUAAUAACCAAGUAAUAAGUCUAAAACCUAAUGUAAGAGAUGCAUUAUUUAUAUAUGUUUACAUUUACAUACCUCGCCAGUAUUUUCUUCUUGUUGCACGACAAGUUGUUGCUCAGGGGCAUUGCCCUCUUGUUGCUCAGGGGCAUUGCCCUCUUGUUGCUCAGUAGGAUUGCCUUGCAUGAUGUCGUGGUAAUCAACGAAGUACUGACUACCAUCGUCGAUUAUAUUUUGAAUGGCAGCUUCCAUAUAAUCAGGAUCAUCAUGAGGACGGUCAGCCAUUUCUAUGUCUGCAACCAUACAUAUAUAUAUUCUAUAUAAGAUAAGAAAUACACUAAUACUACUACAAAUGAAAGUGUUGGAGUGCUCUAAAAAUAAUACUAGGAUCUUUUAAGCCAAGUAAUACAUUAGAAUAAAAAACAAUACUAGAAUAAUACAUACAUACAGAAAAUAUUACAUAUAUAUGUGUGUGUAUAUGUACAAAAAAUAAUAUACAUACAUACAAAAAAUAAUACAUAUAUAAAAAAUAGAACAUACAUACAUACUAUAUACUAAAAAUACUACAAGAAUAUAUAUUACAAGAAUACUAAAAAAUAAUGAAAGUGUUGGAGUGCUCUAAAAAAUAAUACUAGAAUCUUAAGCCUAGUAAUACACUAGAAUAAUAUACUAAAAGAAUAAUACUAGAAUAAUAGUACAAACAAUAAUAUAUACAAAACACUACAAAAUAAAAUAUAAUACAAGAAUAAUAUAAGAAUAAUAGUACAAACAAUAAUAUAUACAACACACUAGAAAUAAAAUAUGAUACAAGAAUAAUAUACUUCAAAUAUAUACUAAAAAUACUACAAGAAUAUAUAUUACAAGAAUACUACAAAAAUAAUAAAAGUGUUGGAGUGCUCUAAAAAAUAAUACUAGAAUCUUAAGCCUAGUAAUACACUAGAAUAAUACAAGAAUAAAACAAAAAUAAAAUAAUAAUACAAGAAUAAUACAAGAAUAAUAUACUACAAAUAUAUACUAAAAAAUAAUACUACAAAUAAUAUACUAAAAAAAUAAUACUACAAAAUAAUACAAGAAUAAUAUUAAUAUAUUACAAAUAUAUACUAGCAUAAUAUAAUUUAUAACAGGUCAACACUACACUUAUACUAAUGUACUAAAAACUAUUACUAGAAUAAAAUACUAACAUCAUGCAUUAUUUUUUAGUGUGUAUAUAUAUAUACUUAAUAUAUAUACUAGCUAGCAUUCAUUAAUUAUUAUUUUUGUGUACAAAUAUAUAGAAAUCACUAAAAUUGCAAAGUGAUUGACAUAUAAUUCAUAACAUUUAUUUAUUUUAUAUAUAUAAACUGCAGUGGAGUAUUUAUUAUAUAUAUAUAUAUAUAUAUAUGUAUAUAUAUGGUUUUGGAUUAUACAUUGCAGUGGACGCGCGCGGGGCCGGGCAUGGAGAUCGAGACGUAGAUGGCGGCGCUGGUGGAGAUGGUGGUCGCAGCGGCGGCGCUGGUGGCCGGAGCUGACCGCGGCGGCGCUGGAGACGGCGGCGCUGGAGAUCGGCGAGGUCGCGCGCGGGCAGAUGAACGGGUGGCGGCGCUGGAUACGAUGAACUCGACGAAGAUGAAGACGAACUGCUCAGAUCCAGAACGCCCAUGACUUAAAUAGAGGCGGACCCUUUAGCACCGGUUCCAGCCACGGACCGGUGCUAAAGGGUCCUAGGCGGGCUCGGGCGGGGUCCUGAAAUUUUCAGGACCCUUUAGCACCGGUUCCCACUAUGGGCCGGUGCUAAAGGCCCAUUUUUUUAGUUUAGGGUUUUUCAAUUGUUUUAUAUAUACAGUUUAUAUUAUAAAUUGUAUAGUAAAUUAAAUAUUUUGCAUAAUGUUUUUUAAAUAGUGACAUAUAUUGUAAUUUGUUUUAAUGUACACAUGAAAAUUUUUAAACUUAAAUAUCUUAUUGUAUUUUUAUAAUUUACAAUGAUUUUGUAAGAAAUGUUUAGUAUUUUGUUAAUGCAAAAAUAUAUUAUUCCAAUAAAUUUACAAAAACUAUAUCCAAUGAACUGGAAAUUUAUUUUCACAUCAUAUUGACGUAAAAAUUUUUAUUUUUGUUAUUUAUUACUAGGAAUGCUAGUUGGGUAUAAUUUUCAUCAAAUAAAAAAUCCACUGAAUUUUGAAUUUUCAUAGAACUCAUAGCCACGCAGCGGUUUCGGAACCCUACAUGGUCUCGAAUGGAAAAGUCAUGAAUACCAAUAUUGUUCGACUCAUCAAAAUCUACAUUUCAUAUAUAGACCAUUUUUGCAUUUGACAAAGUUUUGGGAAGGUGUAGUUGAAAAUCCACAAUUGACACAUAUAGUUUCAUAUAGUUUGUGUGAGAUUCAAGAAUUGGUGGGUAUUGUUAACUUAGAUUUUCUCAAAUGGAAAAGUUGUGUAUAUAAAAAGUUUAGAUCUUGAAGAUAUCUAACAACUUGGUAUUCAAAAUAUUUUCAUUUGAAGUAAUUUAGUUUGUCAUUUGACCAAGUUUGACCAAGUUUGACCGAAACCCCUCUUGGAUUUUAUAGAAAUGUAACUAGGAUUGGCUCAAAAUUAUUCAAAUGGAAAAAUGGACAAUAUAUAAAAUAUAGAUUUUGAUGAUCUCUAACAACUUUGUAUUCAAACUUUUUCAUUUCAAGUCAUCAAAUGGGCUAUUUGACCAAGUUUGACCAAAAUCAAAGCAUUGGUUUUUACAAACACACCCUUUGACCGAACCCUAGAUUGUCCCAAAUGGAAAAGUCAUGAAUACAAAGUUUGCUACACUCAUCAAGUUCUACAUUUUGUCUAAUGGUCAACUUUUCAUUUGGAAAAGUUUGAACCACUGAAUUUUGAAUUUUCAUAGAACUCAUAGCCACGCAGCGGUUUCAGAACCCUACAUGGUCUCGAAUGGAAAAGUGAUGAAUACCAAUAUUGUUCCACUCAUCAAAAUCUACAUUUCAUAUAUAGACCAUUUUUGCAUUUGACAAAGUUUUGGGAAGGUGUAGUUGAAAAUCCACAAUUGACACAUAUAGUCAUGACAAAUUUUGCAUUUGAUGAUCUCUAACAAUUGGAAAAGUCAUGAAUACAAAGUCAUGAAUACAAAGUUUGUUACACACAUCAAAAUUCACAAUUCUCAAAUAUAGUUUCAUACAAAGUCAAGCCGACACAACAGUGAACUUCUUCUUGACGUAUGACCCUUGGUUAUGAUCCUGCCGUAACCAUGGAGUAUCCUCAUUGUUUAACAGAAUGCUUGGGUCUUUGUUGACUAUGAAGGGCGGAAUUCGAUCAUCCCUUUUGUAAUCGCCUGACAUGUCUGACUUGUCCUCAAUUCCGACAAUGUUUCUUUUCCUAGAAAGGACAAUGUGGCGCUUUGGCUCAUUGAUGAUUGAGUGGUCAUCAUUUUUUCCUCUCUUUGGUUUCGUAGACAUAUCUUUGACAUAGAACACCUGACUCACGUCUGCAGCAAGGACGAAUGGUUCGUCUUUGAACCCACUAUUGUUAAGGUCCACGGUUGUCAUCCCAUACUCCUUGUCGACUGUUACCCCACCUCCGGUCAUCUUCACCCAUUGGCACCGGAACAAAGGAACUUUAAAAUUAGCUGCAUAGACUAGUUCCCAUAUGUCUUCUAUGCGUCCAUAAUAUGUUUGUCUGUUCCCAUUUGGAUCCGUGGCAUCCACGCGUACACCACUAUUUUGGUUGGUGCUCCUUUUAUCUUGGCCAACUGUGUAAAAUGUGUUACCAUUUAUCUCGUACCCUUUGUAUAUGAGGACAUGCCAUGAUGGUUGCCUGGCCAACAAAUAAAGCUGCUCAUCAAUGUUUUCAUCACCUUGACAUUUUUUGCGCAACCAAUCGCCAAAAGUUUCCAUGUGCUGACGCAUUAUCCAAGCUUCAUUCUUCCCGGGCCACUGGGACCGUAGGUAAUCUUUGUGUACCUCAACAUAUGGUUCCACCAAUGAGGAGUUCUGGAGAACUGUGUAGUGUGCUUUAUUGAAGUAAUCGUUUCCCGUACCAAUAUAUGUUUUCUUCCCAAGUGUUCCCUUUCCGCUGAGUCUGCCCUCGUGUCGAGAUUCAGGAAUGCCAAUUGGGUCAAGGUCUGGAAUAAAGUCAACACAGAACUCUAUGACCUCCUCUGUUCCGUAGCCCUUGGCAAUGCUUCCUUCUGGCCGGGAACGACUAUGGACAUAUUUCUUUAGGACACCCAUGAAUCUCUCGAAGGGGAACAUGUUGUGUAGGAACACAGGACCGAGAAUACGAAUCUCUUUGACCAGAUGAACUAGGAGGUGUGUCAUGAUAUCGAAGAAGGAUGGAGGGAACACCAACUCAAAGCUGACGAGACAUUGAACGACAUCAUUCUGCAGAGUAGCUAGUUGCUCUGGAUUGAUUGCCUUCUGAGAAAUUGCAUUGAGGAAUGCACAUAGCUUUACGGUGGCUAGACGUACGUGUGGAGGUAGAAUUCCUCUUAAAACGACCGGCAGCAAUUGCGUCAUUAGAACGUGACAGUCAUGGGACUUCAAGUUCAGGAAUUUCUUCUCUGGCACAUUAAUUAUUCCCUUGAUAUUGGAGGAGAAUCCAGAUGGGACCUUGAUGCUGCUAAGACAUUCAAACAUGCUUUCCUUCUCUUCUUUGCUCAGAGUGUAGCUAGCAGGGCUUAAGUAAUGACGUCCAUCAUCUGUCUUUUCUGGAUGCAAGUUGUCUCGUUCUUUCAUGCGCUGCAAGUCUUGUCGUGCUUCAAGUGAAUCCUUAGACUUCCUGUAGACACCCAUGAAUCCGAGCAAGUUCACACAAAGAUUCUUUGUCAGGUGCAUCAUGUCGAUCGCGUUGCGGACCUCUAGGACAUUCCAGUAAGGUAGCUCCCAAAAUAUGGAUUUCUUCUUCCACAUGGGUACGUGUCCCUUAGCAUCCUUGGGAAUAGGUUCGCUGCCUCGUCCCUUUCCAAAUACCACUUUUAUAUCCUUGACCAUUUCGAGUACAUCAUCCCCGGUUCGAUUGAGAGGUUUGGUCCGGUGGUCUGCCUUGCCUUUAAAAUGCUUGCCUUUCUUUCGUACUGGGUGGUUCACAGGAAGAAACCGACGGUGGCCAAGGUACACGACCUUUCGACAUUUUUUCAAAAAUACACAGUCAAGGUCUUCAUAACAAUGUGUGCAUGCAUUAUAUCCCUUGUUUGACUGGCCUGAAAGAUUACUCAGAGCUGGCCAAUCAUUGAUUGUUACAAACAGCAAUGCUCGCAGGUCAAAGUGCUCUUGUUUGUACUCAUCCCACACGCGAACUCCUGGUUUGCUCCAUAAAAGUUGAAGUUCCUCAACUAAUGGCCUAAGGUAGACAUCUAUGUCAUUGCCAGGUUGCUUCGGUCCUUGGAUAAGCACCGGCAACAUAAUAAACUUCCGCUUCAUGCAUAGCCAUGGAGGAAGGUUGUAGAUACAUAGAGUAACUGGCCAAGUGCUGUGACUACUGCUCUGCUCACCGAAAGGAUUCAUACCAUCUGUACUUAAGGCGAACCGCAAGUUUCUAGCAUCAUUUGCAAAAUCUGAGAAUUCUCUGUCUAUCGCUCUCCACUGGGAUCCAUCGGCAGGGUGUCUCAGCAUAUUGUCUAUCUUACGGUCUUCUUUAUGCCACCGCAACAACUUUGCAUUGUCCUUAUUUCUGAACAGACGUUUUAAUCGUGGUAUUAUAGGAGCAUACCACAUAACCUUGGCUGGAAUUUUCUUCCUAUGACGUUCUUCACCCUCAACAUCGCCAGGAUCAUCUCGUCUAAUCUUAUACCGUGAUGCCUUACAUACUGGACAUGCAUCCAAAUUCUCGUAUUCCUCCCCACGGUAGAGGAUGCAGUCAUUAGGACAUGCGUGUAUCUUCUGGAUUUCUAAUCCCAAAGGGCAGACAACCUGUUUUGCUUCAUACGUAGUGGUGGGCAAUUCGUUGCCUUUCGGAAGCAUCUUUUUUAUGAUCUUCAAUAACUGCCCAAAUGCCUUGUCAGAUGUACCAUUCUUUGCCUUCCAUUGCAGCAAUUCUAGUGUGGUAUCCAGCUUUUUUUGCCCCUCUUCAGCGGUGGGAUAUAGCGAUUUCCUGUGGUCCUCUAGCAUGCGCUCGAACUUGGCUUUCUCUUUAUCACUAUCACAUUCUCUUUGUGCAUCACGGAUGGCAUCACCAAAAGCAUCAUCGCCCCGAUCAUCUUCUGCCGCCACCUCUUCUUCAUUAUCUCCCCCCAUUGCAACAUCAUUGAAGCCACCGUACUGAGCAAUAAUAUUGGCAUGCUCCAAUUCUUCUUCUUCUUCUUCUUCACCUUCAUCCAUUAUAAUCCCGCUUUCUCCAUGUUUGGUCCAACAAAUAUAGUUUGGUACGAAACCAGACUUUAAUAAGUGUGAAUGAAGAGUUCUUGAGUUAGAAUAUUCCGUCAAAUUCUUGCACACGGCACAUGGACAGCAUAUGAAACCGUCCCUCUUAUUUGACUCGGCCACACUUAAGAAAUAGUGCACGCCAUUAAUGAACUCUUCGGAGCGCCGAUCGGCAUUAUACAUCCAAUUACGUGUUACCAUCUGCAUUAAAGAUAACAUAUAUAUUAUGAAAACCAUGCACACAUAUAGUUUCUCAUCUUAUUGCACAACAUGUCUAAGAUACAUAGUUGAUUAAUUUAGAAAAGCUUGGCUACAACAAAUACAAUCGCAACUAGCAUUAAAAAAACAAAACUAAAAUGCACUUAAGCAACAUAAUUAGUUCGCGUCCGAUCCCAACUAUAAUAGAUAGAUCAUUCGCUUGAUCAACAUCAUUGAACUUCUUUCGUCGGCUCACUGCCUCACCACCUUCAGCCUCAACCACCUGUGCAAAAGAUUUCUUAAUGUGUUCAAUGUAUUCUUCCUCCCAGUACCAACCUGUACAUCCGCCGGUACCGUCCCACUGAAAUUAAAAGAGAGAAUCAAAAGUUUAAUUAAUAUCAUUUAAAAAAAUAUGCACAUAUAUAAGCAAAUGUCUGGAAAUAACUCACAUUACGAUCUGGACACUUGUAGAAUAUACGACCCUUGUUUACUCCCUCUUUCGACACUUUGUACUCCAUCAAAAUCUUCUGCCCACACUUGCCACAAGUAAUGAGAGGGAGUUCCGGACGGUAUCGCUUUUGAACCCGUUGAGAGACUGAAGACCCGGUCACGGUUGCCAUCUACUAUCCAUACUCAAUUUUAAAACAAUUAUAAAUUCCACAUUUACUAGUAAACAUGUAUGAUACAAUGGACAUUAUAUGUAGUAAUAAAAAUAAAUCAAGUGAUAUUAACAAACCAAUUAAUUUGAACUAUCCUACUUUCUAUGAUCAUAAAAAUAUACUAUAAUUCAUUCUUGCAAAAUACAUUAAAACUAGGUCAACCAUGAAAUAUGAUAUAUAUAUAUAUGGAUACUAAUUGUCACACCCGGUUUUAAGGAACAAAACCAGGCUAGCUAUAUGUGUGCCCAGGAAGUCCACACAUACAACAACAGAAAGGAACAGUAUCAGAAACAAUGUUAUAUAGCGAAAACAUACUUAUAAUUAACACUUACAUCAGAGUAUCGCGGAGUUAAUGGUAACUAAACUUCAGGCUCAAUCUUCACAGGGACGGCUGACUGGGGGUAACAUAUGCCAAGCACUCCUAUCCAUCCUCUAUGAACUCCUUCAUGACUCCAUCAUCCUUCUGAUUAACUCUUACUAGUAGACUGUAGUGGUGGGAAAUAGCAAGAGUGAGCACAUAUCGUACUCAACAAGUAUAACCAGGGGUUCAUGAGGCUCAAAUAGCUGACACUGGUUUGACUGCAUUUAGCUUUUAAUAGUAGAUAGCAUGUUUUAUCAUUGGAUAGCAAAUGCCAAGGUAGCAUAAUAAAUCCCAUAACCACAUGAUCAUUUGUAUACAGGAAUUAUGAAUAACACAUAUAAACAACAUAAUAAACCAUCAUUUAUUAAUAUUAUUCACGUUCAUCAGUGUCCAUCUAUUCCUUCAGUUUUCCGGGCCGCCCGUAACCGUGGGCACGGCUAGUAUACCAGAUUUAACACUCUGCAGAGGUUGUACAUCUUUACCCAUGAGUCGUGAUUUACCCUUUCGCCCGAGGUGAUCAGCCUCUUAACCCACUACCAAGGAAGGUCGGCAGGGUUCACUAUGAAGUCUUUCAAAGGUUCGUCUAACAUGUUAGGGCCGCAAGGUUUCCUUUGCGCGCAGAUAUAGAUACCCCCUUCCGAAUGGCACAAUGACGCGCAGCCUAUACACAUAGGGACAGGGGCUCGCACUAUACCCAAAACGGUUCAGCCCCUCCGCCCUUUCGGGUAACCUCUAACAAGCUAGAAAAGCUUACUCAUACUUGACUAAAGCCAGAGCCAUAUAGCCCUCAUGGUUGUACGAGUUGUCCCAGCUUUUGCCAAGGGAUAAGUCCUUAUGGAGGGUCAAGAUCAAUCCAGCAAAAGCCAGAGUUCUUUCCACCCUUUAUAUUCAAGUUGCUAGAAAGCUUAUUUUAUUGUUUAUUGUAUAUUCAAAUAUUCAUGUUACAAGAUCAUGGAUUAAUAAUCAAGCACUAGCAAGAACUACCAAAUGCAUAUCCAAAAUAGGUAACAAGGAAUCCAGGAUAACAAUCAUCUAUGAUUUUGCUAAGGUCAUCAAGGUGAUAGUAUGCAUAUGACAUAUAUUGUAUUAAUUGUGUAUAGGUAACAAGGAUAAUCCCAAGUUAUACUUGCCUUGACCAAAGCUCUCCUGAGCCUGCUGGUCUUCAAAUGCUUGGUCUUGAUCACCAACGUACGGCUCACCGUCUAUUCCCAAACAUCAAUCAACAACACGCAAUCCAAUGGAGACAAUCAUACACAAAGCAAACAAGGUAUAACUAGAACAUUACACCAACAGUGAGAAAUCAAAGAUAAAAGUUUAUGAAAAUAUUCUACGCAGCGCUACGAUCACACAAACGUAAAGUUCACGAAAAUCGGAAUUAAAACGUGAAAGAUAUGAAUUUUCUAAGAUUUCCUAUAGAGAAGUAAUUAAUUAAAUGCUACUGCAGAAUUAAAAAGUUUCAAAACAGUAAACUAAUAUUUCUAACAUGUAGAGCAUGUAACUACGGAUCUAACGAAAUUUGAAUGGACAAAAACUGAGUUAAAAUGAAUAUUUUAUGAGCAAAACAAAAUCAGUGGCAAUCUUGUAAAUAGCAGAAAGCGCAUUUUUCCAUUAACCGGCUAGGAAUACGCCUUUGGCAUUAGAAAACGUAUUUUACUCAGGGCGCUAGGGACUGCGGGUUGAAUAGCGAAAUCUCUAGGGACUCUUAACGAAAAUACGCAGCGAAGGGGUAUGUUUUAAUCCUGGCCGUCCAAGAUUGAUCCGACGGUUUGGACGCGUCCAGGGGCCAGUGGCCAGCGGCCGGCCGGCUCCUGCUCCGGUGCGGUGGCUUCCAUUGCCGGCCGAAAGAAGCUCGCCGGCGACGACGGGCUUCUCGAUUCCGAGCACUGUUUCGCGAAAGGAAAACACCAUCGGAACGAGGAGCUCACCGCGAACUCGAGGAGGUGCUUUGCUGGGGCCGAAGAACGACGGGAGGAGCUCGCGGCGCGCGGCGGCUUGCUCGGCUUUUGGUCUAGGGCAGCAGGAGGUUCUAGGGCACGGUUUUUGCGGCGAAGAUAAAAAAACAACACGCGGGGUUGUUGCUAGCAGCUUUAUAGGACCAGAUACGCGCGGAAAGGAGCAUCCCCGAGGAAACCGGGAUCGGAUCUCCUUCCGAUCGAGUCCGGAUUGAUUUCGUUCCGGGGAAGAAGAAAAGAGGAGGCUGACGGGUGGGGUCCGGCGAUCAGGGAGAGAAAAGGGUUGGGCCCAGUCGUCAUACAUAGAGAAAGAAGGGGAAAAGGGAGAGAGCGCGGGGCUGGGCCAAGCUGUUGCGGGUUUGGGGCCUGCGGCCGAAAGCAGUGGGGGAAUUUUCCCUUUUCUUUUGUUCUAUUUUUUUAAGCCUAUUUCAAAACAAAAUUUGAAAACCAUCUUAAAAUCAGUUUGAUUCAUUUUGUAUUUUGGGAUCAAAUCACUCAGUACAACAAAAUAAAUUCUCCAGCAUGAAUGCACAUUCAAGUUACUAAGUUCUAUGAUAAGUUUUAUUUUAAAGAAAAUAUUAUUUUCCUAUGUUUCAUGAGCACAAAAAUACAAAAAAAAUUAAAUCAUUUUUCACCUAUUUCAAAAGUUGGAAAUUUUUGGGUGUUACACUAAUUCAUGUGAAUGAUUCAAAAUAACAAAGUGGAUUUGAGCUAAAAAAUGAUGGGAACAUCACAAGCCAAAAACAACAUGAAAAAGACGAGAAAGGCUGAAGUUAGUCACCUCUAAGCGCGAAGAGACGAUGACGGAGUCGAAGAAGAUCAACGAUGGGCGUUGGAGAUGAAGAACAAAUGAAGAACAAGCAAGAAGAAGCUCCAAGAACAACAAUGGUGCUCUCGGUUUCAAAUGGGCAGAGGGGAGGAGGAAGCCGGCCUAUAAACUGGACCUUUAGCACCGGUUCAGGGAAAAAACCGGUUCUAAAGGGUUACCUUUUAGCACCGGUUUGUAACACAAACCGGUGCUAAAGGGUUUGCCUCGGCCCGUGGCUCUGGCCGGUGCUAAAGGGACCCCUUUAGCACCGGUUCAGGGAAAAAACCGGUUCUAAAGGGUUACCUUUUAGCACCGGUUUGUAACACAAACCGGUGCUAAAGGGUUUGCCUCGGCCCGUGGCUCUGGCCGGUGCUAAAGGGGUCUUUAACCCCGGGCCGCAAAAAGGCCGAGGUUUUUGGCCAUUUUAGGCAUCGACCAAUGCCUCAUUCUGUAGUAGUGGGAUCAAUCUAAACCAUACAAUCUAUGUCGGAUUGAUCCAAUGGCUCACGUUCACUUGAGGGGACUAUAAAACCAAGGCCAAACCCCCCCUGGAGGGAGGAGAAGAGGAGAAAUCAUUAUUCAGAGGUAGCCAUCAAAGUUAGGGUUUAGAGCUUCUCUCCCACAGAGAAUUAGAAUUAGCUACUCCCUAAUCCUUCAAGUUUAGAGGUUUGAUUAGAUAGCAAUUAGAGAAGUAGAGCACUACGCUCUGGAUUCGGAUCUUCGGUAAUAAAGAUUGGUAUUAUUCAUAUCUUUCUCUAAUUCUUUGUUCUAAUUGCUUUAUGUCUCUAAUUAUUAUGUUCUUAGUUUGCUCUAGUUCUAUAUUUGAUAUAGUUCUAAUUGAUAAUGAGUUUAUGUAUAAGUUUGCAAAGCGCUUAGCUCUUGACGCGAGGGAGUUAGGUGAUAGAUCACAUGUGAGCGUGGUGCUUAGAUGUUAUUUAUCUGCAAAUGUAUCCUAUUGGCCGGGUUGUGUGGUAGUUCGCGAUAGUGACAGCUUCGUUGAUUCUUAUAUAGUCCACCCUCCGUUGAUAGGACAGGCAGAGCCGGUAUUGUGGAGUAAGUCAUGCGAUGCUCUGAUUUACUUUAUCAAUGUUCCUUAUACAUGAAUGAAGAGUCUUUUAUGCUAUAUAUGAUCUUGUAGAUAACUAGAGUAGAUUAUGACUUAGUAGUUAGUAGAUAACUUAGAAUCCAUUCUCUAGCUAAUCCGACAUCACCUACAUACGAGGAGUAGUCUAUUUUCUAAUCGCUGUGUCAUCUACCCAUGAACUUAUACUUUAUUAUCAUUAUCUUUAUGGUUUACCCCCUGCUAAAGUAAGUGACUGUGUGACGAGUUUCUCAUUAGUAAUCAUGUUCUUGCAAGUUUAUCUCUAGUCUAUGCCUUGAUAGAUUUUGCCCUUAAUUUAAUCUCCUUAGAUCCCUUGAGCAAAAUUAUAAAUAACGAUACCUGGAAUACUUAUCCCGGUGAAAUGCUACAAUGAGGUGUUUUAUCUGUGCGCUUGCGGAUAGAAUAGAUUAUUUUCUAGAGAGCCUUUACAUUUAUAAAUACCUUUGUACACUCUGGCACCAUGCUGGGGAUGACAACCUAGUAUCUAAGUGGUGUUAGCUAGUGUCAACAAGCAUAAAUAUCUAGCCUUUAUCAUGUUGAGACUCCUUAAUAAUUAUUACUCUCUAUUUUUAUAUUUUCAUUUUACAAAGCAGAAAAGAAAUUUUUAUUUUAUUUUUAUACCACCAUAGUGAAUGUACUUAUGGGUUUAUGCCACUCGUAUACUCACAUGGGGCUUACUGUUUUUCAUUUUUAUUUUCUUUUUAGGAUAGUAUGAACAUAAUUAACUAAGUAAACUAUUUGAAAUAAUUGAAAGGGAAAGGAUAACUACCAAGUUUACCUCUUGGCAAGGCGUUCGGUGUUUUUAAGUCCUCCGAAUGGGACUCUUCUCUUUCUCAAUUGUCCUAGGAUUCGUUGGGUGGCGGAGUCGGUACUUCCGGCGACGCCUCCUCUUUAUGUAUAGUUAUCUUCUCUUUCCAUACCUGACUCGGUGCUUCGGUCUCCUCUGGAUAAUUCUGUUUAAACUGAAUGUCUUCUAACCUUAUCACUUCUCCUUCAUAGUCUGCUCAUCCGUCCUUGAUGAUUUGCCUCCUCUGGUUGCGGUUGCGUCGUUUUCUUACCUGCUUAGAUUCUUCAAAGAUGUAGUUAGGGUCAGUAAAAUAACGGCGUACCUUCUCUGAGGGGAAGUGCAUAUGGACUUCUCCGGUUCCAAUGUAGAUGAUUGCUUUAACGAUGCUGAGGAACGGUCUUCCAACGAUGAUGGGUGGAUCGUAUUCGUCUUCUCCCGUGUCAAUAACCUGAAAGUCUGUGUAGACAAAAUGAUCAUCCAUUUUGACAGGGACAACAGUUACUAUUCCUUUAACUUCUCGAAAUGUCUGAUUUGCCAUCUGGAGCUGAAUGUAUGUUGGUUUUAGGGGCAUGGUUCCGAACAAGAGCCGAUAGGUGACUGCGGCCAUUAUGUUGACGCCCGAUCCUAUGUCGCAAGUCGUCUUGUAGAAGUUGUAUCCAUUUAUGGAUCAAUAGAUGCUUGGCAUUCCUGGGUCAUCCUUCUUGGUCAAAAAUGGUGACUUAAGUUGAUGAUCUUGACCUCCAUGAACUGCAGUGACCAUCUUAGCUGACUUGGUCCACACCUGCUUGUUCCUGUUCCUCCUAUUGGUCCUCUUCCUUGAUUCACGUCUGGAUUGAUCUGGGAUUUGUGUAGUCUUGUUCUUGAAGGAAAACGUCUCCUUCCUCCCUUUGAUGUAGAAACUGAUCUUGGCAGCACUAGCGUAGAUGACAGCUCCUGAGGUGUUCAAGAAUGGCCUCCCUAAGAUGAUGGGUGCCCUCUCAUCAUUUCCGGUCUCUAUCACCACGAAGUCUGCUAGGGCAUACAAGGUACCAACUCGGACACAAAGGUUCUUCAAUAUUCCUUUUGGAAAACUUAAUGCCUGAUCUACAAACUGCAAACACAUGGUUGUUUCUAAUAAAGGAUAUGUAAAGAAUUUUUCAUAGAGUACCCUGGGUAUAAUGUUGACGCUGGAGCCAAAGUCACAGAGUGCUUCUGGGACAUCCACCAUGCCGAUGGAGAUCGGGAUGACGGGGCGUCCUGGGUCGCCACUCUUGACCGGCAGAAGGUCAGUAGUAACUUUAGUGACGGGGUCACUCCAAUUACCUGCAUCAAACAUGUCUACAAGAUUUGCAGAUUCUAAUUCUUCCGGUUGUGAUGGUAUACUGGGGUUAGUAGCAGGAACAGUAGCAGCUAUUUGAUUUAACUGAGAUUCAAUCAUUUUAUUAAAGCUAAUUUGAUUCUUGAUGGCAGUAGAGAAAUUAUCCAUUAUAUUAUUUAUAUUUUCUAGCAUUUUAUCAUUAGAUGCCAAAUUCUUAGAUAGGUUAUCCAUUAGCUUUCCUUGAUUAGACACUAACUCUCUCAGAGGUGGAAAAUUAUUGUUAUUGUUGUAAGAAUUGUUACCUUGAUAAUUACCUGAGUAGUUAGGCCUCUGUUGAUUCCAAUCUUGAUUUUGCUGAGGACGGUUGUAGUAGUUGUUGUUGUUAUUGUUGAUGUAGUUUACAUCCUCAAGCAUCUUGGGGCAGUGAUUGCCUGAAUGUCCAGUGUCUCCACACUCCUCACAAGUCAUGUGAGAGUCGUAGAUAUGCAUAACUUCUUUCUUAUCUCCGGCUCUAUUGUCGAGCUUCUUCAUGAGCAGGUCUAGCUUUGCAGACAGCAUGUCUACCUCCUUGAGCUGAUGCAUACCUCCACAUCUCUUGCGUGUCUGGGUCCUCUCUUCAUUCCAGCUUUGGUUGGAUGCCAUCUUCUCCACAAGAGCUGUGGCUUGUGAUAUGGUAAGUGAUAGGAAUGCUCCUCCAGCUGUAGCAUCCAUGGUUUCUCAGACACUGUUGCCGAGCGCAUGAUAAAAUGUCUGCAUUAGUAGUCAGCUCUCCAUUCCAUGAUGGGGACAUUCUAGGAUGUAGUCUUGGAAGCGCUCCCAUGCUUCUGGAACAGAUUCAUCAUUUUGUUGCUGAAAACUUGUAAUUUUCCCACGGAGAGCAUUGGCCUUGCCCAUGGGAAAGAACUUAGCCAGGAAGUUUGUUGAGCAGAGUGCCCACGUAGUAUUCUUCUCCUUUGUAGCUAGAACCACUGCUUCGCUCUUCCUAACAGUGAGAAUGGGAAGAGACGAAGUAGUAUAGCAUCUCUGGAAACUCCUGAUAUGGUGAAUGUGCUACAUAUCUCCAGGAAGUGUUGGAGAUGAGCACUAGCAUCUUCGUGUGCCUUCCCACAGAACUGGUUUGAUUGCACCAUGUUGAUAAGUCCAGGCUUGAGCUCAAAGUUGCCAUCGAUCUCUGCAGUAGGUCCAGUGCGGAUGUUGUCCGUAGUGGGAGUUGAGAACUCGCGGAUUGAUUUGUUCGCCAUGGCUUCGAACUUUGAAGACAAGUUCCAGUGAUCUUCUUGAUUAGAUAAAGCUUCUUGCUGAAGUGUUGAUGAUCUCUUCUUGAGCUUGGCUCUUGUUUUUCUGAAUAAUGCUUCGGGAUUGUCAAGAAAAUUGCCUGGAAGAUGUCUUCUAUUCAUACAUUCCCCUGCAUAAGAUAAAAAUAGAAAAAUAUCAGGGUAAAACUGUAUGAGAGAAUUGAUAAGCUCAAUCAUAUUAGUGAUGCGAAUGAUAACUCAAAAUCCUUUAUUCAUUCUUGAUUAGUAAUCAACCUUCCCCGGCAACGGCGCCAAAAAUGCUUGUUGGGUAUUCUUAACAUCAUUACCAAAAGUAGACUUAGUUUUCUAAUUCUAGUAACGGUGCCAAAAAUGCCAAACCUAUCCCUCAUACCACUUAAGCCAAGUUGUCAUCCCCAGCAUGACAUGAGAGACGCGGUAUUGAAAUAUGCAAUUGCUCUUCUAAAUAAAUAAUGAAUGGGAUCUGCAAGCGCACAGAUUAAAACCGAUGUAGCAUUUUAAUCGGGAAGUAUUCCAGGUAUCGUUAUUUAUAUUUUUACCACUGGGAAGGGAUUAGCAACCAUCAAUAUUGAUUAUAGAAUAGAAUAUGAGAUUGAGUAUCUAUCAUUGCAUAUAUAAUUGAGAACAUUUAUAUAAUUCUUUCAUACAGGGGUAAGUGUCACAUAAAAGAUAUAUGAAGUAAUGAAUAGUGACAAAGAUAAUUAAUCUGAUCAGCAUAACUUAGCCACAUAUAAAUAUGAUAAGCACCUCAAUUAGAUAUUCUAGAAAGUCAUUAGCAUGGAAUUAGAACGAACUACAAGAAUAUUUCCUAAGUUAUUCUCAACUAUAUAGUCUAGCAUUAUCAUAGUUAAUGCAAGCAUACUUAGCAAUCAUUGCGAGACAAGACUCCGCCCAUGCAUAGUGACAUUAGCAAGGUAAAUGAGAAACAUAGCAAUCACUCCCUUGUAAUAAUAUUGCUCUGCCAGCCCAAUACACGAGAGGGGGACUAUAUAAGAAUCAAUGAAGCUGUCACUAUCACGAACUACCCCACGAUCUGGCAUAUUGGGUACAAUCGCAGAUAAAUAUGGUAUAAGCACCACGCCUACACAAUAUCUAUCAUUUACCCAUGGAUCCGAUGAAUAAACGCUAUACGAUCCUAAGCAUGUAUAUAGAUCCAAUCUAACUAAGCCAAGUAUAUAACUAUGAUAAACUAAGAACAAUAUAAUCUUGAAUAUAAGCAAGUAGAGCAAAGUCAUAAGCAAUAUAUUGAAGUAGAACAAAGUCAUAUUCAUAAUAUUGAAGAACAAAGAUGAUUAGAAGAACAAUUAGAAGAACAAUUAGAGAAAUUACCAAGAAUCCUCUUGACAGAUCCGAAAACCAAUCGAAGAUUGACUCCUUCUAGUUCUAAUCCUAUGUAGCUAUGCUAAUCUAGAUAUCUAAUUGAUGUGGUGGCUCUAAUCUUGAUCAGAGGCUUCAUCUCCCUUGAGGAAUAAUAAAUUAGGGUUGAGAGGCUCUCUCCUCCAGGGGCCAGGGGGUCUGGUUUUAUAGUCCCUUCAAGUGAAUAUGGGCCGUUGGAUCAAACCGACAUUGAUUGAACGGUUAUCCUUGAUCCUUUAGGUCGGUGGAGAUCUUUCCCGAAAGAGAGUCCUGAUUGGACUCCAACAGGGGGCGGGCGCCCAGGGCCAGGCCCCGUUCGGCCUCCGCUUCCUUCCCGUGGCUUCUAGAGUCUUCUAAAUGUAAGAUAAUUGCGUGGCACGUUGAUAUCUCUAUGUAAUCCUGACAUGUGGGCCUUUCUUCCGUAUUUCCUGAUAACCCCCUGCAGAAAUAGACAAACACCAAAACUCGUGGAAUUCUGUCAGAUAAAACCCUAAGUCGAUGUUGAUUCCAUUUGGAUCCUUUUCUUUGUUUAUUUGAUAAUUAAAUUUGAUACUUAAGGACCGUCAACAAGGUUUUGGGCCCUAAAGGGGAUUCUGUUUGUCUCUGCAUUUAUCAGAUCGGUGGGAUCUGGGUUUCCUAGCGGGCCAAGACAUUGGAGGUGAGGUUGAUCGGUAGGAAUUACGAUCUUAUCGGCCAAAUCCUAGAAGUUUUUGAGGAUAAAAAGAAGAAUAAAAAGAAAAAAGAGUAUUCAGUAAGAGGAAUUGCGGAUGAAUAGGAGUACAGCAAGAGUGUAGGAGAAAGGGUGGUAAGCUGACCUCAGGAACGACGAAGUUGAUGGCCAUUUCCUCGCAAGAAAGAAGAUCGAAGACUUGGGGGAUUGGUGAAGAAUGGCCUUUGUUGAAGUUCUUGGAAUCCUCGGGUAAUGCCACCGCCAGGAAAGUAGAUUUUGGGCUGUAGAAUGAUAAGAUGAAGAAGGAGUACCGGAGAAGGAAGUAUUUAUAGGACAAAUCGGGCAGGGGCAAAUCUGACUUAUCUCUUUGCCGCAUCCGUGAAAUCCGAGGGUGUUCAGGUGGAUAUGGUAACUGUUCGCACGGUAAUCAAGGGAUUGCGCAGGUGAUUUGACAGCAAGCGGUCAUGAUUUUGAAGAUAUUUCACUAUACGAGAUCUCCUGGUCGGUCCAUCGGUAGUUCCCUCUAACGGUAAUAUUGCUGAUGGGCGUAUAAAGUGGAGAGAUUCGGUUCGGGAGGUUGAGGAAUUCGAGGAAUAUGCACAAGAAUCGGGCCAAGGUUGUUCGGAUUUAACGGCCGAUUACCAAGUUGGGAGAAUUAAUUGUGGAAAGGCAUCAUUAUUGCAGAGAAUUUCGGAGCAUUAAUGAUUUUAAACUCCGAAAUUGGGGGGCAUGUGUUGACACCGUUUUUGGACACGUAUCUUUUGACGCGUAUCUGGGGAUAGUAAAGUAUAGAUCGGCAGAUGAAGCAAUGGUAACUAGUCUAUAGGGAAGUUGCCGAUGAAGGUGGUUGCCGAUGAGGAAACAACUGAAUGUGACUAAGUCCAGAGGUGGUGACGUGUUCGUGCCGAUGACCAGUAUCAAUGUUUGCCGAUGGCCACAACAGGAGGUCUGCCGAUGGCUCUGAAGGAAAGCGUGGAGGUUGCCGAUUGAUCUGUGGCGGUGCCCCGGUCGGCUACAAGGCGGUAGUUUUAUGUUUUCCUUAGUUAUUAGAAUUCGUUUUGUGUACGGGUUCCAUUUAGUUUGGAAUUCGAGUCCUAGUCAUGUCUGGUUGUAGCUCUUCGGACAGGGUAUAAAUUUAGACCCUAGAGCAAUGUAAUGAGACAAUCUAUCAAUCAAUCAAACACAAGUUUUUACUCAUAUUCCAGCAUCUACUUUUUCGACGACUUUGUCAUAUUUUCUUUUUACUACGAGUUCUUAGGAAUCCGUCGACUUACACUCGGCGUGUUCUCAAGUUCCGCGUGAACACCUCUUGGCCGUGACAUCCGGGCACAUCGCUGUUGUCAGGACCAAAGUGCUCGAGUUACCACCUUUGCUGAUUGUAAGGUCAAAUCGGCUGGCACGCCUUAACGUUUGAAUCGGGUAUUAGCCCUUUGUGUUUGCAGAUUAGCUUUUGCACCAACACGGUCGACGUAUUCCACCUCGCUCGGAUUGGUGUUUGUAGGACGUAGUCAGAGCUUCCUAGCCCCCUUCUCAUCUCUUUCUGUGGUUAGUGUUCUGAUGUCCCGAAAUAAAUAAUCUUUGAAGUAAUUCUUGAUUCUUAGAUCAACUAGAGAACUCUCAGGAAACUUCCUCUCUUCCCACCAAAAAUAAUUGUAUAGUUAUCCUUGGGCGAUCUUAAAUCUUAAUUAGUACACUCACGUUCUCUGUGGAAAAUCAAUACUCUGGAAUACUCCCGGGUGAAAGCUACAUCGGUAUCCGUGCACUUGCGGAUUUUUCUGUUUGCGUUUAAAAUACCCAACAGCUGCCAAAGCCUAAUGAACACUAUGUACGAAGCAAAACAUGUCGUCUGUCCUUUGGGAUUAGAAAUCAAGAAGAUACAUGCAUGUCCUAACAACUGCAUCCUAUACUGUGGCAAGGACUACGAGAAUUUAGAUGAAUACCCCGUAUGUAAAGCAUCACGGUAUAAGAUCAGGCGAGAUGACCCUGGCGAUGUUGAGGGGGAAGAACGUCCUAGAAAAAAAUCCCUACAAAGGUUAUGUGGUAUGCUCCUAUAAUACCACGUCUGAAACAUCUUUUUAGAAAUAAGGACCAUGCAAAAUUGUUGCGGUGGCACAAAGAAGACCGUAAAGUAGACAACAUGUUUAGACACCCUGCUGAUGGGUCCCAGUGGAGAGCAAUAGAUAGGGAAUUUCUAGAGUUUGCAAAAGACGCAAGAAACUUAAGGUUCGCUUUAAGUACGCACUGUAUGAAUCCUUUUGGUGAGCAGAACAGUAGUCAUCGCACUUGGCCUGUUACACUAUGUAUCUACAGCCUUCCUCCAUGGUUAUGCAUGAAGCAAAAGUUCAUUAUGAUGUCGGUGCUCAUCCAAGGCCCAAAGCAACCGAACAAUGACAUUGAUGUCUAUCUAAGGCCAUUAAUUGAAGAACUCCUUCUUUUAUGGAGUGAAACAGGUGUUCGUGUGUGGGAUGAGUACAAACAGGAACACUUUGACCUACGAGCACUGUUGUUUGUGACAAUCAAUGAUUGGUUUGCUCUAAGUAAUCUUUCAGGGCAGACAAACAAGGGAUAUAAUGCAUGCACACACUGUUUUGAUGACCUUGAUAGUAUAUGUUUGAAAAAAUGCAGAAAGGUCAUGUACCUUGGGUAUCGUUGAUUUCUUUCUAUGAUUCACCAAGUUAGAAAGAAAGGAAAGCAUUUGAAAGGUAAGGCGGACCACCGAUGCAAGCCUCACAACAGAACUGGAGAAGAUGUAUUUGAGAUGGUUAAGGAUGUGAAAGUAGUCUUUGGUAAGGGACAAGGCAGCCAACCAUUCCAAAAGAUGCAGCAGGUCAUGCACCCAUGUGGAAGAAGAAGUCAAUAUUUUGGAAGCUACCCUAUUGGCAAGUCCUAGAGGUCCGGAAUGCGAUCGACGUCAUGCACCUAACAAAGAAUCUUUGUGUGAACCUUCUAGAAUUUAUGGGUGUGUAUGGGAAGCCUAAGGAUUCACUUGAAGCACGACAAGACUUGCAACGCAUGGAAGAACGAGACAACCUGCAUCCAGAGAAGACAGAUGAUGGACGCCAAUAUUUAAGACCUGCUAGCUACACUCUUAGCAAUGAAGAGAAAGAAAUCAUGUUUGAAUGCUUAAGCAGCAUCAAGGUCCCAUCUGGAUUCUCCUCUAAUAUAAAAGGUAUAAUUAAUGUGCCUGAGAAGAAAUUUCUGAACUUAAAGUCGCAUGACUGCCAUGUGCUUAUGACGCAAUUGCUUCCAGUUGCAUUAAGAGGAAUUCUACCUCCACAUGUACGUCUGGCCACCGUAAAGCUAUGUGCAUUCCUCAAUGCAAUUUCUCAGAAGGCAAUCAAUCCACUGGAACUAGCUGCUCUACAGAAUCAUGUGGUUCAAUGUCUUGUCAGCUUUGAGUUAGUGUUCCCUCCAUCCUUCUUUGAUAUCAUGACACACCUCCUAGUUCAUCUGGUCAAAGAGAUCAAUAUUGUUGGUCCUGUGUUCCUACAUAAUAUGUUUCCCUUCGAGAUGUUUAUGGGAGUUUUGAAGAAAUAUGUUCACCAACGUGCUCGGCCAGAAGGAAGCAUCGCAGAGGGCUAUGGGACAGAGGAGGUCAUUGAGUUCUGGGUUGAAUUCAUUCUUAAACUUGACCCAAUUGGUGUUCCUGAAUCGUGACACGAGGGGAGACUGAGUGUAAAGGGAACACUAGGAAAGAAAACAUACAUCAGUACAGGGGAUGAUUCUUUCAAUAAAGCACACUACACAGUUCUUCAAAACUCAUCCGUGGUGGAGCCGUAUGUCACGAAACAUAAAGACUUCCUACGAUCCUAAUUCCCAGAGAAGAAUGAAGCUUGGUUUAUGCGUCAGCACAUGGACACUUUCAGUGAUUGGUUAUGAAAAGAAUGUCAUGGUAAUGACCAAAUUGAUGAGCAACUGUAUUUGUUGGCUAGGCAACCAUCAUGGCACAUCCUCACGUACAAAGGGUACGAGAUAAAUGGAAAUAUAUUUUACACCCUAGGCCAAUAUAAAAGAAGCAUGAACCAAAAUAGUGGGGUUCGCGUAGACGCCAUAGACCCGAAUGGAAACAGACAAACAUAUUAUGGCCAUAUAGAGGAGAUUUGGGAACUAGACUACGCACCUAAUUUUAAAGUCCCUUUGUUCCGGUGCCAAUGGGUGAAGGUUACCGGAGGCGGGGUGACAGUUGACAAAGACUAUGGAAUGACAACAGUGGACCUCAACAAUGUUGGUUACAAAGAUGAACCAUUCGUCCUUGCUGCUGAUGUGAAUCAGGUGUUCUAUGUGAAAGACAUGUCUACAAAACAGAAGAGAGGGAAAAAUGACAACAAAUCAACAAAUGAGCCAAAACCCCAUAUAGUUCUCUCAGGGAAAAGAAACAUUGUGGGAAGUUGACGACAAGUCAGAUAUUUCAGAAGAUUAUGAAAGGGAUGAUCGAAUCACGCCUUUCAAUGUGACCAAAGAUCUGAGCAUCCUGAUAAAUGCUGAGGACACUCCAUGGUUACGUCAAGAUCAUGACCAAGGAACAUACAUCAAAAAGAAGAUCACUAUUGUCCCCGACUAAUAAAUAGAUUGCAUUAGAGUAUGUGUAUGUGACAAUUGUAACUUAAGAUGAUCAUAUUAGUUUUUCUUAUUUUAUAUCAUUUCAAAUAAUGAAAUGACUUGUGGGAACUGACAUUUAAGUUUGCUAUUAUAAAGCACAUUUGUUCAAAAUCCAAGACGGGUUUUGGUCAAACUUUGUCAAAUGACAAACAAAAUUACAUAAAAUGAAAAAAUUUUGAAUACGAAGUUCUUAGAUAUCAUCAAGAUCUAAACUUUUUAUAUAGACAAUUUUUCCAUUUGAUAAAGUUUAAGCUGACAACACCCACCAAAUCUUCAAUCUCACAAAAACUAUAUGAAACUAUACGUGUCAAUUGUGGAUUUUCUACUACACCUUCCCAACACUUUGUCAAAUGCAAAAAUGGUCUAUAUAUUAAAUGUAGAUUUUGAUGAGUGGAACAAUAUUGGUAUUCAUGACUUUUCCAUUCGAGACCAUCUAGGGUUCCGAAAACCGAUGUUUGUCUAUGAAUUCUUUCAAAAUUCAAAAUUGAGUGGUUCAAACUUUUCCAAAAGAAAAGUUGACCAUUAGACCAACUAUAGAACUUGAUGAGUGUAACAAACUUUGUAUUCAUGACUUCUCCAUUUGGGACCAUCUAGGGUUCGGUCAAAGUGUGUGUUUCCAAAAACCAAUGCUUUGACUUUGGUCAAACUUGGUAAAAUGACCCAUUUGAUGACUUGAAAUGAAAAAAAAUUGAAUACAAAGUUGCUAGAGCUCACCAAGAUCUACAUUAUAUAUAUUGUCCAUUUUUCCAUUUGGAUAAAUUUGAGCCAAUCCUAAGUACAUUUGGUCAAAAUCCAAGACGGGUUUUGGUCAAACUUGGUCAAAUGACAAACAAAAUUACUUAAAAUGAAAAAAUUUUAAAUACCAAGUUGUUAGAUAUCAUCAAGAUCAAAACUUUUUAUAUAGACAAUAUUUCCAUUUGAGAAUGUUUAAGUUGACACACGAAAUCUUGAAUCUCACACAAACUAUAUGAAACUAUAUGUGUCAAUUGUGGAUUUUCAACUACGCCUUCCCAACACUUUGUCAACUGCAAAAAUGGUCUAUAUAUUAAAUGUAGAUUUUGAUGAGUGGAACAAUAUUGGUAUUCAUGACUUUUCCAUUCGAGACCAUCUAGGGUUCCGAAAACCGAUGCCUGGCUAUGAAUUCUUUCAAAAUUCAAAAUUGAGUGUUUCAAACUUUUCCAAAAGAAAAGUUAACCAUUAGACCAAAUGUAGAACUUGAUGACUGUAACAAACUUUGUAUUCAUAACUUUUCCAUUUGGGACAAUCUAGGGUUCGGUCAAAGUGUGUGUUUCUAAAAACAAUGCUUUGACUUUGGUCAAACUUGGCCAAAUGACCCAUUUGAUGACUUGAAAUGAAAAAAAAUGAAUACAAAGUUGCUAGAGAUCAUCAAGAUCUACAUUUUAUAUAUUGUCCAUUUUUCCAUUUGGAUAAAUUUGAGCCAAUCCUAAGCACAUUUAGUCAAAUUCCAAGAUGGGUUUUAGUCAAACUUGGUCAAAUGACAAACAAAAUUACUUAAAAUGAAAAAAAUUUGAAUACUAAGUUGUUAGAUAUCAUCAAGAUCUAAACUUUUUAUAUAGAAAAUUUUUCCAUUUAAGAAAGUUUAAGUUGACAAUACCCACCAAAUCUUGAAUCUCACACAAUCUAUAUGAAACUAUAUGUGUCAAUUGUGGAUUUUCAACUACACCUUCCCAACACUUUGUCAAAUGCAAAAAUGGUCUAUAUAUUAAAUGUAGAUUUUGAUGAGUGGAACAAUAUUGGUAUUCAUGACUUUUCCAUUCGAGAACAUCUAGGGUUCCAAAAACCGAUGUCUCUGGCUAUGAAUUAUUUCAAAAUUCAUAAUUGAGUGGUUCAAACUUUUCCAAAAGAAAAGUUAAUCAUUAGACCAAAUGUAGAACUUGAUGAGUGUAACAAACUUUGUAUUCAUAACUUUUCCAUUUUGGACCAUCUAGAGUUCGGUCAAAGUGUGUGUUUCUAAAAACCAAUGCUUUGACUUUGGUCAAACUUGGUAAAAUGACCCAUUUGAUGACUUGAAAUGAAAAAAAAUUGAAUACAAAGUUGCUAGAGCUCACCAAGAUCUACAUUAUAUAUAUUGUCCAUUUUUCCAUUUGGAUAAAUUUGAGCCAAUCCUAAGUACAUUUGGUCAAAAUCCAAGACGGGUUUUGGUCAAACUUGGUCAAAUGACAAACAAAAUUACUUAAAAUGAAAAAAUUUUAAAUACCAAGUUGUUAGAUAUCAUCAAGAUCAAAACUUUUUAUAUAGACAAUAUUUCCAUUUGAGAAUGUUUAAGUUGACACACGAAAUCUUGAAUCUCACACAAACUAUAUGAAACUAUAUGUGUCAAUUGUGGAUUUUCAACUACGCCUUCCCAACACUUUGUCAACUGCAAAAAUGGUCUAUAUAUUAAAUGUAGAUUUUGAUGAGUGGAACAAUAUUGGUAUUCAUGACUUUUCCAUUCGAGACCAUCUAGGGUUCCGAAAACCGAUGCCUGUCUAUGAAUUCUUUCAAAAUCCAAAAUUGAGUGGUUCAAACUUUUCCAAAAGAAAAGUUAACCAUUAGACCAAAUGUAGAACUUGAUGACUGUAACAAACUUUGUAUUCAUAACUUUUCCAUUUGGGACAAUCUAGGGUUCGGUCAAAGUGUGUGUUUCUAAAAACAAUGCUUUGACUUUGGUCAAACUUGGCCAAAUGACCCAUUUGAUGACUUGAAAUGAAAAAAAAUGAAUACAAAGUUGCUAGAGAUCAUCAAGAUCUACAUUUUAUAUAUUGUCCAUUUUUCCAUUUGGAUAAAUUUGAGCCAAUCCUAAGCACAUUUAGUCAAAUUCCAAGAUGGGUUUUAGUCAAACUUGGUCAAAUGACAAACAAAAUUACUUAAAAUGAAAAAAAUUUGAAUACUAAGUUGUUAGAUAUCAUCAAGAUCUAAACUUUUUAUAUAGAAAAUUUUUCCAUUUAAGAAAGUUUAAGUUGACAAUACCCACCAAAUCUUGAAUCUCACACAAUCUAUAUGAAACUAUAUGUGUCAAUUGUGGAUUUUCAACUACACCUUCCCAACACUUUGUCAAAUGCAAAAAUGGUCUAUAUAUUAAAUGUAGAUUUUGAUGAGUGGAACAAUAUUGGUAUUCAUGACUUUUCCAUUCGAGAACAUCUAGGGUUCCAAAAACCGAUGUCUCUGGCUAUGAAUUAUUUCAAAAUUCAUAAUUGAGUGGUUCAAACUUUUCCAAAAGAAAAGUUAAUCAUUAGACCAAAUGUAGAACUUGAUGAGUGUAACAAACUUUGUAUUCAUAACUUUUCCAUUUUGGACCAUCUAGAGUUCGGUCAAAGUGUGUGUUUCUAAAAACCAAUGCUUUGACUUUGGUCAAACUUGGUAAAAUGACCCAUUUGAUGACUUGAAAUGAAAAAAAAUUGAAUACAAAGUUGCUAGAGCUCACCAAGAUCUACAUUAUAUAUAUUGUCCAUUUUUCCAUUUGGAUAAAUUUGAGCCAAUCCUAAGUACAUUUGGUCAAAAUCCAAGACGGGUUUUGGUCAAACUUGGUCAAAUGACAAACAAAAUUACUUAAAAUGAAAAAAUUUUAAAUACCAAGUUGUUAGAUAUCAUCAAGAUCAAAACUUUUUAUAUAGACAAUAUUUCCAUUUGAGAAUGUUUAAGUUGACACACGAAAUCUUGAAUCUCACACAAACUAUAUGAAACUAUAUGUGUCAAUUGUGGAUUUUCAACUACGCCUUCCCAACACUUUGUCAACUGCAAAAAUGGUCUAUAUAUUAAAUGUAGAUUUUGAUGAGUGGAACAAUAUUGGUAUUCAUGACUUUUCCAUUCGAGACCAUCUAGGGUUCCGAAAACCGAUGCCUGUCUAUGAAUUCUUUCAAAAUCCAAAAUUGAGUGGUUCAAACUUUUCCAAAAGAAAAGUUAACCAUUAGACCAAAUGUAGAACUUGAUGACUGUAACAAACUUUGUAUUCAUAACUUUUCCAUUUGGGACAAUCUAGGGUUCGGUCAAAGUGUGUGUUUCUAAAAACAAUGCUUUGACUUUGGUCAAACUUGGCCAAAUGACCCAUUUGAUGACUUGAAAUGAAAAAAAUUGAAUACAAAGUUGCUAGAGAUCAUCAAGAUCUACAUUUUAUAUAUUGUCCAUUUUUCCAUUUGGAUAAAUUUGAGCCAAUCCUAAGCACAUUUAGUCAAAUUCCAAGAUGGGUUUUAGUCAAACUUGGUCAAAUGACAAACAAAAUUACUUAAAAUGAAAAAAAAUUGAAUACUAAGUUGUUAGAUAUCAUCAAGAUCUAAACUUUUUAUAUAGAAAAUUUUUCCAUUUAAGAAAGUUUAAGUUGACAAUACCCACCAAAUCUUGAAUCUCACACAAUCUAUAUGAAACUAUAUGUGUCAAUUGUGGAUUUUCAACUACACCUUCCCAACACUUUGUCAAAUGCAAAAAUGGUCUAUAUAUUAAAUGUAGAUUUUGAUGAGUGGAACAAUAUUGGUAUUCAUGACUUUUCCAUUCGAGAACAUCUAGGGUUCCAAAAACCGAUGUCUCUCGCUAUGAAUUAUUUCAAAAUUCAUAAUUGAGUGGUUCAAACUUUUCCAAAAGAAAAGUUAAUCGUUAGACCAAAUGUAGAACUUGAUGAGUGUAACAAACUUUGUAUUCAUAACUUUUCCAUUUUGGACCAUCUAGAGUUCGGUCAAAGUGUGUGUUUCUAAAAACCAAUGCUUUGACUUUGGUCAAACUUGGUCAAAUGACCCAUUUGAUGACUUGAAAUGAAAAAAAAUUGAAUACAAAGUUGCUAGAGAUCAUCAAGAUCUACAUUUUAUAUAUUGUCCAUUUUUCCAUUUGGAUAAAUUUGAGCCAAUCCUAAGCACAUUUAAUCAAAUUCCAAGAUGGGUUUUAGUCAAACUUGGUCAAAUGACAAACAAAAUUACUUAAAAUGAAAAAAUUUUGAAUACUAAGUUGUUAGAUAUCAUCAAGAUCUAAACUUUUUAUAUAGACAAUUUUUCCAUUUAAGAAAGUUUAAGUUGACAAUACCCACCAAAUCUUGAAUCUCACACAAUCUAUAUGAAACUAUAUGUGUCAAUUGUGAAUUUUCAACUACAACUUCCCAACACUUUGUCAAAUACAAAAAUGGUCUAUAUAUUAAAUGUAGAUUUUGAUGAGUGGAACAAUAUUGGUAUUCAUGACUUUUCCAUUCGAGACCAUCUAGGGUUCCAAAAAUCGAUGUCUCUGGCUAUGAAUUAUUUCAAAAUUCAAUAUUGAGUGGUUCAAACUUUUUCCAAAAGAAAAGUUAACCAUUACACCAAAUGUAGAACUUGAUGAGUGUAACGAACUUUGUAUUCAUAACUUUUCCAUUUGGGACAUCUAGGGUUCGGUCAAAGUGUGUGUUUCUAAAAACCAAUGCUUUGACUUUGGUCAAACUUGGUCAAAUGACCCAUUUGAUUACUUGAAAUGAAAAAAAAAUUGAAUACAAAGUUGCUAGAGAACAUCAAGAUCUACAUUUUAUAUAUUGUCCAUUUUUCCAUUUAGAUAAAUUUGAGCCAAUCCUAAGCACAUUUGGUCAAAUUCCAAGACGGGUUUUGGUCAAACUUGGUCAAAUGACGAACAAAAUUACUUAAAAUGAAAAAAUUUUGAAUACCAAGUUGUUAGAUAUCAUCAAGAUCUAAACUUGUUAUAUAGACAAUUUUUCCAUUUGAGAAAGUUUAAGUUGACAAUACCCACCAAAUCUUGAAUCUCACACAAUCUAUAUGAAACUAUAUGUGUCAAUUGUGGAUUUUUAACUACACAAUCCCAACAAUUUGUCAAAUGCAAAAAUGGUCUAUGUAUUAAAUGUAGAUUUUGAUGAGUGGAACAAUAUUGGUAUUCAUGACUUUUCCAUUCGAGACCAUCUAGGGUUCCGAAAACCGAUGCCUAGCUAUGAAUUCCUUCAAAAUUCAAAAUUGAGUGGUUCAAACUUUUCCAAAAGAAAAGUUAACCAUUAGACCAAAUGUAGAACUUGAUGAGUGUAACAAACUUUGUAUUCAUACUUUCCAUUUGGGACCAUCUACGGUCGNNNNNNNNNNNNNNNNNNNNNNNNNNNNNNNNNNNNNNNNNNNNNNNNNNNNNNNNNNNNNNNNNNNNNNNNNNNNNNNNNNNNNNNNNNNNNNNNNNNNNNNNNNNNNNNNNNNNNNNNNNNNNNNNNNNNNNNNNNNNNNNNNNNNNNNNNNNNNNNNNNNNNNNNNNNNNNNNNNNNNNNNNNNNNNNNNNNNNNNNNNNNNNNNNNNNNNNNNNNNNNNNNNNNNNNNNNNNNNNNNNNNNNNNNNNNNNNNNNNNNNNNNNNNNNNNNNNNNNNNNNNNNNNNNNNNNNNNNNNNNNNNNNNNNNNNNNNNNNNNNNNNNNNNNNNNNNNNNNNNNNNNNNNNNNNNNNNNNNNNNNNNNNNNNNNNNNNNNNNNNNNNNNNNNNNNNNNNNNNNNNNNNNNNNNNNNNNNNNNNNNNNNNNNNNNNNNNNNNNNNNNNNNNNNNNNNNNNNNNNNNNNNNNNNNNNNNNNNNNNNNNNNNNNNNNNNNNNNNNNNNNNNNNNNNNNNNNNNNNNNNNNNNNNNNNNNNNNNNNNNNNNNNNNNNNNNNNNNNNNNNNNNNNNNNNNNNNNNNNNNNNNNNNNNNNNNNNNNNNNNNNNNNNNNNNNNNNNNNNNNNNNNNNNNNNNNNNNNNNNNNNNNNNNNNNNNNNNNNNNNNNNNNNNNNNNNNNNNNNNNNNNNNNNNNNNNNNNNNNNNNNNNNNNNNNNNNNNNNNNNNNNNNNNNNNNNNNNNNNNNNNNNNNNNNNNNNNNNNNNNNNNNNNNNNNNNNNNNNNNNNNNNNNNNNNNNNNNNNNNNNNNNNNNNNNNNNNNNNNNNNNNNNNNNNNNNNNNNNNNNNNNNNNNNNNNNNNNNNNNNNNNNNNNNNNNNNNNNNNNNNNNNNNNNNNNNNNNNNNNNNNNNNNNNNNNNNNNNNNNNNNNNNNNNNNNNNNNNNNNNNNNNNNNNNNNNNNNNNNNNNNNNNNNNNNNNNNNNNNNNNNNNNNNNNNNNNNNNNNNNNNNNNNNNNNNNNNNNNNNNNNNNNNNNNNNNNNNNNNNNNNNNNNNNNNNNNNNNNNNNNNNNNNNNNNNNNNNNNNNNNNNNNNNNNNNNNNNNNNNNNNNNNNNNNNNNNNNNNNNNNNNNNNNNNNNNNNNNNNNNNNNNNNNNNNNNNNNNNNNNNNNNNNNNNNNNNNNNNNNNNNNNNNNNNNNNNNNNNNNNNNNNNNNNNNNNNNNNNNNNNNNNNNNNNNNNNNNNNNNNNNNNNNNNNNNNNNNNNNNNNNNNNNNNNNNNNNNNNNNNNNNNNNNNNNNNNNNNNNNNNNNNNNNNNNNNNNNNNNNNNNNNNNNNNNNNNNNNNNNNNNNNNNNNNNNNNNNNNNNNNNNNNNNNNNNNNNNNNNNNNNNNNNNNNNNNNNNNNNNNNNNNNNNNNNNNNNNNNNNNNNNNNNNNNNNNNNNNNNNNNNNNNNNNNNNNNNNNNNNNNNNNNNNNNNNNNNNNNNNNNNNNNNNNNNNNNNNNNNNNNNNNNNNNNNNNNNNNNNNNNNNNNNNNNNNNNNNNNNNNNNNNNNNNNNNNNNNNNNNNNNNNNNNNNNNNNNNNNNNNNNNNNNNNNNNNNNNNNNNNNNNNNNNNNNNNNNNNNNNNNNNNNNNNNNNNNNNNNNNNNNNNNNNNNNNNNNNNNNNNNNNNNNNNNNNNNNNNNNNNNNNNNNNNNNNNNNNNNNNNNNNNNNNNNNNNNNNNNNNNNNNNNNNNNNNNNNNNNNNNNNNNNNNNNNNNNNNNNNNNNNNNNNNNNNNNNNNNNNNNNNNNNNNNNNNNNNNNNNNNNNNNNNNNNNNNNNNNACUUGAAAUGAAAAAAAAUUGAAUACAAAGUUGCUAGAGAACAUCAAGAUCUACAUUUUAUAUAUUGUCCAUUUUUCCAUUUGGAUAAAUUUGAGCCAAUCCUAAGCUCAUUUAAUCAAAUUCCAAGAUGGGUUUUAGUCAAACUUGGUCAAAUGACAAACAAAAUUACUUAAAAUGAAAAAAAAUUGAAUACUAAGUUGUUAGAUAUCAUCAAGAUCUAAACUUUUUAUAUAGAAAAUUUUUCCAUUUAAGAAAGUUUAAGUUGACAAUACCCACCAAAUCUUGAAUCUCACACAAUCUAUAUGAAACUAUAUGUGUCAAUUGUGGAUUUUCAACUACACCUUCCCAACACUUUGUCAAAUGCAAAAAUGGUCUAUAUAUUAAAUGUAGAUUUUGAUGAGUGGAACAAUAUUGGUAUUCAUGACUUUUCCAUUCGAGGCCAUCUAGGGUUCAAAAAACUGAUGCCUGGCUAUGAGUUCUUUCAAAAUUCAAAAUUGAGUGGUUCAAAUUUUUCCAAAAGAAAAGUUGACCAUUAGACCAAAUGUAGAACUUGAUGAGUGUAACAAACUUUGUAUUCAUGACUUUUCCAUUUGGGACCAUCUUGGGUUCGGUCAAUGUGUGUGUCAAGCUUGGUCAAAUGACCCAUUUGAUGACUUCAAAUGAAAAAAAUUUGAAUACAAAGUUGUUAGAGAUCAUCAAGAUCUACAUUUGAUAUAUUGUCUAUUUUUUCAUUUGGAUAAAUUUGAGCCAAUCCUAAGCACAUUUGUUCAAAAUCCAAGACGGGUUUUGGUCAAACUUGGUCAAAUGACAAACAAAAAUACUUAAAAUGAAAAAACUUUGAAUACCAAGUUGUUAGAUAUCAUCAAGAUCUAAAUAUUUUAUAUAGACAAUUUUUCCAUUUGAGAAAGUUUAAGUUGACAAUACCCACCAAAUUUUGAAUCUCACACAAACUAUAUGAAACUAUAUGUGUCAAUUGUGGAUUUUCAACUACACCUUCCCAACACUUUGUCAAAUGCAAAAAUGGUCUAUAUAUUAAAUGUAGAUUUUGAUGAGUGGAACAAUUUUGGUAUUCAUGACUUUUCCAUUCGAGACCAUCUAGGGUUCCAAAAACCGAUGCCUGGCUAUGAAUUCUUUCAAAAUUCAAAAUUGAUUGGUUCAAACUUUUCCAAAAGAAAAGUUGACCAUUAGACCAAAUGUAGAACUUGAUGAGUGUAACAAACUUUGUAUUCAUGACUUUUCCAUUUGGGACCAUCUAGGGUUCGGUCAAAGUGUGUGUUUCUAAAAACCAAUGCUUUGACUUUGGUCAAACUUGGUCAAAUGACCCAUUUGGUGACUUCAAAUGAAAAAAAUUUGAAUACAAAGUUGUUAGAGAUCAUCAAGAUCUAUAUUUGAUAUAUUGUCCAUUUUUGGAUUUGGAAAAAAUUGAGCCAAUCCUAAGCACAUUUGUACAAAAUCCAAGAUGGGUUUUGGUCACACUUGGCCAAAUGACAAACAAAAAUACUGAAAAUGAAAAAACUUUGAAUACCAAGUUGUUAGAUAUCAUCAAGAUCUAUUCUUUUUAUAUAGACAAUUUUUCUAUUUGAGAAAGUUUAAGUUGGCAAUACCCACCAAAUUUUGAAUCUCACACAAACUAUAUGAAACUAUAUGUGUCAAUUGUGGAUUUUCAACUACACCUUCCCAACACUUUGUCAAAUGCAAAAAUGGUCUAUAUAUUAAAUGUAGAUUUUGAUGAGUGGAACAAUAUUGGUAUUCAUGACUUUUCCAUUCGAGACCAUCUAGGGUUCCAAAAACUGAUGCCUGGCUAUGAGUUCUUUCAAAAUUCAAAAUUGAGUGGUUCAAAUUUUUCCAAAAGAAAAGUUGACCAUUAGACCAAAUGUAGAACUUGAUGAGUGUAACAAACUUUGUAUUCAUGACUUUUCCAUUUGGGACCAUCUUGGGUUCGGUCAAUGUGUGUGUCAAACUUGGUCAAAUGACCCAUUUGAUGACUUGAAAUGAAAAAAAUUUGAAUACAAAGUUGUUAGAGAUCAUCAACAUCUACAUUUGAUAUAUUGUCUAUUUUUCCAUUUGGAUAAAUUUGAGCCAAUCCUAAGCACAUUUGUUUAAAAUCCAAGACGGGUUUUGGUCAAACUUGGUCAAAUGACAAACAAAAAUACUUAAAAUGAAAAAACUUUGAAUACCAAGUUGUUAGAUAUCAUCAAGAUCUAAAUAUUUUAUAUAGACAAUUUUUCCAUUUGAGAAUGUUUAAGUUGACAAUACCCACCAAAUCUUGAGUCUCACACAAACUAUAUGAAACUAUAUGUGUCAAUUGUGGAUUUUCAACUACACCUUCCCAACACUUUGUCAAAUGCAAAAAUGGUCUAUAUAUUAAAUGUAGAUUUUGAUGAGUGGAACAAUUUUGGUAUUCAUGACUUUUCCAUUCGAGACCAUCUAGGGUUCCAAAAACCGAUGCCUGGCUAUGAAUUCUUUCAAAAUUCAAAAUUGAUUGGUUCAAACUUUUCCAAAAGAAAAGUUGACAAUUAGACCAAAUGUAGAACUUGAUGAGUGUAACAAACUUUGUAUUCAUGACUUUUCCAUUUGGGACCAUCUAGGGUUCGGUCAAAUUGUGUGUUUCUAAAAACCAAUGCUUUGACUUUGGUCAAACUUGGUCAAAUGACCCAUUUGAUGACUUCAAAUGAAAAAAAUAUGAAUACAAAGUUGUUAGAGAUCAUCAAGAUCUACAUUUGAUAUAUUGUCCAUUUUUCCAUUUGGAACAAAUUGAGCCAAUCCUAAGCACAUUUGUUCNNNNNNNNNNNNNNNNNNNNNNNNNNNNNNNNNNNNNNNNNNNNNNNNNNNNNNNNNNNNNNNNNNNNNNNNNNNNNNNNNNNNNNNNNNNNNNNNNNNNNNNNNNNNNNNNNNNNNNNNNNNNNNNNNNNNNNNNNNNNNNNNNNNNNNNNNNNNNNNNNNNNNNNNNNNNNNNNNNNNNNNNNNNNNNNNNNNNNNNNNNNNNNNNNNNNNNNNNNNNNNNNNNNNNNNNNNNNNNNNNNNNNNNNNNNNNNNNNNUUAAAAUGAAAAAACUUUGAAUACCAAGUUGUUAGAUAUCAUCAGAUCUAAACGUUUAUAUAGACAAUUUUUCCAUUUGAGAAAGUUUAAGUUGACAAUACCCACCAAAUCGUGAAUCUCACACAAUCUAUAUGAAACUAUAUGUGUCAAUUGUGGAUUUUCAACUACACCUUCCCAGCACUUUGUCAAAUGCAAAAAAGGUCUAUAUAUUAAAUGUAGAUUUUGAUGAGUGGAACAAUUUUGGUAUUCAUGACUUUUCCAUUCGAGACCAUCUAGGGUUCCAAAAACCGAUGCCUGGCUAUGAAUUCUUUCAAAAUUCAAAAUUGAUUGGUUCAAACUUUUCCAAAAGAAAAGUUGACCAUUAGACCAAAUGUAGAACUUGAUGAGUGUAACAAACUUUGUAUUCAUGACUUUUCCAUUUGGGACCAUCUAGGGUUCCGUCAAAGUGUGUGUUUCUAAAAACCAAUGCUUUGACUUUGGUCAAACUUGGUCAAAUGACCCAUUUGAUGACUUCAAAUGAAAAAAAUUUGAAUACAAAGUUGUUAGAGAUCAUCAAGAUCUACAUUUGAUAUAUUGUCCAUUUUUGGAUUUGGAAAAAAUUGAGCCAAUCCUAAGCACAUUUGUUAAAUAUCCAAGACAGGUUUUGGUCACACUUGGUCAAAUGACAAACAAAAAUACUUAAAAUGAAAAAACUUUGAAUACCAAGUUGUUAGAUAUCAUCAAGAUCUAUUCUUUUUAUAUAGACAAUUUUUCCAUUUGAGAAAGUUUAAGUUGACAAUACCCACCAAAUUUUGAAUCUCACACAAACUAUAUGAAACUAUAUGUGUCAAUUGUGGAUUUUCAACUACACCUUCCCAAUACUUUGUCAAAUGCAAAAAUGGUCUAUAUAUUAAAUGUAGAUUUUGAUGAGUGGAACAAUAUUGGUAUUCAUGACUUUUCCAUUCGAGACCAUCUAGGGUUCCAAAAACUGAUGCCUGGCUAUGAAUUCUUUCAAAAUUCAAAAUUGAGUGGUUCAAAUUUUUCCAAAAGAAAAGUUGACCAUUAGACCAAAUGUAGAACUUGAUGAGUGUAACAAACUUUGUAUUCAUGACUUUUCCAUUUGGGACCAUCUUGGGUUCGGUCAAUGUGUGUGUCAAGCUUGGUCAAAUGACCCAUUUGAUGACUUCAAAUGAAAAAAAUUUGAAUACAAAGUUGUUAGAGAUCAUCAAGAUCUACAUUUGAUAUAUUGUCUAUUUUUUCAUUUGGAUAAAUUUGAGCCAAUCCUAAGCACAUUUGUUCAAAAUCCAAGACGGGUUUUGGUCAAACUUGGUCAAAUGACAAACAAAAAUACUUAAAAUGAAAAAACUUUGAAUACCAAGUUGUUAGAUAUCAUCAAGAUCUAAAUAUUUUAUAUAGACAAUUUUUCCAUUUGAGAAAGUUUAAGUUGACAAUACCCACCAAAUUUUGAAUCUCACACAAACUAUAUGAAACUAUAUGUGUCAAUUGUGGAUUUUCAACUACACCUUCCCAACACUUUGUCAAAUGCAAAAAUGGUCUAUAUAUUAAAUGUAGAUUUUGAUGAGUCGAACAAUAUUAGUAUUCAUGACUUUUCCAUUCGAGACCAUCUAGGGUUCCAAAAACCGAUGCCUGGCUAUGAAUUCUUUCAAAAUUCAAAAUUGAGUGGUUCAAACUUUUCCAAAAGAAAAGUUGACCAUUAGACCAAAUGUAGAACUUGAUGAGUGUAACAAACUUUGUAUUCAUGACUUUUCCAUUUGGGACCAUCUAGGGUUCGGUCAAAGUGUGUGUUUCUAAAAACCAAUGCUUUGACUUUGGUCAAACUUGGUCAAAUGACCCAUUUGAUGACUUCAAAUGAAAAAAAUUUGAAUACAAAGUUGUUAGAGAUCAUCAAGAUCUAUAUUUGAUAUAUUGUCCAUUUUUGGAUUUGGAAAAAAUUGAGCCAAUCCUAAGCACAUUUGUUAAAUAUCCAAGACAGGUUUUGGUCACACUUGGUCAAAUGACAAACAAAAAUACUUAAAAUGAAAAAACUUUGAAUACCAAGUUGUUAGAUAUCAUCAAGAUCUAUUCUUUUUAUAUAGACAAUUUUUCCAUUUGAGAAAGUUUAAGUUGACAAUACCCACCAAAUUUUGAAUCUCACACAAACUAUAUGAAACUAUAUGUGUCAAUUGUGGAUUUUCAACUACACCUUCCCAACACUUUGUCAAAUGCAAAAAUGGUCUAUAUAUUAAAUGUAGAUUUUGAUGAGUGGAACAAUAUUGGUAUUCAUGACUUUUCCAUUCGAGACCAUCUAGGGUUCCAAAAACUGAUGCCUGGCUAUGAGUUCUUUCAAAAUUCAAAAUUGAGUGGUUCAAAUUUUUCCAAAAGAAAAGUUGACCAUUAGACCAAAUGUAGAACUUGAUGAGUGUAACAAACUUUGUAUUCAUGACUUUUCCAUUUGGGACCAUCUUGGGUUCGGUCAAUGUGUGUGUCAAACUUGGUCAAAUGACCCAUUUGAUGACUUCAAAUGAAAAAAAUUUGAAUACAAAGUUGUUAGAGAUCAUCAAGAUCUACAUUUGAUAUAUUUUCUAUUUUUCCAUUUGGAUAAAUUUGAGCCAAUCCUAAUCACAUUUGUUCAAAAUCCAAGACGAGUUUUGGUCACACUUGGUCAAAUGACAAACAAAAAUACUUAAAAUGAAAAAACUUUGAAUACCAAGUUGUUAGAUAUCAUCAAGAUCUAAAUUUUUUAUAUAGACAAUUUUUCCAUUUGAGAAAGUUUAAGUUGACAAUACCCACCAAAUCUUGUGUCUCACACAAACUAUAUGAAACUAUAUGUGUCAAUUGUGGAUUUUCAACUACACCUUCCCAACACUUUGUCAAAUGCAAAAAUGGUCUAUAUAUUAAAUGUAGAUUUUGAUGAGUGGAACAAUAUCGGUAUUCAUGACUUUUCCAUUCGAGACCAUCUAGGGUUUCAAAAACCGAUGCCUGGCUACGAAUUCUUUCAAAAUUCAAAAUUGAGUGGUUCAAACUUUUCCAAAAGAAAAGUUGACCAUUAGACCAAAUGUAGAACUUGAUGAGUGUAACAAACUUUGUAUUCAUGACUUUUCCAUUUGGGACCAUCUAGGGUUCGGUCAAAGUGUGUGUUUCUAAAAACCAAUGCUUUGACUUUGGUCAAACUUGGUCAAAUGACCCAUUUGAUGACUUCAAAUGAAAAAAAUUUGAAUACAAAGUUGUUAGAGAUCAUCAAGAUCUACAUUUGAUAUAUUGUCCAUUUUUUCAUUUGGAUAAAUUUGAGCCAAUCCUAAGCACAUUUUUACAAAAUCCAAGAUGGGUUUUGGUCACACUUGGCCAAAUGACAAACAAAAAUACUUGAAAUGAAAAAAUUUUGAAUACCAAGUUGUUAGAUAUCAUCAAGAUCUAUUCUUUUUAUAUAGACAAUUUUUCCAUUUGAGAAAGUUUAAGUUGACAAUACCCACCAAAUUUUGAAUCUCACACAAACUAUAUGAAACUAUAUGUGUCAAUUGUGGAUUUUCAACUACACCUUCCCAACACUUUGUCAAAUGCAAAAAUGGUCUAUAUAUUAAAUGUAGAUUUUGAUGAGUGGAACAAUAUUGGUAUUCAUGACUUUUCCAUUCGAGACCAUCUAGGGUUCAAAAAACUGAUGCCUGGCUAUGAGUUCUUUCAAAAUUCAAAAUUGAGUGGUUCAAAUUUUUCCAAAAGAAAAGUUGACCAUUAGACCAAAUGUAGAACUUGAUGAGUGUAACAAACUUUGUAUUCAUGACUUUUCCAUUUGGGACCAUCUUGGGUUUGGUCAAUGUGUGUGUCAAACUUGGUCAAAUGGCCCAUUUGAUGACUUCAAAUGAAAAAAAUUUGAAUACAAAGUUGUUAGAGAUCAUCAACAUCUACAUUUGAUAUAUUGUCUAUUUUUCCAUUUGGAUAAAUUUGAGCCAAUCCUAAGCACAUUUGUUCCAAAUCCAAGACGGGUUUUGGUCACACUUGGUCAAAUGACAAACAAAAAUACUUAAAAUGAAAAAACUUUGAAUACCAAGUUGUUAGAUAUCAUCAAGAUCUAAAUUUUUUAUAUAGACAAUUUUUCCAUUUGAGAAAGUCUAAAUUGACAAUACCUACCAAAUCUUGUGUCUCACACAAACUAUAUGAAACUAUAUGUGUCAAUUGUGGAUUUUCAACUACACCUUCCCAACACUUUGUCAAAUGCAAAAAUGGUCUAUAUAUUAAAUGUAGAUUUUGAUGAGUGGAACAAUAUUGGUAUUCAUGACUUUUCCAUUCGAGACCAUCUAGGGUUUCAAAAACCGAUGCCUGGCUAUUCUUUUUCAAAAUUAAAAAUUGAGUGGUUCAAACUUUUCCAAAAGAAAAGUUGACCAUUAGACCAAAUGUAGAACUUGAUGAGUGUAACAAACUUUGUAUUGAUGACUUUUCAAUUUGGGACCAUCUAGGGAUCGGUCAAAGUGUGUGUUUCUAAAAACCAAUGCUUUGACUUUGGUCAAACUUGGUCAAAUGACCCAUUUGAUGACUUCAAAUGAAAAAAAUUUGAAUACAAAGUUGUUAGAGAUCAUCAAGAUCUACAUUUGAUAUAUUGUCCAUUUUUUCAUUUGGAUAAAUUUGAGCCAAUCCUAAGCACAUUUGUUCAAAAUCCAAGACGGGUUUUGGUCACACUUGGCCAAAUGACAAACAAAAAUACUUAAAAUGAAAAAAUUUUGAAUACCAAGUUGUUAGAUAUCAUCAAGAUCUAUUCUUUUUAUAUAGACAAUUUUUCCAUUUGAGAAAGUUUAAGUUGACAAUACCCACCAAAUUUUGAAUCUCACACAAACUAUAUGAAACUAUAUGUGUCAAUUGUGGAUUUUCAACUACACCUUCCCAACACUUUGUCAAAUGCAAAAAUGGUCUAUAUAUUAAAUGUAGAUUUUGAUGAGUGGAACAAUAUUGGUAUUCAUGACUUUUCCAUUCGAGACCAUCUAGGGUUCCAAAAACUGAUGCCUGGCAAUGAGUUCUUUCAAAAUUCAAAAUUGAGUGGUUCAAAUUUUUCCAAAAGAAAAGUUGACCAUUAGACCAAAUGUAGAACUUGAUGAGUGUAACAAACUUUGUAUUCAUGACUUUUCCAUUUGGGACCAUCUUGGGUUCGGUCAAUGUGUGUGUCAAACUUGGUCAAAUGACCCAUUUGAUGACUUCAAAUGAAAAAAUUUGAAUACAAAGUUGUAAGAGAUCAUCAACAUCUACAUUUGAUAUAUUUUCUAUUUUUCCAUUUGGAUAAAUUUGAGCCAAUCCUAAGCACAUUUGUUCAAAAUCCAAGACGGGUUUUGGUCACACUUGGUCAAAUGACAAACAAAAAUACUUAAAAUGAAAAAACUUUGAAUACCAAGUUGUUAGAUAUCAUCGAGAUCUAAAUUUUUUAUAUAGACAAAUUUUUCCAUUUGAGAAAGUUUAAGUUGACAAUACCCACCAAAUCUUGAGUCUCACACAAACUAUAUGAAACUAUAUGUGUCAAUUGUGGAUUUUCAACUACACCUUCCCAACACUUUGUCAAAUGCAAAAUUGGUCUAUAUAUUAAAUGUAGAUUUUGAUGAGUGGAACAAUAUUGGUAUUCAUGACUUUUCCAUUCGAGACCAUCUAGGGUUCCUGUUGACGGUCCUUAAUGCUCACAUUUAACCAUCAACUAAUCAUGGAAAAGGAUCUAAAUGCAACCAACACCUAGACUUAGGGUUUUAUCUGACAGAAUUCCACAAGUUUUGGUGUUUGUCUAUUUCUGCAGGGGGUUAUCAGGAAAUAUAAAAGAAAGACCCACAUGUCGGGUUUACAUAGAGAUAUUAACAUGCCGCGCAAUUUUCUAACAUCUAGAAGACUCCAGAAGCCACGGGACCGAAGCGGAGGCCGAGAGGACAAAGGGACAGGGCGCCCGCCCUCAGCCAGAGUCCAAUCAGGACUCUCUUUCGGGAUAUUGCUCCACCGACCUAAAGGAUCAACAAUAACCGUUCAAUCAAUGUCGGUUUGAUCCGACGGCCCAGAUUCACUUGAAGGGACUAUAAAACCAGACCCCCUGGCCCCUGGAGAUCAUACCUCUUCUACAGAAUCAAAGCUAGGGUUUCAAUUCUUCAUCCAAGUAGAGAGGAUCCCUCUAGUUCUUCUAGUUCUACCUCUAGUUCAUCUAGAUCUAGUUCUAGUUCAUCUAGUUCUAGUUCUAGUUCCUCUAGUUCUAGUUCUAGUUAGUUCUAGUUGUAAUCUAGAAAAUAGGGAGAGAGAAGAGGAGAGCGGAGGAGGAACCGGAUCUGUCGGAUCUUCCUCAACAUUAUACUUUUGCAGCAUCUGGUUCGUUCUUCGUCGUUCUCCAGGUUCUUUAAUUCAUAAUUCCUGAGUUCUUUAAUUACUUUUAUUUACAUUCAAGUUAUUUAUUGGAUUCUCGCUUGCAUCAAGUGCUCUAGUCUUUAUAACGCUAGAGUAGUAAUUAAUAGAUUAGACGUGGUGUUUAGUCUUGCAAUUAUCUGGAAUUGCACCCAAUCCUACGGAUUGUUGUGGUAGCCCUAGGGUAGUGACAGCCCUAACGGUCGACGUAUUCCACCACGUUCGGAUCGGUGUUUGUAGGACCGUAGUCAGACCUUCCUAGCCCCCUUCUCAUCUCUUUCUGUGGUUAGUGCUCUGAUGUCCCGAUAUAGAUAAUCUUGAAGUAAUUCUUGAUUCUUAGAUCAACUAGAGAACUCUCAGAAAACUUCCUCUCUUCCCACCAAAAAUAAUUAUAUAGUUAUCCUUGGGCGAUCUUGAUUCUUAAUUAGUACACUCACGUUCUCUGUGGAAAAUCGAUACUCUGGAAUACUCCCGGGUGAAAGCUACAUCGGUAUCCGUGCGCUUGCGGAUUUUUCUGUUUGCGUUUAAAAUACCCAACAAGCUUUCUGGCGCCGUUGUCGGGGAACGGUAACUGUGCUAGUUUCGAACCAAGUCGUCCGUGUAUCCUUUUUCUUUUUCUUUUAUACCACACUCACUUUAUCAUUUUUACCACACCACAUGGAUUUCACUCUAAGCAUCAAUGAGCAUGGAAUUUAUUUCAUAGUCACUUCAUUUACUCCAUGCUCAUAUGCAACAUCUUCACAAUCCAUUGGUCUCUCCAACAUCACCACAUUCGAGAUCUCCACCCCCCUCAUCCUUUCUAUUUAUAAAAACUUUAAAAGGGCGGUUGUCGAUGCAUAUGUCUAUAUUAAAUAUUGCAGAUCUCGUUGAGUUGAUCUUGAAGGUCAGCGUUGGAGGGGAAACCACUUCGCCGACAUAAAUUGAUGGUUUCCCAAGGACAAGCUUAGUGUCCUAAAACAAGCACUGAUCAGAUUGUAACAUGAGCUUUUAAUUAUUUGCAACAUUACCUUGUGUGUUGAGCAUAUAAGGAUAAUUGUAAAAAUAUUCCUUCGGUUAUUCUUGUCACUAACCUUUCUAGGAUUGGAGCAAGAAGAUCGGAUGAAUGACAAGCACAAGGUAUGUCCAACCAAUCAUCAUACAACAUUGAAUUAAAUUCAUCCAAACUUGAAUUUUGCAAAAUUCAAGCUUGGGGAGUACUUUACAUAAAAACAUUCUUUGCCAUGUUGCUAUGUUGGUUGUCCCUACCUUUGAGACAUGCUAAAUUUGUUAAAUACUAAUCACACUGCUUCAUCUCCACUUGAGUAGAUCUCUAUAAAUGCUUUCAUGCUACCUUUAUUUGCUUUAUUAUAUGUCUAGGCUUGGAGUAGUUUCAUUUAUCUCUUAAUUACGCUUAGUUUAGGGCUGAUGAUCUUAUUUCCAAGGGAUUUUAAAUUAAGCAUGGUGCUUAGGUUAAAAUGCCAUCCUGAAUCAAAUUAGACAUCGUGUCUAGGUUGAUUUUUGAGCCGAUAGUAUGCUAUAGUAGAUAUUGGAUAUUUUGUUGGACUAACCCCUACAGGAAAACUUUCACUAUCAACCUGGGAUGUCCUGAGAUACACUCACAUUGGAGACAAAGAGAGAGACACAUGAAGUUUAACAAUUUACACAAGGAAGGCAUAGCUCACAAGAGAUGAUCCAUGGAGGGUGCCAAAAACACGAUGCACAACCGCUAAGAGAGGAAAGCUUCCACAAGGUGAUACUGUACCACCACUCUUUAAGUAAGUAACAUCUUAAAGUACUUGACUAUCACUUUUAUAAGCUUCUCCUUGAUUCUAGCGUUCACAUGAAUAAAAGAGACAAACAUGUAAGGUUUACAACUCUAGAUUAACCAACCCAAUUGAUUCAAUAUGUUUAGUCCUUCCACCUUUAUGAUCUCACACUCCUAAUCAUAUGAACUAAAAUGUUGCACACUCAAUCUUUGGAAGAUAUAUAUAUAUAUAAAAACAUAAGUAUAGAUAGAUAAUCUUUCCAUUAGGUUGAGCGAUCUGAUCUAACAAAUGUUUAAAUGCUACACUCAUGAUCUUAUUAUCCAUCAACUUUGUCUUGCUCACUAUGCUUAAGGAUAGAGAAGAACAAAUACACUUUUGGUUCUGUUGGUGUUUUCCACCAACAGGGCCCAUGCACUUGAUCUCUGCCUUGUCUAUGAGCAGGUACACUUUGAGCAAAAUAUGAAGGAGUUUUACAACUCCUAGACUCCACCAAAGUGAAGAACCUAGAUCUACGAGCACAAACACACUGGAGAUACUGGACACUCAUGCAAACACUGCCCUGAGAUGCUUGAGGAUGUAACUACUGGAGUAACCCCAUUGUGGAAGUAAUUACUGACCUUCUGCCGGUCAAGAGAGACAAUCUAGGAUGCCCCGUCAUCCCGAUCUCCAUCGGCAUGGUGGACUUCCUAGAAGCACUCUGCGACUUUGGCUCCAGCGUCAACAUUAUGCCCAGGGGAAUAUUGAAGAACCUCUACGUCCGAGUUGGUACCUUGUACGCCCCAGCAGACUUCGUGGUGAUAGAGACUGGUACUGAUGAGAGGGCACCCAUCAUCCUAGGGAGGCCAUUCCUAAACACCUCAGUAACUGUCAUCUACGCUAGUGCUGCCAAGAUCAGUUUCUACAUCAAGGGAAGGAAGGAGAUGUUUUCCUUCAAGAACAAGACUAUACAAAUCUCAGAGUAAUCCCGACAUGAACCAAGGAAGAGGACCAACAGGAGGAACAAGAACAAGCAAAUGUGUACCGAGUCAGCUAAGAUGGUCACUGCAGCUCAAGGAGGUCAAGAUCGUCAACUCAAGUCACCUUUCUUGAUCAAGAAGGACGACCCUGGUGUCCCAAGCAUCAAGUGCACAAUCAACGGAUAUUCUUUUCAGAAGACACUCUAUGACACUGGAUCUGACGUCAACAUAAUGGCCGCAGUUACUUAUCAGCUCCUGCAUGGAACCAUGCCCCUACAACCAACAUACAUUCAGCUCCGGAUGAUUUUCAGGUUAUUGACAUGGGAGAAGACGAGUACAAUCCACUCAUCAUCAUUGGGAGACCGUUCCUCAGCACCGUUAAAGCAAUCAUCUACAUUGGAAUCGGAGAAGUCCACAUGCACUUCCCCUCUGAGAAGGUACGCCACUAUUUUACUGACUCUAACUAUAUAGUGAAGACUCUAAGCAGGUCAGAACAAGAAGAAGACAACGCAACCGUAACCAGAAGAGGCAAAUCAUCAAGGACGGAUGGGCAGACUAUGAAGGAGAAGUAGUACAGUCUGAAGACAUACAACUUGAACAAAAUUGUCUUGAGGAGACCGUAGCACCGAGUCAGGUGUGUAGAGAGAAGAUAGUUAUACAUGAAGAGCAGGUGCCGCCAGAACCACCGACUACGCCAUCCAACGAAUCCCAGGACGACUGAGAAAACGGAGAGUCCCGUUCGAAGGACGUAAAAACACUGAACGCCUUACCAAAAGGUAAACUUGGUAGUUAUCUUUUUCCUUUCAAUUAUUUAAAAUAGUUUUGUUAGUUAAUCAGGUUCAUAUCAUCUUGAAAAGAAAAUAAAAAUGUUAAAAAUAGUAAGCCCCAUGUGAGUAUGCUCAUGGCAUAAAACCCAUAAGUACAUUCACUGUGGUGGCAUAAAAAAAAUGAAAUAAAUAUAUUCCUAUCCUAUAAAAAUAAAAUUAUAAAAAUAAAUUUAUGAUCCUACUAAAGAGAGUAACAUUUAUUGAGGAGGCUCAACAUGAUAAAGGCUAGGUAUUUAUGCUAACACUUAACCAGUUCCACAAAGCUUUGUUGUCUAUUUGAGCUCCACAGAAUUCAAGGAUCAAAGAAGACUAGCAGACGGAGGACAUCCUAAUCGCUGUCAGGGCGCUGCUGACAUUCAAAUACACCUCCACCACUUGCUAGCUACAUUAGAAGAAACUACGUCAAAAUCCAUCUUCGGGGAGAGCACCCCCAUUUAUCCAGCUAAGUGUUCUACUCACGUUUAUAUUUUACUCAAAUAAUAAAAAGAUGCAUAAUCAUAAAAACUCAAAUAAAGAUUUUGUGCUUAUAUAUAUCUUUGCUUAGUUUGCUAAAUAAAUAAAUAAAUAAAGUUUGCUAUGAACCCUCAUGAUAAGCUCUCACAUGGAAACGAUGAAUAGUUGCUCUGCCAUGACUAGUUCUAAAAAUUGAAAUCUCUCUCAAGUUUAGGCAUGACUGUUAUUAAUUAAGAUUUGCUCUAAACCUGAACUUGUAGGAAGAGUACUUGAUCUAAAGUCUAAGUUGUUAAUGGAUAUGAUAUGGGAAGGUUGAGCUGUUGUUUAUCUGUUCCUAGAGAUGCUAGAAUUCUGGAGAAUUUUAUCUUUGAAAAUCUUUAAAAUGUUGCAUGAUGAGUUCCUGUAUGAUGAGAGUUUAAAUUCCUACCACAGCCAUAUAUACAUGCUUGCUAGACUAUGAGCCAUACAUUUACUUUUUACUGCUUAUGAGCAUUGAGUGUGGUCAAGCUGUGUAGACCCUUAGGAGCUUGUCAUGUGGUUAAAUCAAGAUUCACUUGCACGUUCACUCAUACAUGCUGCUUCUACUCUGGAAGUACGCAUCCACAUACAUCCACUCAUUUCCAUCUCCAAAACCAUCCAAAAAUAUUCUACUCCUAAUCUGGGAGAGAAUAGCUAAAAACAUUCUCCUAUUUCUGUUUUCCCCUGUGAAAUAAAUGCUCAAGUUAUCUUGGUUACUACCACUUGCUAUAUUAUUUCAGGAGAUGAGUGCUCUAAAAAAAGAAAGAAAAAAAAGAGAUAUGAGGAAAUAAAAAGGGGCAAGUGCCCGGAACCUCGAAAGAAAAGAAAAAGUGAGACGAGAGGUAAAAAUGGACAAGUGUCCGACAGUAGAAUUAGGGGUACAAAAUACCCACCUGAGAGAAAAGAAAAAGAAAAUAUAGAGCAUCUCAUGCUCCUCAAAAAGUUUCAAAAGAGCAAGAAAGGUAUGUAUCCCCUCAAAAGAGCACAAGUAGAAUUAGACUUUCACCAUUGUUAUCACCAUCAUUACCAUGCACCAUUCAUUCGCCACACAUGCACAUCUUGAUUUGACUUAUUGACUUGUUCUUCUGGAUCCAUGGUUUGACUAUGCAAUAAAUGUCUUGUAAGUAUGUAUUAGCUGUCUCCCACCUAUGAGCUCCAGAUAUCAAAACCUUAUUAGAGUAGGGUGAGAGAGAAGGCAAUGCCACUAUGCCUCAUACCAAAAAUACCACAUACUUUGAGAGAAGGCAUACACCAUUACUGCCUUGGUAAGGAUCCAGAAAUACCACAAAAGAGAGACUAGAGAGAGUCAUACAAGGAAUCUCUGAGUUUUAUUUGAAAAUCUGCAAAAACUCCAGAGCUAUAGUUAAUCGAAGAACAAGAGACAUGGUGCUUGACUAGACCGUUCUAUCUUUUAACUACUCAAGACAGAAGUGACGGUUACAAGUCCCAUGGUGAAAGGUAAAUGAGUAAGUUUUAAGUCUUAAUAGUUUACUCUAACCAGAGAUGAGAUGUUGUUUAAACACAUGUGUAUCUUUAAGUUAUGAAACACUGCAGAAACUCUUGAGUCCAUCUUUGCUCAGGGACGUGCAAAGGUUAAGCUUGGGGGAGCUUGUUGACGGUCCUUAAUGCUCACAUUUAACCAUCAACUAAUCAUGGAAAAGGAUCUAAAUGCAACCAACACCUAGACUUAGGGUUUUAUCUGACAGAAUUCCACAAGUUUUGGUGUUUGUCCAUUUCUGCAGGGGGUUAUCAGGAAAUAUAAAAGAAAGACCCACACGUCGGGUUUACAUAGAGAUAUUAACGUGCCGCGCAAUUUUCUAUCAUCUAGAAGACUCCAGAAGCCACGGGACCGAAGCGAAGGCCGAGAGGACACAGGGACAGGGCGCCCACCCUCCUUUCCUGGGCACCCGCCCUCAGCCAGAGUCCAAUCUCGACUCUCUUUCGGGAUAUUGCUCCACCGACCUAAAGGAUCAACAAUAACCGUUCAAUCAAUGUCGGUUUGAUCCGACGGCCCAGAUUCACUUGAAGAGACUAUAAAACCAGACCCCCUAGCCCCUGGAGAUCAUACCUCUUCUACAGAAUCAAAGCUAGGGUUUCAAUUCUUCAUCCAAGUAGAGAGGAUCCCUCUAGUUCUUCUAGUUCUACCUCUAGUUCAUCUAGAUCUAGUUCUAGUUCAUCUAGUUCUAGUUCUAGUUCCUCUAGUUCUAGUUCUAGUUCUAGUUAGUUCUAGUUGUAAUCUAGAAAAUAGGGAGAGAGAAGAGGAGAGCGGAGGAGGAACCGGAUCUGUCGGAUCUUCCUCAACAUUAUACUUUUGCAGCAUCUGGUUCGUUCUUCAUCGUUCUCCAGGUUCUUUAAUUCAUAAUUCCUGAGUUCUUUAAUUACUUUUAUUUACAUUCAAGUUAUUUAUUGGAUUCUCGCUUGCAUCAAGUGCUCUAGUCUUUAUAACGCUAGAGUAGUAAUUAAUAGAUUAGACGUGGUGUUUAGUCUUGCAAUUAUCUGGAAUUGCACCCAAUCCUACGGAUUGUUGUGGUAGCCCUAGGGUAGUGACAACCCUAACGGUCGACGUAUUCCACCACGUUCGGAUCGGUGUUUGUAGGACCGUAGUCAGACCUUCCUAGCCCCCUUCUCAUCUCUUUCUGUGGUUAGUGCUCUGAUGUCCCGAUAUAGAUAAUCUUGAAGUAAUUCUUGAUUCUUAGAUCAACUAGAGAACUCUCAGGAAACUUCCUCUCUUCCCACCAAAAAUAAUUAUAUAGUUAUCCUUGGGCGAUCUUGAUUCUUAAUUAGUACACUCACGUUCUCUGUGGAAAAUCGAUACUCUGGAAUACUCCCGGGUGAAAGCUACAUCGGUAUCCGUGCGCUUGCGGAUUUUUCUGUUUGCGUUUAAAAUACCCAACAGUUCCAAAAACCGAUGCCUGGCUAUGAAUUCUUUCAAAAUUCAAAAUUGAGUGGUUCAAACUUUUCCAAAAGAAAAGUUGACCAUUAAACCAAAUGUAGAACUUGAUGAGUGUAACAAACUUUGUAUUCAUGACUUUUCCAUUUGGGACCAUCUAGGGUUCGGUCAAAGUGUGUGUUUCUAAAAACCAAUGCUUUGACUUUGGUCAAACUUGGUCAAAUGACCCAUUUGGUGACUUCAAAUGAAAAAAAUUUGAAUACAAAGUUGUUACAGAUCAUCAAGAUCUACAUUUGAUAUAUUGUCCAUUUUUCCAUUUGGAUAAAUUUGAGCCAAUCCUAAGCACAUUUGUUCAAAAUCCAAGACGGGUUUUGGUCACACUUGGCCAAAUGACAAACAAAAAUACUUAAAAUGAAAAAAUUUUGAAUACCAAGUUGUUAGAUAUCAUCAAGAUCUAUUCUUUUUAUAUAGACAAUUUUUCCAUUUGAGAAAGUUUAAGUUGACAAUACCCACCAAAUUUUGAAUCUCACACAAACUAUAUGAAACUAUAUGUGUCAAUGGUGGAUUUUCAACUACACCUUCCCAACACUUUGUCAAAUGCAAAAAUGGUCUAUAUAUUAAAUGUAGAUUUUGAUGAGUGGAACAAUAUUGGUAUUCAUGACUUUUCCAUUCGAGACCAUCUAGGGUUCCAAAAACUGAUGCCUGGCUAUGAGUUCUUUCAAAAUUCAAAAUUGAGUGGUUCAAAUUUUUCCAAAAGAAAAGUUGACCAUUAGACCAAAUGUAGAACUUGAUGAGUGUAACAAACUUUGUAUUCAUGACUUUUCCAUUUGGGACCAUCUUGGGUUCGGUCAAUGUGUGUGUCAAACUUGGUCAAAUGACCCAUUUGAUGACUUCAAAUGAAAAAAAUUUGAAUACAAAGUUGUUAGAGAUCAUCAACAUCUACAUUUGAUAUAUUGUCAAUUUUUCCAUUUGGAUAAAUUUGAGCCAAUCCUAAGCACAUUUGUUCCAAAUCCAAGACGGGUUUUGGUCACACUUGGUCAAAUGACAAACAAAAAUACUUAAAAUGAAAAAACUUUGAAUACCAAGUUGUUAGAUAUCAUCAAGAUCUAAAUUUUUUAUAUAGACAAUUUUUCCAUUUGAGAAAGUUUGAAUUGACAAUACCUACCAAAUCUUGUGUCUCACACAAACUAUAUGAAACUAUAUGUGUCAAUUGUGGAUUUUCAACUACACCUUCCCAACACUUUGUCAAAUGCAAAAAUGGUCUAUAUAUUAAAUGUAGAUUUUGAUGAGUGGAACAAUAUUGGUAUUCAUGACUUUUCCAUUCGAGACCAUCUAGGGUUUCAAAAACCGAUGCCUGGCUAUGAAUUCUUUCAAAAUUAAAAAUUGAGUGGUUCAAACUUUUCCAAAAGAAAAGUUGACCAUUAGACCAAAUGUAGAACUUGAUGAGUGUAACAAACUUUGUAUUGAUGACUUUUCAAUUUGGGACCAUCUAGGGAUCGGUCAAAGUGUGUGUUUCUAAAAACCAAUGCUUUGACUUUGGUCAAACUUGGUCAAAUGACCCAUUUGAUGACUUCAAAUGAAAAAAUUUGAAUACAAAGUUGUUAGAGAUCAUCAAGAUCUACAUUUGAUAUAUUGUCCAUUUUUUCAUUUGGAUAAAUUUGAGCCAAUCCUAAGCACAUUUGUUCAAAAUCCAAGACGGGUUUUGGUCACACUUGGCCAAAUGACAAACAAAAAUACUUAAAAUGAAAAAAUUUUGAAUACCAAAUUGUUAGAUAUCACCAAUAUCUAUUCUUUUUAUAUAGACAAUUUUUCCAUUUGAGAAAGUUUAAGUUGACAAUACCCACCAAAUUUUGAAUCUCACACAAACUAUAUGAAACUAUAUGUGUCAAUUGCGGAUUUUCAACUACACCUUCCCAACACUUUGUCAAAUGCAAAAAUGGUCUAUAUAUUAAAUGUAGAUUUUGAUGAGUGGAACAAUAUUGGUAUUCAUGACUUUUCUAUUCGAGACCAUCUAGGGUUCCAAAAACCGAUGCCUGACUAUGAAUUCUUUCAAAAUUCAAAAUUGAGUGGUUCAAAUUUUUCCAAAAGAAAAGUUGACCAUUAGACCAAAUGUAGAACUUGAUGAGUGUAACAAACUUUGUAUUCAUGACUUUUCCAUUUGGGACCAUCUAGGGUUCGGUCAAUGUGUGUGUCAAACUUGGUCAAAUGACCCAUUUGAUGACUUCAAAUGAAAAAAAUUUAAAUACAAAGUUGUUAGAGAUCAUCAAGAUCUACAUUUGAUAUAUUUUCUAUUUUUCCAUUUGGAUAAAUUUGAGCCAAUCCUAAGCACGUUUGUUCAAAAGAAAUCUUUAAAAAUAAUCCGAUGUAAUGGUGAAUAUCACGUAUAUCACGAUUUUGGAGAUAUAUGAUGAUAAAUGAACAAAAUUUACGUUUAAAUAAUGCACACACAAAUUUUCUAUCAAAAACAAUGUUGACGAUCCUUAAUGCUCACAUUUAACCUUCAACUAAUCAUGGAAAAGGACCUAUACGCAACCAACAUCCAAAAUUCGGUUUCAUCUGACAGAAUUCCAGGAGUUUUGGUGUUUGUCUAUUUCUGCAGGGGGUUAUCAGGAAACAUGGAAGAAAGGCGCACACGUCGAGUUUACAUAGAGAUAUUAAUAUGUGCGCCAAUUUUCUAUCAUCUACAAGACUCCAGAAGCCACGGGAACAAGCGGGAGGCCGAGCGGGCCCAGGGGCUGGGCGCCCGCCCUCCCCCCUUGGGCGCCCGCCCUGCCCUGGUGACCAAUCAGGGCAGGUCUCGCGGAUCGUGCUCCACCGCCUUUGAGGAUCAAGGAAAACCAUGCGAUUAAGGUCGGUUUGAUCCGACGGCCCACGUUCAUUUGGAAGGGCUAUAUAAGCAGGCCCCUAGCCCCUGGAGAACAUACCUCUUCUACAGAAUCAAAGCUAGGGUUUCAAUAAUUCAUCCAAGUAGAGAGGAUCCCUCUAGUUCAUCUAGUUCUAGUUCUAGUUCAUCUAGUUCUAGUUCUAGUUAGUUCUAGUUGUAAUCUAGAAAAUAGGGAGAGAGAAGAGGAGAGCGGAGGACGAGCCGGAUCUGUCGGAUCUUCCUCAACAUUGUACUUUUGCAGCAACUGGUUCGUUCUUCAUCAUUCUCCAAGUUCUUCAAUUCAUAAUUCCUGAGUUCUUUAAUUACUUUUAUUUACAUUCAAGUUAUUUAUUGGAUUCCCUCUUGCAUCAAGUGCUCUAGUCUUUGAAACGCUAGAGUAGUAAUUACUAGAUUAGACGUGGUGUUUAGUCUUGCAAUUACCUAGAAUUACACCCAAUCCUGCGGAUUGUUGUGGUAGCCCUAGGGCAGUGACAGCCCUAACGGUCGACGUAUUCUACCUCGUUCGGAUCGGUGUUUGUAGGACCGUAGUCAGAGCUUCCUAACCCCCUUCUCAUCUCUUUCUAUGGUUAGUGUUCUGAUAUCCCGAAAUAAAUAAUCUUUGAAGUAAUUCUUGAUUCUUAGAUCAACUAGAGAACUCUGAGGAAACUUCCUCUCUUCCCACCAAAAAUAAUUAUAUAGUUAUCCUUGGGUGAUCUUGAAUCUCAAUUAGUACACUCACGUUUCAUGUGGAUAAUCGAUACUCUAGAAUACUCCCGGGUGAAAGCUACAUCGGUAUCCGUGCGCUUGCGGAUUUUUUCUGUUUGCGUUUAAAAUACCCAACAAGCUUUCUAGCGCCGUUGCCGGGGAGCGGUAGCUAUGCUAGUUUCGAACCAAGUCGUCCGUGUAUCCUUUUUCUUUUCCUUUUUUACACCACUCACCUUACCAUUUUCACCAUACCACAUGGAUUUCACUCCAAACAUUAUGAGCAUAGAAUUUAUUUCAUAGCCACUUCAUUUACUCCAUGCUCAUAACCAACAAAUUCGCAAUCUAUUGGUCUCUCCAACAUCACCACAUUUGAGAUCUCCAACCCCCUCUUCCUUUCUAUUGAUAAAAACUUUAAAAGGGCGGUUGUCGAUGCAUAUGUCUAUAAUAAAUAUCGCAGAUCGCGUUGAGUUGAUAUAGGUCAGCGUUGGAGGGGAAACCACUUCACCGACAUAAAUUGAUGGUUUCCCAAGGACAAGCUUAGUGUCCUAAAAUAAGCACUCAUCAGAUCGUAACAUGAGCUUUUAAUUAUUUGCAACAUUACCUUGUGUAUUGUGCAUAUAAGGAUAAUUAUAAAACAUUUCUUCGGGUAUUCUUGUCACUAACCUUUCUAGGAUUGGAGCAAGAUGAUCGGAUGAAUGACAAGCACAAGGUAUGUCCAACCAAUCAUCAUACAACAUUGAAUUAAAUUCAUCCAAACUUGAAUUUUGCAAAAUUCAAGCUUGGGGGAGUACUUUACAUAAAAACAUCCUUUGCCAUGUUGCUAUGUUGGUUAUCCCUACCUUUGAGACAUGCUCAAUUUGUUAAAUACUAAUCACACUACUUCAUCUCCACUUGAGUAGAUCUCUAUAAAUGCUCUCAUGCUACCUUUAUUUGCUUUAGUAUAUGUUGUUGACACUAGCUAACACCACUUAGAUACUAGGUUGUCAUUCCUAGCAUGGCGCCAGAGUGUACAAAGGUAUUUAUAAAUGUAAAGGCUCUCUAGAAAAUAAUCUAUUCUAUCCGCAAGCGCAUAGAUAAAACACCUCAUUGUAGCAUUUCACCAGGAUAAGUAUUCCAGGUAUCGUUAUUUAUAAUUUUGCUUAGGGGAUCUUAAGAAGAUGGAAUUAAAUCAAAGGGGCAAAAUCUAUCAAGGCAUAGACUAAAGAUAAACUUGCAAGAACAUGAUUACUAAUGAGAAACUCGUCACACAGUCACAUACUUUAGCAGGGGGUAAACCAUAAAGAUAAUGAUAAUAAAGUAUAAGUUCAUGGGAUAAAGAGCACAGCGAUUAGAAAAUAGACUACUCCUCAUAUAUGUAGGUGAUGUCGGAUUAGCUAGAGAAUGGAUUCUAAGUCAUCCACUAACUACUAAGUCAUAAUCUACUCUAGUUAUCUACAAGAUCAUAUAUAGCACAAAAGACUCUUCAUUCAUGUAUAAGGAACAUUGAUAAAGUAAAUCAGAACAUCGCAUGACUUACUCCACAAUACCGGUUCUGCCUGUCCUAUCAACGGAGGGUGGACUAUAUAAGAAUCAACGAAGCUGUCACUAUCGUGAACUACCACACGACUCGGCCAAUAGGAUACAUUUGCAGAUAAAUAACAUCUAAGCACCACGCUCACAUGUGAUCUAUCACCUAACUCCCUCGCGACAAGAGCUAAGCGCUUUGCAAACUUAUACAUAAACUCAUUAUCAAUUAGAACUAUAUCAAAUAUAGAACUAGAGCAAACUAAGAACAUAAUAAUUAGAGACAUAAUGCAAUUAGAACAAUAGAAUUAGAGAAAGAUAUGAAUAAUACCAAUCUUUAUUACCGAAGAUCCGAAUCCAGAGCGUAGUGCUCUACUUCUCUAAUUGCUAUCUAAUCAAACCUCUAAACUUGAAGGAUUAGGGAGUAGCUAAUUCUAAUUCUCUAUGGGAGAGAAGCUCUAAACCCUAACUUUGAUGGCUACCUCUGAAUAAUGAUUUCUCCUCUUCUCCUCCAUGGGCCAGGGGGUCUGGUUUUAUAGUCCCCUCAAGUGAACGUGAGCCAUUGGAUCAAACCGACAUAGAUUGUAUGGUUUAGAUUGAUCCUUUAGGUCGGUGGAGUGUAGUCCCGAAGCAGAGUCCUGAUUGGCUUCCUGGCCAGGGCGGGCGCCCAAGGGGGGUGGGCGGGCGCCCAGCCCCCGAGCCCGAAUUGCUUCCCGUUCGUUCCCGUGGCUUCUGGACCCUUCUAGAUCAAGGAAAAUUGCGCGGCACGUAAUUAUCUCAUUGUAAACAUGACAUGUGGGCCUUCUCUCCCUAUUUUCUGAUAAACCCCUGCAGAAAUAGAUAAACACCAAAGCUCGUGGAAUUCUGUCAGAUAAAACCCUAAUUCUAGAUGUUUGUUUCAUAUUGAUCCUUUUUCAUGUUUAUUUGAUUAUUAAUUUUAGUACUUAAGGACCGUCAACAAACUCCCCCAAGCUUACCCUUUGCUCGUCCCUGAGCAAAUAGCUAAACUCAGACGGAUCAGAAGUUGCUUCGAUGUUUUCUUUCCUGACAGGCACACAUGCUUUUACAUAAAAAUUCUUCCAGAUUAGAGUGAAGUGUUAUGAAGUUUAGUACCUGCACUUAAGUCUUAAGUAAUCGAAAGACAAAAUAGUUAAGUCAAGCACUAUCCCUCCUGUCUAUACUUCACCUUUGUUCUAGAGUUUUUCAUAAGUUUUCAAAAUAAAACUCAGAGUUCCUAGCAAUGAUUCUCUCAAGUCUCUCUAUAUGUGGUAUUUGUGGAUCCUUACCAUAAUGUCACUUACCUAUAGCUAAUGAAAUAUUUAAGUGGAGCUCAUAGGAGUGAAAAACAGCUCAUACAUAUGUUGUCUAAUCGAGCCAUGGAUCCAAAGGAACUCAGCAUAUAAUUAAAUCAAGAUGUGCAUGUGUGAUGGAGUAAAUGAUAGUGAUGGUGAAAAUGCAUAAGUGAUAAUAAAACUUAGUUCUCAUUGCUCCUCAUAUUGCUAUCUCUCCUCCUCUUUGAUCUUUGCUUUGGGAGAACAUGGGCUAUCUUUUUUUUUCAGGUGGGUAAUAGAUACCCCUAAUUCUACAGUCGGACACUUGUCCAUUUUUUCCGCUCGUCUCACUCUUUUUGUUUCUUUUUCGAGGUUCCCGGGCACUUGCCCCUUUUUAUUUCCUCGUAUAUAUUUUUGCAUAACCCAUGCCUCUUCUACAUUGAAUCUUUUUAGAGAGAGAGUAUAACAAUAUUCGGGACAGUGAGUGAUAAUAUUUUUAGCAAUUUUAAUGAUUGAUGAUGAAUGCUGUGGUAGAUGCGUGCAAGUGAAUAUCUUAAUUUAACCACAUGAAAAGCUCCUAAGGGUCAACACAGCUCGAUCAAACUCAAUGUAAAUAUAGUAAAAGAUGUUAUAGCAAGUAUGGCUGUGGUAGGUAGUUUGUUAUGCUAGGAACUCAUCAUGUGCUUCGUAAGUUUUCAAAAUAAAUCUCCAGAACUUAGUGUAGUAGGAACAAGAUAAACAGUAGCUCAACUUUAUAUCAUGUCUUUCUCUUACCUAGACUUUAGUUUUAUGCUUUCCAAAGAUAGUAAUUUUAGUUUUAGUAAUUCCUGGAAGAAUUCUAAUAUAAAAGCUAGGUACUUGUAAGUAAGCAAACAGAGCAACUGUUCAUCAUUUCCAUCAUACAUAUUUUUGGUCUUUUUAUUUUUUUAGAGAUUAAACUUAGCAGAAAAAUAAAGCACACUUAUCUACACACUCUUUUUAUUUUGUUUUCAUGUUUAUAGAAUACAGUAAAUUAAGAAAAUAUUUAUUUGGUUUUCUAAUUUUUUUCUUUUAAGAUAAAUUAAAUACUAAGACAGAAUAGAAUAAAUAAGAACAGCAAAUAAAAACUUACUUGAUAAAUUUGGGAGGAACUCCCCCAAGCUGGAUGUUGACGUCGGUCUUACCCGAUGUUCCAGAACCGCAUCAUGGUUGUGAUGUUAUCGUUCAUUGUUGUUGUAUCUUGUCUUAGCUCUUCUACUGCAGCGGCAUGGUCCUGGUUCCAUUUUUGUUGCUCUUCCAAGAGUCUUCCAUGUUCUGCUUGCGUAUUCUGGAUGUCGAGGAGGGUGUUGUCGGUACGAGUGAAGAAAGCACCGGCCUCUUGAUAGUAGUCAUUCGUGAAGGCGUAGGAGGCGUCGGAGUAUCGUCCUGCAUCAAAUUGGGGUGGAGGUCUGGAUCCUGAAGCUCCAUAUGGAUCAGUGGAGUACCUGCCCGUAUGAAAAGGCGGGUUUGUCCACUGGUGAUCUUGGCUCUCCGGCCAUGUCUCCUCUGUUGGCUCUUGUGGUUGCGCAUGACGAGCCCAUGGGUCUCGAAGGACUCGUGGAUUAUAAUCGCAAUAAUGCAGGUGCGCUGCUUCUUCUGGUCCAGGGUCAGCUCCAUACCAAGUGCGUUCUCUGUGAGUGGUUAUCCUUUCAGAUGCCACUCGCUGUGGAGUUCUCUGGUUCACUGGUGUUGCUGCAAUCUCAAUCAAAAAGUUUUGCACAAUGUAGAGGCCAAGGUUCGGGUUAGAAAACCGAAUCUUGCCUUUAUCAUCAUACAGCAUAUACAUUAUAUUCCCCUCUUUCUUUAACAUCCGAGCUUGUCUAAAUGUGUCAUAGCCAUGAUAAAUUCUUAAUUCUUCUAUGAAGUCCAACGAUGAGUUUUCUAGUAAGUGAAGAUUAGUGGCUAGACGAGUGAUAAGUGAAGUACAUCCUACUGGUCCCUGAAGACUAGGUAUACUAAGCCAAUGUGAAACUAAUAGUGUAACAGGUGAAGUAGGUACUUUACUAAUAGCAGCAUAUAAAAGUUGUAAAUCUCCUACUCUUACUUUCCUAAUAUCAUCACGAUAGAAAAGAUUGUACCCAAGCCAUUUGUGAAACAUCCUAAGAGUGGGGUGUUCCAUGUCACUGGUUCGGGCUUGACUAUACAAAUUAUCUCUAGAUAUUUCUCUCCAAAACUGGUGUCUCUCAAAAUUGGGUAAAUCGGAGUCAAUAUUUAGGAUGCAUCUUGAAGAGAAACCAAGAUGGUCGCUUAGCUCUCUCCAAGACAACAUAAUUUCUUGUUUGAACAUCCGAAAAACAAUUCCCCCCUCAUAGUAUUGUAAAGUGCAAAGAAAUUCGAGGGUGAGAAGACGAGACCCCAGCUCAGUUAUAUUCCAAAAAUUUGUCCAACCCAUCAUUUGAAAAAUUAAGUCAAAUUCAGUGUCCAUACCUAUUUCUCGUAGUAGGAUUGGAUCGAUAGUAGGGGUGUGAAUGAAAUCUUUAUUCUUCAAUUGCUAAUAUACUUCCUUUUCUCUUCUGGUCUUCAGUCCUAGGUCUCCUAUCUUGAGAAGGACCUUAACUUGCUGACCUGAUGAAGAUGAUGGAGCUUGUGUGGGUGUCGGGUCGACGCUCAUCUCUGAUGGUUGUGAGGAGUGUCGGGAUGAACUCCUUGUACCAAUGUUCUUGAUAGCCUUCCCUGCAUUCUUUACCUUCUUAAACAUCCUGCAAACAAAAGUUGGCAAAAACACAACUGGUGGAAAAUGUGAGAUAAAAUGUUAGUGGUCAGCUGUCCGGAGUGUUAGUAGUCCAGGGGUUAAUCGUUCAAGACAAGUUUCUAUUUUGGUAGAGCCUCCUCCUAAACAACUUUUACUUCCGCUUGGACAGCGGGAUCACUAUUUGCUAGGUGACAAUCACUCUCUCAAAAGAACUCCAACCUUCCCUUCCACUCUCCUCUUUCUCUCUACUCUCUUCUCUUCACUACAAAAGCUCCUUCUCGGGAAACUGAGAUUUGUGUGGUUUUUUGAAGUGUUUGUGUGAAGAGAAGGGGAGCUGGAGGUGGCCUUUUAUAGGCUAAGCAGGGGACAGGGCGGGAGCCCAAGGUAGGUGGGCGGGCGCCCAACCCUGGUGUCCAUCCUGGGUGUGCCUCCUCCACAUGCUUCCUUGCUUUGAUCUCACGCAGAAUAAUAUUGUGUUGGUAGUGGUUGGACAGUGGAAAGAUGUCAAGUGAGUGGAAACAUAUUGGUGGAUGAAAUUAUGUGAUGGGAUGUAUGUGAGGUGAAGUGUAUGACAUGAGGGACCCAAAGAGUGUGGGUCAUGCUUCUAGAAGAUUAAUAUAAAUAAAUAUAAUGCAGGAAAAUCUAUGAGAAUUGAAACUUAAUGAAAAUGAUAUUGGAAAAUAUUUUUGUGCCUCCACAAUAAUUAAUAAGUAUGGGUUGUUACACACCACGAAUAUUAUUUAUAUGGGGCUUUUUGAUUUUUAUAAUUAUGCUAUGAAUGUAUGACUAAUGCAAGAAUUAAUUAUGCAAGAAGUUAAAUAUGAGAAAAUUAAUAAUGCAGGUAAAUACCGAUUUACCUUCCGGUGAGGGUUUGGGAUUUUUAGGUCCCCCAAGCUGGACCUCCAAUUCUUUUAAUCUUCUGAGUUACCUUCCUCCGGAGAUGGUGUCUCCAGUGGUUCUUCAUGAACUUCUUUCACUGUAGAGUCUCUUUCUGGUCUGGGUUUGAAUGUGAAGUGUUCUUCUUGACCGUUUAUGUUGAACUUGAUUUCUCCCUUCCUGACAUCAAUGUGGGCAUUGGCAGUGCUCAGAAAUGGUCUUCCAAGGAUGAUGGACACUUUUGAGUCAGGACUCAUGUCCAGUACUACGAAGUCUACUGGUACCAGGAAAUCUCUGAUCUUGACUGGAAUGUUCUCGGCGAUGCCCAACGGGUGUUGAACCGAUUGAUCCGCUAGUUGUAGACACAUUGAUGUUGGUUCUAAAGUUUCAUGCUCAAGCUUUUUGUAGACUGAUGCUGGCAUCACACUGACACUUGCUCCGAGAUCACAAAGUGCAUUAUUGAAGUGUUGGUUUCCGAUCGGGCAAUCAAUAGUGGGGCAUCCUGGAUCUUCCUUCUUCUUUGGUGGUUUGUUGAGGAUGGCCGCACUACAUUCUUCUUUCAGCUUGAUAACCUCAGUGGUGGGCAGUGGUCUCUUCUUGUUAAGAAUAUCUCUGAUGUACUUUGCGUAUGUAGGUACCUAUAUGGCAUCGAGCAGAGGUAUGUUGACAUAUAAUUUCUGAAUGACCUCUACAAACUUACCAAACUGCUCAUCCGACUGCAGUCCUCUGUUUCUUCUGGGAAAUGGCAAAUAGUUGGUGUCGUAAAAAUCUUUCCUCAUUUCUCUAGUUCUUGAUGGUUGUAGCAGAUCUUCUGCUUCAACUGGGCUUUCUUCUUCUAUCACUGCUGGUUGCACUGGUGCUGAUGAUCUUUGUUUCUCUUUUGGGUAUGGUGGAUCUCUGGUAGCUUUACAUCCUCUAGUAGUUAUAUUCUUUACCUGCUCAAGGUUAGUAGCAACAGGCAGUGCAGCAGCUAUCUUUAUUAAUUUAAGCUCUACCCUUUUAUUAAGAGUGUUUUGCUCAUCAAAGGUAGUUAGUAGAAAAUCCAUUUUAUUGUGUAUAUCUUUUAGAGAUGAUUCAUUUGUAUCUAGCCUUUGUUUAACUUCAUUAUUAAUUUUGGUUUGUUGAGCAAUUAUCUCUUUUAAGGAAAGUUGCUUGAUAGUAUUACUUGAAUUCAUACCUUUGCUAUUGGGUUGACUCGAAGUUGGUUGAUAUUCUUCUUUGAACUUGGCCCUCUGGUCAAUCCAAUGGAGCAAAUUUUCCAUCUUAGUUGAUAAUGCUUUUACUUCUUCUGGUAUUUCUUCAGUUUGAUGACAAUGUUGAGCUUUAUCUUGGAACCAGCUUUGGUUUUCUGCUAUCUUAUCCAAAAGUAUCUCUGCUUUUCCAGUUGUAAGCUCCAAGAAUGAUCCUUUAGCAGAUGCAUCUAUGCACUCACGAGCCUUCUGGGUUAAUCCAUGGUAGAAGGUCUGCAUAAGUAACCAUGUGGCCAUUCCAUGGUGAGGACAAUCUGAUAUGUAUCCUUGAAAACGCUCCCAUGCUUCUGAAAUGGCUUCUGUCUUCUGCUGUUGGAAACUGACAAUAUUUCCUCUUAAGGCAGUUGUUUUGCCUAUAGGGAAAAACUUUGAUAGAAAGGUAUCUGACAAGUUCGUCCAGUUGUUGAUGUUAUCUUGAUGAGUGUAGAACCACUUCCUCGCUUUUCCUUCUAGUGAGAAUGGAAAAAGGCGAAGCAGUAUGACGUCUUUGUCAACUCCGUUGAUGUGGAUUGUGCUUCCAAUCUCUAGGAAAUUCUGCAAGUGUGCACUGGCAUCUUCAUGUGCCUUUCCACUGAAUUGUGUAGCUUGUACCAAAUUGAUGAGGCUUGACUUGAGCUCAAACUCAGGUAUUCCUUCUUCUACUGCAAAUCUUGGACCGGUUGGAAUGUUGUCAAGACUUGGAGCAGAGAAUUCUUGCAAGGUCUUGUGUGCCAUAGCUUCAGCAAUUGGUAGCUAGCUUCUUCUUCUCUUGAUUGCUUUGGUUCUGAUGAUGUAGAGUUGAAUGUACCCAAAGUCAAUCCUGUUAUACCCUGUAUAAAAAUAUAAACAUAGAAAAACAACAGGGUGAACCUGCCAAAGCAGCGGUGCCUUGUUAUGAUUUCUCACUUAGUAGCUGUUUUAUACAAUUAUUUCUCUAUAGUCUAGUCUAAUAUUUUAUAUGAAUAAUCCUUGAUUGAUUUUCUGGUUGUUCCCUUUUAUGACUUAUUCCUGAGACUCAUAUAAUUAUCCUAUAAUUCCUAACAUGUCCUAUAGAUCCUAUAGAUCCCCGGCAACGGCGCCAGAAAUGCUUGUUGACACUAGCCAACACCACUUAGAUACUAGGUUGUCAUCCCUAGCAUGGCGCCAGAGUGUACAAAGGUAUUUAUAAAUGUAAAGGCUCUCUAGAAAAUAAUCUAUUCUAUCCGCAAGCGCACAGAUAAAACACCUCAUUGUAGCAUUUCACCAGGAUAAGUAUUCCAGGUAUCGUUAUUUAUAAUUUUGCUUAGGGGAUCUUAAGAAGAUGGAAUUAAAUCAAAGGGGCAAAAUCUAUCAAGGCAUAGACUAAAGAUAAACUUGCAAGAACAUGAUUACUAAUGAGAAACUCGUCACACAGUCACAUACUUUAGCAGGGGGUAAACCAUAAAGAUAAUGAUAAUAAAGUAUAAGUUCAUGGGAUAAAGAGCACAACGAUUAGAAAAUAGACUACUCCUCAUAUAUGUAGGUGAUGUCGGAUUAGCUAGAGAAUGGAUUCUAAGUCAUCUACUAACUACUAAGUCAUAAUCUACUCUAGUUAUCUACAAGAUCAUAUAUAGCAUAAAAGACUCUUCAUUCAUGUAUAAGGAACAUUGAUAAAGUAAAUCAGAACAUCGCAUGACUUACUCCACAAUACCGGUUCUGCCUGUCCUAUCAACGGAGGGUGGACUAUAUAAGAAUCAACGAAACUGUCACUAUCGCGAACUACCACACGACUCGGCCAAAAGGAUACAUUUGCAGAUAAAUAACAUCUAAGCACCACGCUCACAUGUGAUCUAUCACCUAACUCCCUCGCGACAAGAGCUAAGCGCUUUGCAAACUUAUACAUAAACUCAUUAUCAAUUAGAACUAUAUCAAAUAUAGAACUAGAGCAAACUAAGAACAUAAUAAUUAGAGACAUAAUGCAAUUAGAACAAUAGAAUUAGAGAAAGAUAUGAAUAAUACCAAUCUUUAUUACCGAAGAUCCGAAUCCAGAGCGUAGUGCUCUACUUCUCUAAUUGCUAUCUAAUCAAACCUCUAAACUUGAAGGAUUAGGGAGUAGCUAAUUCUAAUUCUCUGUGGGAGAGAAGCUCUAAACCCUAACUUUAAUGGCUACCUCUGAAUAAUGAUUUCUCCUCUUCUCCUCCAGGGGCCAGGGGGUCUGGUUUUAUAGUCCCCUCAAGUGAACGUGAGCCAUUGGAUCAAACCGACAUAGAUUGUAUGGUUUAGAUUGAUCCUUUAGGUCGGUGGAGCGUAGUCCCGAAGCAGAGUCCUGAUUGGCUUCCUGGCCAGGGCGGGCACCCAAGGGGGGUGGGCGGGCGCCCAACCCCCGAGCCCGAAUUGCUUCCCGUUCGUUCCCGUGGCUUCUAGACCCUUCUAGAUUAAGGAAAAUUGCGCGGCACGUAAUUAUCUCGUUGUAAACAUGACAUGUGGGCCUUCUCUCCCUAUUUUCUGAUAAACCCCUGCAGAAAUAGAUAAACACCAAAGCUCGUGGAAUUCUGUCAGAUAAAACCCUAAUUCUAGAUGUUUGUUUCAUAUUGAUCCUUUUUCAUGUUUAUUUGAUUAUUAAUUUUAGUACUUAAGGACCGUCAACAUAUGUCUAGGUUUGGAGUAGUUUCAUUUAUCUCUUAAUUAAGCAUGGUGCUUAGUUUAGGAAUGAUGAUCUUACUUCCAAGGAAUUUUAAAUUAAGCAUGGUGCUUAGGUUAAAAUGCCCUCCUAAAUCAAAUUAGACAUGGUGUCUAGGUUGAUUUUUGAGCCGAUAGUAUGCUAUAGUAGAUAUUGGAUAUUUUGUUGGACUAACCCCUGCAGGAAAACUUUCAAUAUCGACCUGGGAAGUCUUGAGAUAAACUCACAUUGGAGACAAAGAGAGAGACACAUGAAGUUUAACAAUUUAUACAAGGAAGGCAUAACUCACAAGAGAUGAUCCAUGGAGGGUGCCACAAACACGAUGCACAACCGCUAAGAAAGGAAAGCUUCCACAUGGUGAUAUUGUACCAUCACUCUUCAAGUAAGGUAACAUCUUAAGGUACUUGACUAUCACUUUUAUAAGUUUCUCCUUGGUUUUGGCGUUCACAUGAAUAAAAGAGACAAACAUGUAUGAUUUACAACUCUAGAUUAACGAACCCAAUCGAUUCAACAGGUUUAGUCCUUCCACCUUUAUGAUCCCACACUCCUAAUGAUAUGAGCUAAAAUGUUGCACACGCAAUCUUUGGAAGAUAUAUAAAAAAACAUAAGUAUAGAUAGAUUAUCUUUCCAUUAGGUUGAGCGAUCUGAUCUGACAAAUGUUUUAAAUGCUACACUCAUGAUCUUAUUAUCCAUCAACUUUGUCUUGCUCACUAUGCUUAAGGUUAGAGAAGAACAAAUACACUUUUGGUUAUGUUGGUGUUUUCCACCAACAGGGCCCAUGCACUUGAUCUCUGCCUUGUCUCUAUGAGCAGGUACACUUCAAGCAAAAUAUGAAGGAGUUUUACAACUCCUAGACUCCACCAAGUGAAGAACCUGGAUCUACGAGCACAAACACACUGGAGAUACUGGACACUCAGGUAAUGACUACCCUCAGAUGCUUGAGGACGUAAACUACAUCAACAACAACAACUACUACUACUACUACUACAACCGUCCUCAACAAAAUCAAGGUUGGAAUCAACAUAGGCCUAACUACUCAGGUAAUUAUCAAGGUAAUAAUUCUUACAAUAAUAAUAAUAAUUUUCUACUUAUGAGAGAGUUAGUGUCUAAUCAAGGAAAGCUAAUGUAUAACCUAUCUAAGAAAUUGGCAUCUAAUGAUAAAAUGUUAGAAAAUAUAAAUAAUAGAAUGGAUAAUUUCUCUACUGCCAUCAAGGAUCAAAUUAGCUUUAAUAAAAUAAUUGAAUCUCAGUUAAAUCAAAUAGCUGCUGUUGUUCCUGCUACUAACCCCGAUAUACCAUCACAACAGGAAGGAUUAGAAUCUACAAAUCUUGUAGACAUGUUUGAUGCAGGUAACUACUGGAGUAACCCUGUUAUGGAAGUAAUUACUGACCUUCUGCCGGUCAAGAGAGGCGAUCCAGGACACCCUGUCAUCCCGAUCUCCAUCGGCAUGGUAGACUUCCCAGAAGCACUCUGCGACUUUGGCUCCAGCGUCAACAUUAUGCCCAGGGUACUCUAUGAAAAAUUGUUUACACAUCCUUUACUAGAAACAACCAUGUGUUUGCAGCUUGCAGAUCGGACACUAAGUUUCCCAAAGGAAAUAUUGAAGAACUGCGUCCGAGUUGGUACCUUGUACGCCCCAGUAGACUUCGUGGUGAUAGAGACUGGUAGUGAUGAGAGGGCACCCAUCAUCCUAGGGAGGCCAUUCCUGAACACCUCGGGGGCUGUCAUCUACGCUAGUGCUGCCAAGAUUAGUUUCUACAUCAACGGGAAGAAGGAGACGUUUUCCUUAAAGAACAAGACUACACAAAUCUUAGAGCAAUCCCGACAUGAACCAAGGAAGAGGACCAACAGGAGGAAUAGGAACAAGCAAAUGUGGACCGAGUCAGCUAAGAUGGUCACUACAGUUCAAGGAGGUCAAGAUCGUCGACUUAAGUCACCGUUUGUGACCAAAAAGGACGACCCAGGUAUGCCAAGCAUCCAGUGCUCCAUUAAUGGAUACCACUUCCAGAAGAUGCUUUGUGACACCGGGUCAGGCGUCAACAUAAUGGCCGCAGUCACCUAUCAGCUCCUGUUCAGAACCAUGCCUCUAAAAUCGACAUACAUUCAGCUCUAGAUGGUAGAUUAGACAUUCCGAAAGGUUGAAGGUUAUUGACAUGGGAGAAGAUGAGUACGAUCCAAACAUCAUCCUUGGGAGACUGUUCCUCGGCACCGUUAAAGCAUUCAUCUAUUUUGGAACCGGAGAAGUCCACAUGCACUUCCCCUCUGAGAAGGUACGCCGCUAUCUUACUGACCCUAACUAUAUAGUUGAAGACUCUAAGCAGGUCAGGACAAGAAGAAGACGACGCAACCGUAACCAGAGGAGGCAAAUAAUCAAGGACGGAUGGGCAGACUACGAAGAAAAAGUGGUAAGGUCUGAAGACAUACAACUUGAACAGAACUGUCCUUAGGAGACCGUAGCACUGAGUCAGGUGUGGAGAGAGAAGAUAGUUAUACACGAAGAGGAGGCGCUGCCGGAACCACCGACUAUGCCAUCCAGCAAAUCCCAGGACGACUGAGAAAACGGAGAGUCCCGUUCGGAGGACUUAAAAACACCGAACGCCUUGCCAAGAGGUAAACUUGGUAGUUAUCCUUUUUCCUUUCAACUAUUUAAAAUAGUUUGCUUUGUUAAUCAGGUUCAUAUCAUCUUGAAAAGAAAAUAAAAAUGUUAAAAAUAGUAAGCCCCAUGUGAGUAUGCUCAUGGCAUAAAACCCAUAAGUACAUUCACUGUGGUGGCAUAAAAAUAAAAUAAAUAUAUUAUUAUCAUAUAAAAAUGAAAAUAUAAAAAUAAAUUUAUGAUCCUACCAAAGAGUGUAACAUUUAUUGAGGAGGCUCAACAUGAUAAAGGCUAGAUAUUUAUGCUAACACUUAACUAGUUCCACAAAGCUUUUUUAUCUAUUUGAGCUCCAUAGAAUUCAAGGAUCAAAGAAGACUAGCAGACGGAGGACAUCCUAAUCGCUGUCAGGGUGCUGCCGAUAUUCAAAUACACCUCCGCCACCUGCUAGCUACAUCAGAAGAAAUUAAGUCAAAAUCCAGCUUGGGGGAGAGCACCCCAUUUAUCCAGCUAAGUGUUCUACUCAUGUUUAUACUUUACUCAAAUAAUAAAAAGAUGCAUAAUCAUAAAAACCCAAAUAAAGAUUUUGUGCUUAUAUAUAUAUCUUUUCUUAGUUUGCUAAAUAAAUAAAUAAAUAAAGUUUGCUAUGAACCCUCAUGAUAAGCUCUCACAUGGAAAUGAUGAAUAGUUGCUCUGCCAUGACUAGUUCUCAAAAUUGAAAUCUCUCUCAAGUUUAGGCAUGACUGUUAUUAAUUAAGAUUUGCUCUAAAUUUGAACUUGUGGGAAGAGUACUUGAUCUAAAGUCUAAGUCGUUAACGGAUACGAUAUGUGAAGGUUGAGCUGCUGUUUAUCUGUUCCUAGAUAUGCUAGAAUUCUGGAGAAUUUUAUCUUUGAAAAUCUUUAAAAUGUUGCAUGAUGAGUUCCUGUAUGAUGAGAGUUUAAAAUCCUACCACAGCCAUAUAUACAAGCUUAUUAGACUAUGAACCAUACAUUUACUUUUUACUGUUUAUGAGCAUUGAGUGUGGUCAAGCUGUGUAGACCCUUAGGAGCUUGUCAUGUGGUUAAAAUCAAGAUUCACUUGCACGUUCACUCAUACAUGCUGCUUCUACUCCGGAAGUAUGCAUCCACAUACAUCCACUCGUUUCCAUAUCCAGAUUCACCCAAAAUUAUUCUACUCCUAUCUUUGAGAGAAUAGUCAAAAACAUUAUCCUCUCUCUCUUAUUCCCCGUGAAAUAAAUGCUCGAGAUAUUUUGGUUACUACCACUUGCUAUAUUAUUCCAGGAGGGUGAGUGCUCUGUAAAAAAAGUGAAUACGAGGAAAUAAAAAGGGGCAAGUGCCCGAAACCUCGAAAAAAAAGAAGAAAAAGUGAGACGAGAGGUAAAAAUGGACAAGUGUUUGACAGUAGAAUUAGGGGUACAAGAUACCCACCUGAGAGAAAAGAAAAAUAAAAUAUAGAGCUUCUCAUUCCCCUCAAAAGCCUCAAGUGCAAGGAAGGUAUGUACCCCCUCAAAACAGCAAAAGUAGAAUUAGACUUUCACCAUUAUUUUUACCAUUAUCACCAUUCAUUCGCCACACAUGCACAUCUUGAUUUGACUUAUUGACUUGUUCUUCUCGAUCCAUGGUUUGACUAUGCAAUAAAUGUCUUGUAAGUAUGCAUUAGCUGUCUCCCACCUAUAAGCUCCAGAUAUCAAAACCUUAUUAGAGUAGGGUGAGAGAGAAGGCAAUGCCACUAUGCCUCAUACUAAAAAUACCACAUACUUUGAGAGAAGGCAUACACAAUUACUGCCUUGGUAAGGAUCCACAAAUACCACAAAAGAGAGACUAGAGAGAGUCAUACAAGGAAUCUCUGUGUUUUAUUUGAAAUUUUGCAAAAACUCCAGAGCUAUAGUUAAUCGAAGAACAAGAGACAUGGCGCUUGAGUAGACCAUUCUAUCUUUUAACUGCUCAAGACACAAGGGACGGUUGCAAGCCCC